AGCUUUUCUGCAAAUAGAGUCUUUGAUUCUUGUUGAACCAUACCUUGAUUCCCAAAAGGCCAGCAUAUCCUUGAGAGUCUUUUUCUUUAGACGGUUAAGACUUGCGAAAGUACAUUUCGUAGUCAGCGUUUUUGAACCCAUGUUGUUGCAGUUACUAGAAUUAUGCUGUUGUGGAUGGUGUUAAGCGCCGGUGGGCAUGACCUUCUUAUAAGUCUAAGUACCUCUCCUAUACUUCUUAUUGAGGACUGUCACUAAGCUAGCAUAUAUUUUAAACAUAUAAAAGUUUAUACAUUCAAAACAUAGUGUAAUCACUCCGAUCAUGUACAUUGUACACUUGAUGUAACUUGUAGAAUUUGGUAAUAAAAUUUCCGCUGCAAAAAUAUUGGUGUGUGUUUGUGUUUACUUAAUUUUGUGAUCCUGGUUGUAAGUGGUUUAUUCGCGGUCCUUGGGUCACUCGGACAGAUCCUGUUAAGUUAUCUGGUGCACACGCAUAGCCGUCUGAGGUCUUUGAGACAAGGGCAGGUGCAUGUGGGCACAAUAACUUGGGAGGUUCUGCCACAACUGAUAUCGAAGCAAGAUUAAGUAUAAUACAAUCACAUACGUAUUUCAAAACAAAGUUUUGGUUUCGAAAAAAUCUAUUUUCAACUAAACACAUUGUUUGGUUUUGAAAAAACAGAUUUGAAAACUAUAAUGCUAGCGACAUCCUCUGUUAAGCCCUAAAGUAAGGACUAUCAGGUGGCUUAGAUUAAAACACUAACCCACAACCGGGUGGAUAUUGCAUACAUGUGUAAUGUUGUUUUUGAGGCCAUUCAAUUUUGAAUGGAUCGACGCUCAGGUAAGGUGAGAUGUGAGAGCAUGACCGAACAACCAUCGGUCUAGGGGAGUGCUUAAUUGUGGCGCUUGACUAUACACAUGUUCUACAUAUGUAUAUACGAAAGCUGCGAUGUGGAGUAAUUACUUUUCGGGGAAUUCAGUACCCCAUGGAUGUGUAUGGGUAUGCAGACAUGGGAAUACUGAGAAGUGUAAUGUACUUGUAACGACGCACCUACGUUCAGGUAAGAAGGUAAGUUACCAUAAUGGGUUGCCCUAUGGUUAAAGUGUGGCAGCGGCGCCUAUGCAUGGCUCGACGCUUAAUGAUGAGCUGGCCACCAUAUAGCAAUAUAUGGAGUAUAAACUGUGAUAAACUGUCAUGUGUGAACUGCAUCAUGGGAAAUUGGGCUGUGAUGGAAUUUUCUGCAGGUACACUAACCUCGAAAACGUAUGUGUAGCUGACGACUAGCAAAUUACCGAGAGAGUCAUAAGUAUGCCACCGAUAUAGAACGCUAUUGCCACAUUAUGUUGGCAAAAUUUGUGAGGACGCAUAGGACGAGCAUGCAUCCUGAUUGUUGCAUCAUGUUUGUCACCUAUACACCCAAAAUGCUUCUCUUAUCUUUAUUCCAGUAGCCGGUGCUUGUAGAUAAUGUGGUGUAAUGUUGUAUUAUGAACUUCAAUGAAAUAGUUGUCCUCUGUUCCUUAGGUUGUUUAGGUGUUAUACGUGUUUGCCCUUGUACUUGAUGUGUCGAUAGUGGGUUGGUGACUUGUUUGCCUAAACCCAAAACUAGGCCAUGUUCUUAUUAAGUGAACCAUGACCCAAAUUUGAAUUUUUCCAUUAUCACUCCAUGACCCAAACUCAUACAAAUAAAUUCUUAGAUAAUUUCUUUGUUGGACAUAAAGUGUACCUGGGCUUAAAACAAGAAUCUCGAGUUAUAUCUCCUUCCAAAACCAUUCCCUUGUUCGGUUGGUGCAAGUGAUAUCUCUAUUCUAUUUUGCCUCUCCUGGAGGAUUGCAUUCUCACUUUAUCAACCUAACUCAGGAAAGACAUGUCCGAUCAUUUUCUUGAGUUUGAUGCCUUUGGUUUCCUCAUAUCUAUCAAAGGCGUACCAACUUCAUCUUGUGAUUGUUUUCCCUCUGCAUGUAGUCAGAUACUAAUCAUUGACCUUGUAAUCUCUGCGAUGGGCAUAGAAAUAUUCUUGGGCUGAAAUAAUAGUCUCCCAUCGUACUCCUUUCAUUAAGUUAGGUUAUGGCCAUGUCUUGUUCAUUUCAUCGGGCCAUGAUCCAUUUGGCUCUCUACUUGUAACCAUUCUUAUAGGUGGAGUAUCUCUUUGUAUAUUGUCACCCUUGCCCAAUCCAUUGGUGUCGUGUGAGAUUUAUUAUUGGUUACGUCUGGUAAUGGUGUUAUGAAUAAAACUGAUGGUGCCGCGACGAAACCGAGGGCCUCCUAUGGACGAUCGGCACACGAUUGUACUGCUCGGCACACAUUGGUAUCACAGUUAGUAGUCAUAAUCCAUUAUGAGACUAUAUCGAUAUGUUAUCUCUGCACAAAUUGUUCUUACCAUGUGAGGUUCAUUAUUGGUGGCAGUUCGAUAAUGGUGUCAUGAUUAAGGACUUAUGGUGCCACAGCGAAACUGAGAGCCUCCUGUGAAUGCGCACACAGGAUUGUGCUACUCGUCGGAUGCUGGUAUCAAGGUCUCUUGUCAUGAUCCGUUAUGGAAUUACACUGAUGUGUUAUCUUCCGUGGACUUUCGCUUGAAACAAUUUCUAUAUUGUUUUUCGAGUUAUCAGGCAACAUCUAUCAUCUCUGUCGAAUCAAAAGAGUAUAUAACUCUGAUGUAUUCCUUAAGUAAAUUUCUUACCAAUUCAGAAGUCUUCAUCAAAAAUCGAAAUUUGCUUUCUCUCCUACUAAGAUGCAGGAGUUUGUUCAUUCGCUCUCUUAUUUAAUCCAUGCAUUCCCGAACCAAGUCAGUUCAUCCCGCAUGGAAGAAAUUGAUGAACAACCUGACCAAAUGGAUUUUUACCCAAGUGCAUGAUCUCUUGUUAACCAAAGUGAACUCUCAACCUUUGGAUUGUCGAUGAAUAAUAAGAGGACUUACCCAAUGUCAAAAGUAGUUCAACAAGUUGGUUUUACUAACUUGUAACUGCCCAAUGAACAAAGGUUGAGUUUAGAGAUCGUUUUAUCGAGUUGUCUAAACAUCGAAUAUGGACGUAAGUACGGGAAUAUUAAUAAGAAUAACAGUCUCUCUAUCUUAAUCUGUUUCGUCUGUCACGAGUUCGACAUCGUUUUUAUUUUUAUCUAUCCGGGCUCUUCCUAAAUUUUCGUGAUGUUUGGAACAUAGUUGUUCCGAAAAUUGGUGCGUCCGGUAAUUUCAAAUUCAUCGCUCGCGCAAAUACGAAUUUGGAAAUUUAGUCCAGUCCUCCGAUUUCAUCCCAAACAGAUUCAAUAGAACUCGACAACUAAAGUUUUCAGUGCCAAAUAAUUCAGUCCUCGCUCUUUCACAGAGAAAUCGCAUUUAAGGAUUUUAAAUUGGCUUGUUUCUUCAGCACACUAUUUUGGUGAUGAAAUCAUGUGUGCAUUAGCAGAUAUGGUUUUGGCUAGUUUUAGUCGAAUCACGCAGAGCAAAUUAUUGAAGCUGAAAUCCGUUUAAUUUGGUCUGUUGCUUCUCGCCUCGAUCUAAAUCAUAACCCUAGAACUCAGAUUAGGUUUUCGCGGCUCGUGUCGCAAUAAUUCGGACUGACGUGUGUUGAAUUUAAAAUUCGAGAGUAAAGCUGAGUCAAACACGGAUUAUGUAAAAUAUUGCAGUAUAAAUUCUAAUGAAGAUAAAUCAUAGCCAUGGGAUUCAAACUAGAAAUAAUUAUUGUGCUAAAAAUACACUGGAGAGAAGAUUAUAGAAUAAUUAAAAAAAUAAAAAAAUCCCAAAAAAUCUGCAGCCGCCCUCCCUCCAAUUUUUUUUCGCCGCUCUUCUUCUCCCUAAUAAUUCCUCAGCCGUCGGUCUUAUCCCCGUCGUGGGAUAUUUUCUGCUCACUCCUCUUCUUCUCCCACGCGCACAGGCUCCUCCCUCUGCGCAUCUCCCUGCGCCUUGCUUCUCCCGCGCGCGCGCCUGCCUAGCCCCAGCUCGGACCGAGCCGUCUCCACCCGUCCGCGCUCUGCCCAGCCCCUGCUCCUCGCUCCUUCCUGCGCCCGGCCGGAGUUCCUCUGCUCGGCCAUGGCCGCCGUCGAGCUUCCUGCUCGCGCCUAUCUCCCUGUAACACCCUGAAUUUGGGGUAUAAAAUUUCUUUUCUAAUAUCCACCAAAUUAAGGUGUUACCCUCUCUUUUCCAGGCUCUUCUUUCUUUUGCCUAAAGAGUGAGAAAAUAUUUUGUUUUAUAUCUAUGUGUAAACCUAAUAAAUUAAAACCCUAGGGGGUGCUUUGGUUGUUGCAUCAUGCUGGAGUAUAUUUUCGCUUUGGUUGAGGAGUGAAUUUGUGAAGCAUGUGUUUAAUAAGGAAAUAAAGAAAAGGAAAUAAGUAAGAAAUGGAGAAAUAGAAAGCCCCAAUGUCCCCAGCUGGACCGACCCCUCUUCCCUGUGGCCCAUCUCUUCUCCCCAUCCUUUCCCUGCUCGGCCCACUCUGUGCCUCACCCCCUCCGCGGCCCACUUCGCCUGGCCUGCUCGACCAGGCGCGCCCGCGCCGCCCAGUGGCUCUCCCCCUCCGCGCCUGCACGCUCAGCUGCUCGGCCCAGCGCCAUGCUCUCCCUCCCCGGCCCACCAGGCCACUCCCGCCCCUCUCCUCCAUUCUCCCCUCUCUUGGGCCACGUGGCCAGCCCACCUCGCGCGCGCCACACCCCCUACAGCAGCUGCUGCGCCCUAGCGCGCGACCGCGCCAGCAGUGCCCCAUCCCCGGCUCAAUAGCCGCGUGUGCAGCCCACCCGUGCUCGAGCGCCACCGCGCGGCCCAGCGCGCCCCAGCCGCUGCGCGCGUUCGCAACCCACCUAGCGCGCGCCCUAGCUCUCCCCAGCCACACGCUCGCGCGUGGGAGCGCCGCCGCCGCUAGAAAAUUGCCCACGACGUGAUUUUCUCACCCGAACCACCCACAACGCGCUCCUCUUGCCCGUUCUCGCUCAGCAGCACGACACCCACGCCCCUCUCCACAUUUUCUCUCCUAGAGCCACACCCUCGUCUACCCAACGCCCAUGCCAAGCCACUCCACGCACAGCAACCACCCGAAGUCACCUUGCGUCGCGCGCCGGACCUUCACCGAGUCGACCUGCGCUGUGCUACGCCCGACGCCCAGCACGCCGGAGUUCCAUUCGUCUCGACGUCGCGCACCCGGCGCCCAUCCAGUUCCACCUCAUCGUCGGCGUCCGUGCCGAGGUGAGCUCCGUCUACCCCCUAGCCUCCCACCGCUUGUAAUCUAAUGAACGUUGGCGAGCUCUUUGUGCUGUGUUGUGGUGGUUGCAUCCCGACAGCUUCACCCAGCCACAACUCGCCUUGCCGCAGCGCCGCAGUCCGCACCCAUCGUAGCCCUGCAGACCGCGUCGACGCCGGCCAAGCCCCGCCCCGUUGAGCGCGUCAGGCGCAGCCGUGCCGCGUGUGGCGUCUAGCCUGGUGAGCCGUGUUGCUGUGUUCGACCCGCUGCCCGCGGAUGGCGCGGUUGGUCCGGCCAUGGUGUGGCCCGUGUGUGUGCCCCGACACGGCCUCGCGCUCGCGUCUAGCGUGGCCCGCGUGUGUGCCCCGGCGCGGCCUGUGCAGCCCUAGCUCGGAUUUUGCGUGGCCCCGGCGCAACAGCAAUCUCGCCGUUCUCAUGCCUCGCCGCUAACUAGUCUGGUCGUCCGCUAUCGUUGCGGUGUGAGCAUCGUCUACGCGUUGGUAACCUUGUUUCACUAUGUCGUCCGCUGUCGUUGCGAUGUGAGCAUCGUCUACGCGUUGGUAACCUUGUUUCACUAUGUCGCACGUUUUAAAUAAUUAAUUAUAUUUUUGUUUGACUAACGUUAGUCAAUUAGACUUUUCAAUUAAACUAAUUUAUAGUAGUUAACUCAUGCUUUAUAAAUCCAUGUCGACAUAAUUAAUAGUAACUCAAAUGUAUUGCUCUAAUAUUUGUUUAAUAUAAAUGUGAUGACUAUUUAGUUUUUAUCGUGUUUCGCGUGUGUCAUUCGCGUGUAUAGCGCGUGCUGCUCGCUCGCUUCGUCGUCUCUCAGUAAAAUGUUAUUUGCGCGCUUUAAUAACAUCACUUCGCCAUAUCGUUCAUGUUAAUCACUUGAUUAAUUGUUUAGUAGUUAGUUAUUAAAACAACAGCUCAAUCGAAUCUAGUUUAUAAAUUUAAUUAGGCGUUUGUAGAUAGCUGGUAACGUGUUGAUGCUGACUUAAAGGUUAUAUUUAACACUUGGUUAAUAUAUAUAAGAAAAACGACGUAGUUUAGUAGUUUCGCAUGUCGCGCCGUUUUCGCGAGUCGCGCUCUUUUUGCGAGUCGUCGUUGUUGGUUUGCGCGUUUGCACCGCGCGCCUGGCACGCGCGUUGUCGCGUGCUGUUCGCGCACAUCGUCAUGCAUCAUUUGCUCUUAGUCACACGUGGUUGUGCGCGCUUUCCGUGUGCUCCUUCGCACGAGACGCGCGCGCUGUUCCCACGUGUGACGCUCGUUGCCAACGUGUCGCAUGUUUUAGUUGAAUAAUUGAUUAUUGGUUUGUUCCAGGGUUAAUAAAAUAACAAUUUAAUUAGAACGAGUCUAUAGUUGUAACUCGUGCUUUUAUAAAUAUAAAUGUUAAUUAACUUGAUUAAUACCAGCUUAAAUACUUUUAACUAAUUAUUUGUUGGUUGUUGUUCGCGCACGACAUCGUUUGCGCAUCAUCGUGUUGUUCGCGUGCGUAGUCGCGUUGACUCACACAUGUCGCGCGCUAUCGAGCGCAUUGUCUCGCGUGCCGCAGUGUUGUUUCGCGCAUGUUGUUGCACGCGAUUCACGUGUGUCGCGCGACGUCUGCGCGUGAUAAUAAAUUGUUUUCCGCUUAUAAAGGCUCAUGUUAAUAACGUUAAUUCGUCAGGUCAUAUAGUUUAGAUACUUAACUUAAGGUUCGCUCGACUAAUAUUUAUUAGAUUAAUAUUCUAAUUAGAUUAAAUGUGUAGUGUUCAAUUUGGCUUUUAUAAUAAAUAUUAACAUGGCUAAUAUUAAUUUAACUACUUUCUAUUUAAUUAACACUUGUUUAGUAUAAAUACGUCACCGAUUUAGUUUUUCUCGCCUGUUGCGCGUGCUGUUCAGCACACGGUUGUGUGCUGCUUCGCGCGUCGUUCACGUGUUGUCUGCGCGUUGUUCGUGCGUGAUGUGCUCGUGGUCGCGUGCUGAUUCAUGCGUCAUUCGCGCUGGUCGCGCGCACUGUUCGUGUGUCGUCAGUGUGCUAUGACGCGCAUGUCCGCGCGUCGUUUGCACGUUGUCGUAUUGUUUUGUGCGUCAUAAAUUCGUCUCGCUUAGAAUCUCUCGUGCUAAUUAUAUUAGUUAUUUAUAUGACAACUGAUGGUGUAGCAGAUUUGAUCAAAACUAAAUAACAGUUAUAAUUUAUAUUUGAUCAUGUCGAAUUAAAUGUCCUGAUUAUUAUUUGCGUAGCGUAAACGUUAUGACUUCUCGAAUGUAGCUUCGACCAUCACGUUUCUUAUCCCCGCGUAACCGUAGAAGCGCUCUCUAUUUUAUACUGCAUAUUUUUAUCACAUUUUAUCUUGUAUGGUGUAAUGUUCUUAUGCACAUAUAUAUAUAUAUAAGAUAAAAUGUAUGUAUGUAUAUAUAUAUAUGUUUGUUUGCUUGUGCCUGUUCGUCUUCGCUUUGCAUUGCAAGUAGAUUGCGAUUCGUUUCUGAGCUUCGAGGAAAUCGACGGCCAAGCAUUGGAGUCCAAGUGGUCAGGUUCUUCGAGUUCUACAAGGUUGAAGACUCUGAGCAUCUGUUUGGUGAAGGCAAGUGUCCUCUGACCCAUUAUGUCCUAUUUACUUUAUAAUUCACGGCCUCGCAUACCAUGAUCAACCUAAGGAUUUGACUACCUUUGUAUUUACCUUGUCCUUGAUUACAUUUUGAGUUAUUAUGGUUAGCUUCAUGCUAUUGCUUUACUUUAAUCAAUGAACAUGAUGUGAAUAUUUAUGAUAUGAUGAUGUUAUCCCGAUGAUGAUAUUGUUAUACUUUAGGGGACUCAGGCCAUUUUCCUUAGUACCUCUUCGUAAGGACCUGUUCGUGGAUUGACCACCCGGGAUAACAGUGCAGCCAUGAGGGUGGAAUGGGACGCCCUUAGCUGAUUAAUUAGAUGAACCUGGGGGUAUAGUUGGCUUUGCCGGAGGGCCCUCAAUGGGGGCCGGGGGCGUAGUGCUCGCUCUGCCAAGGGGGGGUACAGAGGUUCAUUCGAUUUGGUUUUGUUAGUCACCCACCUUCGGGAGGUGUACUACGUUUGUACGACUGGCAAAACCUAACAAGCAGCUAUUCACCAGGGGAGUCUUUGUAAAGGCUAUGUAGUGAUACCCUGCCACGCCACCUAGGUAGUGGUCAAUGGGGAUUAGCUCUCCCCGGGCAGAAAGGGAAUCAUGACUCGUGGGUAAAGUGUGCGACCUCUGCAGAGGAUUAGAAACUGAUAUAUCAGCCGUGCUCACGGUUAUGAGUGGCCUUGGGAUCCUCUUUGAUUAGAGAUACAUAUGGUUCAAUAUACAAUGGUUCUAUUUAUUAUUUUGGUUCGAUGAUGAUAAUGAUGUUUCCUCGAUGAGGAAAUGGUUCACGGGUUGGUUAUAUGAUAAAACUUGGCUUCCACUAAUAAUAAAUACCUGACCAAUUAAAAGUAACUGCUUGAGCUUAACCCCACAUAAAGCUAGUCCACCUUAGCCAAACAGGACAUUUGCUGAGUACGUUGAUGUGUACUCACCCUUGCUUUCACAAAACCCAGGUUGCCUUUGGUGCAAUCUAUGCUCAGGUAAAGAAGAAGGUGUCGAGGCGGAUCUCCAGGAGUUCCAGGACUUCGACGAGUUCAAGGAUUAGGAUAGCGACCUCCCCCAGUCAGCUGCCUAUGGUGGGUUUAUUUACGUUGGCUACGUUUCUAUUCUGUGUACUUUUAUUUAUAUUAUGUAAAUGACUCUAGUCUUUCAUAUUAUUAAUUACUCUUUAUUGUUAUUCGAAGUAUUGUGCUAUGAUGAGUCAUUUAUGUAAUCGCCGUGUACGUGAAUUUCUGAUCUCGGCACGUACAUGGUUCGCAUUCGGUUUACCUUCCAAAACUGGGUGUGACACUCCCUCCUGUGGCGUGCCCUCCCUUCUCGCCCUGUAGCUCGGCCUCUAGCAGCGGCCAUCCCCGUGCCGUGCACCCCUCUCCCCAGAGCUCCCUCCCCCCGCUCCAGCUCCCCUACGCGCUCUGCUCCCAUGUGCGCGUGAGCUCACCGGUAAUCCCGGUCCCAGCUCGGAUCUCGCUCUUGUUCGCCGGCCACCCCUUCUCUCUGCUCUAGCUCGCCGGCGCUUGGUUUCCAUCUCGGCCUACGCCCUACUCCCUGCUCUCGGCGUCCCAAUCUUGGCCGCGCCUCCCCUGCCCUUGGAGCUCGCUAGCGCCAGCACCUAGCCGGUGUUUUCCACGUCAUGCCAUGAUGCUUGGCCGCGUCCUGCGCGCAGAGCUGUUCCUGUCGCGUCCUUGGUGGACUCGCGUCCUCCCGGUAGCUUGCGUGCUACCUACUUGAUGAAAUGUGAAACCAGGUGGCUGAUCUCGCUCCCGCCGUUAACUUCGCUUCGCAGCUCGCCUGCUCUUAUGGUGCUGCUAUGCCACGACACUCGUGUCGGUGCAUCGUCACUUGGCCGGGAGUUGUCGCCGCUAGCUCGCUUUCAUCCAAAUCGUCACCGCGGAUGCUUGGGUCUCUGGUCGCGCGUCUUUCUAUCUCGCGCUCGACUCGUACGAUGCCUCGGCAACACCGUGGUCGUCCUCCCUCACAGUGUUGUUGUUUACCUCGCUAUUGUAGUCGUGCCUCAUGCGCUGCUGGUCUGAAAUACCCAAGCCAAGUGAGCAUCCUGCGCGACUCAAGUUUGGUUCAUCCAGAUUAUUCAGUCAAGGAGAGAUUCCAAGAGUUGUGGAUUGAGGAGAAAGUGAAGCUCAGUUCAAUACUCAUCAGGUGUUUGAUCGAAGACUUCAAUCGGAGACUGUCGUCGUUCUCGCAAAUAUUGAGUCGAGUUGAUUAUGGUGAGCCGAUUCACUAUUUUUACUAUUAAUUUUAUGAUCGUGAAAUAAGACGCUUAGUUUGCGUAUGAAGUUAAGUUAGAAAUACCAGUGAUGCGAGGUGUGCUUCGAUGAGUUUAGUUGCCGAGUAUAUUCGAACUAGUUCUAUUUUGCAGAGUGUGGUAUUUUGGUGACGCGUAGGUUAAGUUUAGUAUUUAAGCAAUUAUCGAUAAGUCUGUCGAUGCUAAUUGUGUUCAGUGCGCGUAAGAUGAAGUCGAUGUCUUACGCUAGUAGUUAGUAUCAUCUAUGUUUGUGAUCGAUAAUGUUGGAGUCGGAUAUUGAUUAGUUAGAUUGAUAGCUAUGAAUAAAUAGUUGUUAUCUUGUUUUCGGUUGUCCAAAUUAAUUGGAGGCGAACAACAUUAUUUGGUCCGCUUCAGUUGAAAUCUAAAAAAAGACUACUCAGUGGACAUGGUUCUUUAGUAUUUUAAGUCUUUAGGAUUUAAGUGGUGUACAAAAUUCAUUAAUAUGCUUCCUUACUCUAAAUUGUCGGUAUUCAAAAAUAGUGAAUGAAAAUGUGACGAGUAAUUUGAUAUUGGGUGUUUUGACAAAAGACUUGUGCUUAGCUUAUUAUUACUUGAUGUUUGAGGUAGAUGCGAUUACGCUAGAAACGUGUGAUAAAUGGGCAUAGUCGUAUAUCGAUAACUAGUGUUUUCGUAUGAAAUGGUACAACGCCUCGCCGCUAGGUGUUUAAUUCGCUAUUGUGUAGCAUUAUUCAGGUUUGUGAUAUUCCUGUUUAUAUGCAUUCAUGUGCAUUAUGUAAAUCAUUUAGGUACGUUUAUUGAUUACAUGAUAUGGAGGACCAAAGUUGAGUUGACCACAAGAUAUCGCUACGCGUGAGCUUCUCCAAAAGAUAAUGCUGAUGAACGAACCUGAAGAUGGAUAAUCUGAACGAGUGCCAAGAUAAAGAAUGAUCGCCAGGUCGCCACUUAACCAACACUAACCUAGUGUUCUUCCAGGCAAGCCCCGAUGUAGGCUUGCUGAUUUAGGACCUUUUAACUGGCCACAUGCCUCAUCAUGGGUAAGCUUUGCCUCAGGAAGACUAAUACUAGAAAGGCCAACACGCAAUGGGAGUGGAGAGAUGGUGAGAGUAGCGUGUACCCUCCGUGGCAAGAGGCUGGACGAUGGUGUAUCUAUGCUCUCGGUUGGCGUGAACCCGGUCUGGUCUUAAGAAACCCGGUGGCGAGUUGACAUAUGCAAGGGUUAAGUGCUACAUAUGUCGUGUGGUUGGAGAUCCCCAGCUGGGUAUUAAUCGAUUCGGAUCGCCGUUACUUCUAGGAUAUGAAGACUUGGUCACUGCCCUACACGUAGCAAUCUAGUGAACUGAAGGGAUGAUAAAAGAUAGCUAGUAUAGGCCAAGUGCUUGAACUAGGACAGAAAGGACUCUAGAUGUAGGUAAUUUUACUUAACCUGACAAGUAAAAAUGGAUUUUUAAGGAACCACUCAUAGUAAGCUUUUCUGCAAACGGAGUCUUUGAUUCUUGUUGAACCAUACCUUGAUUCCCAAAAGGCCAGCUUAUCCUUGAGAGUCUUUUUCUUUAGACGGGUAAGACUUGCGAAAGUACACUUCGUACUCAGGGUUUUCGAACCCAUGUUGUUGCAGGUACUAGAAUUGUGCUGCCGUGGAUGGUGUUAAGCGCCGGUGGACACGACCUUCUUAUAAGUCUAAGUACCUCUCCUAUACUUCUUAUUGAGGACUGUCACUGAGCUAGCAUAUAUUUUAAACAUAUAAAUGUUUAUACAUUCAAAACAUAGUGUAAUCACUCUGAUCAUGUACAUUGUACACUUGAUGUAACUAGUAGAAUUUGGUAAUAAAAUUUCCGCUGCAAAAAUGUUGGUGUGUGAUUUGUGUUUACAUAAUUUUGCGAUCCUGGUUGUAAGUGGUUUAUCCGGGGUCCUUGGGGCACUCGGACGGAUCCUGUUAAUUUAUCUGGUGCACAUGUAUAGCCGUCUGAGGUCUUUGAGACAAGGGAAGGUGCAUGUGGGCCCAAUAACUUGGGACGUUCUACCACAGAAGCUAUUGAUCUAGGUGUUCACUCAUGAUGGGAUGAAACCCCCUUGUAAUCCCAAUAAGCUCACAAUGAGUGAAGAAAAAGAAAUUCAUUUGAAUGCUCAAACUAAAAAUUACUUGUAUGAAUAUAUUAGCGUGGACAUAUUCAAUCAAAUAUAUACAAUGAAAAAUGCUAAUGAGAUAUGGCUUAAAUUACAUGAGCCCCAUUAUGGCACAAGCAAUGUCCAUGAGCAAAAAACAUUGUCUCGCUUUGAAUGAAUACAAUUCUUUUACCAUGAAAAUUAAUGAGCUUGUUCAACAUAUGUAUUAUGGAUUAAAUUAAAUUAUUAAAGAGAUUAAUUAUAUUAGCAUUAAUAUGCUAGAUGAUGUGAACAUUGCACGAAAGAUCAUCUCCCCAUUACCACAACAUAAAUAUGGGAGCAACAUCACCAUACUUCAUAAUAUGGAGGACUUGAGCCAAAUAACCCCGGUGCUAUUGAUCGACUAGAAUGUGGCAUUUGAGAUGCUACGAUAGAUGGGUGAAGAAAAAGCUGCUUAGUCUGGGACAUGCUUUCACAUGUGAAGAGCAUAAAAAGAUGAAGGGCAAGAAAAAUGUGGAAAACUCAAGUUUUAAAGUGAAGAAUAGAAAUCUAAAGAAGAAGAUGAUGAAGAUGAUCAACUCGCUUCAUCAUCCUUCAAGGACGAAGAUACAAUAUAAUGGGUUAGAAAGGUAAUGGGGAUUAUUCAUGAGAUUAAUCUUGUUGAUGUGCCCUUGCAGUUCGACGCUAUUAUCUUUAACAUUGACAUGAAAGAACAAAGAAAAAUAGGAUGCUUCACUUGUGGGGAGAAGGGUGAUUUUUGGGAUAAUUGCCUAAACAAGACCACACCCAAGAAGAGAAGGAGCAAAGGCAAAGGGCUCACUUCAUUCAAGAUAUGGGAUGAUACAUCAAAUGAAGAUGGCACCCCACCUAACAGUUGCGGUCAUCACUCUUCAUCAUGCUCAUCUCACAAAUGCCUUAUGGCACGAGGUAACACAAGUAAUCCAUUCUCUAGUGAGUAUGAUAGUGAUAGUAGUAGCAAUGAUCAAAACCCUCUCUAGUUGAAUUUACGCAUGCCAUAAUUUUUUUGAGGAAGUAUGCAUUUAACAAAAAGGUUAAUUAAAACUACGUAAGUCUAAAUUGAUUAGCUCACGAAAUGAUUACACAAAUUUGCUAGAGAAAUUUAAAUCCUUUGCAAAUUUGAAUGUUGAGCUAACAACUAAAAUUGAGCAUUUAGAAUCUAGUGCACCAUCCUCAACUAUCGAUGAGAGCUCGAUUAAAAAUAAUGAGAAACUUAAGGCUAAGUUAGUUAGCUUAGAAAAUGCUAUUGAUAACUUGCUACGUAAACUAGAAAUCCUUCGCAUAACAAUGAACUAACUACAAAGCUAGAAAGCAUCAGUAGCACCCUAGAAGCGUCUAAAUUUGGAACUCCUAAAAUUAUUAAGAAGGAUACUUCUACUUCUUGCUUGGAUUUAAUUGAUAAUAACCCUAACCCUUGCAAAAAAAGUCUUGGUUGGGAGUGUAAUUGUAGAAACAUGCUUAGAUUAGAUUUUGCAAGGGAAAUGUGGAAUUAAGGCAAGAAGUGGCUCACCUUGGUAAGACCCUGUACAACAAGAAAAGCAAAGCCAUACAAACCCAAUCUCACUAGGAUAACACCAAUGUGGGUGUGAAGAAGCUGGAUGAGGGAGAAAUUGUGAUUUGUUAGUUAUACCACAAGGAAGGACACAAGUCUUACCAAUAGAAGGUAAUGACCGAGGGAGAUAAGAAAAACCAAACAAGAAAGCUCUCAACACCUAUACCAACAAGGUGGACAACAAUCAUACAACACCAUAUCUUCUUAAGAAGAAAAAUAACAACAAGGUGAUAGCCAUCAAGGUCAAUAAGGAAGCCAGCAAAGGUAAAUGGGCCAAACAGAUUUAGGUGUCAAAGGACAUUAUUUCAAACAUGAGAGCACCAAAAAAUUUUGGGUCCUAAGAGGGAAGUGAAAAGUCUGAUGGACUACAGGGAAUUUGGAGACUUGGAAAAAAUGGGAUGUAUAUCAUGGGGUACAUUAUAUUGGAUCAAGUUUAUUGCCAAGUGGGUUAGUUAUGAUUAUGGACCCAAAUUCCCCGCCCAUGAUGAGGUAGAUUUAUUGUUAUUCCUUGUUUUUGAUAUGCUUAUCUUCCUUUAUGCAGCUAGUUUACCUUUCAUGCCUAGUAUUGCUUUCAAUUGUUAUGUUUUUCAAUUGGUAUAUCAUAUGCUUUCAAUUGUGCACUUUCAAUUUGUAUUUACUUUCAAUUGAUUAGCAUGCAUACUAGGAGAAUUAUAUCAUAGGUUUGCUCGGUUUAAUUCCUACCCUUGGAGCAAAACCUACAUGGUUUUAAAAUGCUAAAGAAAGAACAACACAUAGCUUAAUCAAAUUCCUAAAUGAAUGAUAUCCACACUUUUAUUUCAAUUGUUAUUGUUUCAAUUGCUUUUUAAUGAAGUAUCUUUCAAUUCAAUACCAUGAAAUUUUUAGUUAGUAUAAAUAAGUGCCAAAGUUUAAAUUAUAUAUAAUUUGCCCCUAAGGAUCAACUAAGGUAAUGAUGUUAUGGCAUUAUCCUUUGAAGUGGUAUUUUGACCUUAAAAGUCUAAGUGCAUGUCUCCUACAAGUAUUCACAACUUGUAUGCACACUUUUAGGGGAGGUUACUCUAUAGUUUGAUUUCUUUGAAGACUAACACAAUUUCCAAGCUUAUCAUGUAUGAAGUAGUCUCAUUGAAGGAAAAUGGAAUCCUUAGAGUAAGACAACGCACUUCCACUGUAAAUUGGUGCAUUAGUAUUUCAAUAUGAUAGAUCUUCAAUCGGUAUUAUUUACAUACCUUCUCCAUUUAUAUAGACUAUAAUAACAUGUUAGAUUUCAUUUAACCCCCAUAUUAUGCAUAUGGUUUAAAUUUCUUUUGGUAUCUAUAUACUAUUCUUUAUCUUCUAAAUAUGUAGAGAAUAGGGGGUCUACUCUAUAUAUCCAUAUGUCAAAAUUAUUGGAUCCUAUUUAGUUCUAAAUUAAAGUUUUUCAAGGGGGAGAGUUUUUCGAUAGGGGGAAUAUAUAUAUAUAUUUCACACUAGGGCGAUUACUUCACCAUAGGGGGGAACUUUCUUCAAGGGAGAACAUCUUUUUAUGAAGCUACAAGGUUUUUACCCUUCCUACAUGCUUUAAAUGUCUUCUUUUUUGGUUCUUGAUUCCAAAGGGGGACAAAUUCAAGGACCAAAGGAAACCAAAGUGUAGUAUAUCAAAUACCAAAAUCACUCUCUUUUAAAAUUUUCAUAAGUUUUAAAGUGAUUGUUUUUGUUGGUUUUGGACCAAAAUAGGAAAGAUGUGGAUUAUGGAGUUAGGGGGAGGCUUAAGUCCAUAAUUCCACAUCAUGGGGAUAAUUUUGCAUCAGCAAGAAUGUUUAUCAAAUGUUUACAGUUGACAUAUCUAUCCAAUUGAUACCACAUACAUCUUGUCUAAGCACAUGCAUCCUAGCAAGUAGAUUGCAUAUUUUUAUUUGGUAUUUAAACUAUUUGCUUGCUUUUGUUGUGUUGUCAUAAAUCACCAAUAAGAGAAAUAUUGUAAGGAAAAUAAGCAUUAUAAGUCAUAUUAAAGACCUUCGAACAUGCUAAGAGUCCAAUACACAAAGAAGUAGAAGUCCAGAUGCAAAGAGACAAACAAAAGUAAAGUCACCAAAGUCGAGACAAAAGGAUGCUUGAAUUGGAAGUAUCUCAUGAUUUUGGAUCUACUCAAAUUGACAUGACUUCAACUCUAGGUUGUAUAUCUUUCCAUUAGUUUUCCAAAAAAGUCUAAGAUCAUCAAAAUCUAAGUUCGAAGCUAAAAGUUAUGCCCAUAAUACGAAAUUGGGUGGUGCUAAAAAACGACACCUGAUAGGUCCGGUGCAAGGCCUGGUCCGCAAAUCUGAUCAAAUUGACAUGGCUUAAACUAUGGGUCAUAGAGAUUUUCCUUAUCUUUUCAAAAGUCCAAGAUCAUCAAAUUUGGAGUUUAGAGCUAAAAGUUAUGCCCAAAAUACAAGCAGGAACAUGUUGUGCAUAGGACAGGUCUAGUGUGCCAUAGGAUAGGUCCACAACUAGUGCACAAGAUAGGUCUGGUGCAUACGCAGACUGCACCAACUUUUUGACAAUGGCUCUUUUGGGCUUGUGGAGCUACAAAUAUCACCCCAACCAGCCAUUUGCAUGUGUGGAGAACUAAGAAACAUAAUGUAUGAGUUGAGACAUUAAUUCAUAGCUCAAAACACUCAAGUGUGUAAUAGAAUCACUCAGUGAUUAGCAUAGGUGCUUUUGCGAAGUGCUUAGGUUAGUUAGACCAAUGCAUAGCACUUGCUCUAGGUCUAUUCCUAGUUGAUUAGAGUGAGGUUAAACACCUACAUACCCCUCAGCUCUUGCAUGAGUUGUUGUAAUAAUAUCUUGUGGGGCGAGAGUCUUGCGAUACCACACCAAUCGCAUUUGUGGUGUGGCCGCCACCGUGUACCAGAGGGACCGAGGCCCACGGCAUUUCAACCAGAAGCUCAAUAGUGAAGACGAUGGGGAGCAUUAGAGAGAGGCCUAAAGCAGAGCACCGCUUGUGCAUAGAGAAGGCUUGGGUCUAUCUACGGAGUUACCUUUGUUUAGGUGUUUGGCCUUCACGUGGACUUCCCUUUGCAUAGGGGAACCAACGAGAAUUUGUAAGAAUCUUGCAUGAUUCUUGAUACCACAAUUAAAAUUUUAGUGCGUCAACGGAAGUUUGCAUCUCUAUCUCAUCUAAGCUUCCACAUUUAUAUUGCUUUCUUUGGUUGUAUGGUUUACCUUUCCUAGCUUAGAUUUUGGGCUAGUUGUUAGGAGUAGAACCUAGGUUGCAUAACUUCGUUUUGCGUUAGAGAUAGCAACACUUAAACAAAACCUUAGUUGCACUAGCUUAUUUGGUUAUCCACAUAGGUUUUGUUUAAGAGGUUAAAUUAGAGGCCUACAUUAGUGCGAGAAAUAGAAGUUCUAUUUCAUCCCCCUCUUUGGCAUCCACAUUCAUUUCAUGGUGGUGGGAGGAUGUUUUUGCAAAAGACCACAAGCCAAAGAUGUGAACGCCAUUUUGUUGGCUUCAACUCUCUAAUAGAAAAGGAAGGAGUGAUUGUUACCAAAACCAUCUAUUAAAUUGCUAUUUGGUACGGCUUAUAAAAAAUGUGAAGCCAUAGUACAAGCCGGUGGAGAGAAGCCCUGCCAAAAGAGGCCAUAGUUGUGCAAGUACCGAGGCGUCCGCUUUAAGCCACUAGCUGCCAUGGAGAAUAAAGAUGAUAUCAACAGGAUGUGGCUGGGAACUCCACCAUCGACAAGUUUAGAGUCCAGUUGAAACGAAGUUGGCAAAAAUGGCUAGAAGGUUGCCCGUGUCCAUGCAGACUUGGUUCCAAUAUCUUAACAAGCCAACUCAAAUAAAUGAGCCAACUCAAGCUCAAGAAAAAUGGCUAGAAGGUUGCCCGUGUCCAUGGAGACUUGGUUCCAGUAUGUUAACAAGCCAACUCAAAUUAAUGAGCCAACUCAAGCUCAAGAAUGAGCCAAGCUAAGCUAUUCCCCCAGCUCGCUUCAUUAAUAAGCUGGACCGCGUUGUUCCUCGAACUCGUUGCAUUAACUUUAGAGCAACUCCAGUAAUUCUCUAAAAGACUUACUAAAUCAAUAAUUUAGUUAGUUAACAUAAAAACUCAUCUCCAACGGUUCUUUAAAUGAAAUUACUAAAUUUAGCAACUUCUUAUCUAACCUCAUUUCCUCUCUACAUUUGACAACCAUUUAGCAACUCUCUAUACAAAAAUAUUGAGUGCAUUAUGUAGAUAAUGAAGUUAAUUGAUGACAUUUGUGACUUAUUUUUUUAUGUGGAUAGAUACAAAAUAAAACUACAACCUAUUUUUAGAGAACUAUUGGUGAACUCAUAUUUUUUACUCACAAAGUUAUUUAGUAACUUUUUAAAUCUAUGAUUUAGAGAGCUAAAAUUUACAUAACUAUUGAAGUUGUAUGUUCUUGCAUGUUGUUGACACCUUUUCGGGCGCCAAUCACUAUAACAAGAACCGGCGGUGGUGCCCUCUGCAGAGGCGCGAACGGUCCGCGGCCAGGAGCCAGACAGUCCAUGAUCUCGUACAGGGGCUUGGAUUCCCUGCCUGAUGGCCGGACGGUCCGCGCCUAAAGGCCGGAUAGUCCGCGUGUGCGCAGGGGCGGCAAAGGUUGUCGGCGGCGCCUGGAUCUCGCUCCCGGGAGGGACCCAUCGGGGAGGAGAGAUCCUAGAUGUUGUCUAGGCUCGGCAGGUCGACCUAGACUGCUCUAAUCGACAUAGAGCCGAAGAGAAGCAGAAAAUUUGGGGAUUGGAAUACUAAACUAGAACUAAACUUUAGCUACUCCUAAUGCAUAAGGUAAAAACGAGAAAUAGACUUGAUUUGAUCGAUUGUUGGGGGUUCAAUCAGUUGUAGACCUUCAUCUAUAUAAAGGGGGAGGUCUGGAUCCGCUUCAAACCGUUUCCCGAGUUAAUCCCGCAGUUUUAGGUAACAAAUCCCGCGAGAAACUAGGAACCCUAAUUGACUCUGCGCACGCGUGGGCAGUCCGCGCCACCACCGCGGACCGUCCGGCCUCAGGGCCGGCCCGUCCGUGAGCUCCUUUUGGUGUCCAACAUAUGCCCCCUUGCCUUUUGGUGAAGGUUGACGAACCAAAAGCAUAUGAACUAAAUCUGAUGUAAGUCACCAGCUUUUCAAAAUGGAGAUCAUUCAAUAAAGCACUAAUGUAUAAAGGCCGUUUCGGAAUGUAUCUUCCUCGGCCACGACCAUUUGAUCAAUGGAUCAAAAGGAAUAUAAUAGAGGUGCCCCCAGUCUGGAUAGACAAAGGGACUAUACAUGUGCCAUGGAUUCAUCGUCGUACCAUUCCAUAUUUGAACAGGAUAAUAUACCGAUGAUGAAUAAACGGGUGUAAAGUACCCUGGUCUCAUAGGAUGAACAAGCGAUGCUUGUUGUGUCGCCUUUUGGGCCAUUUUGUUCGGCCGUUUCGUUUUAGCAGGUAACCGGGGUUUCUUCGUUGACCGAUCACAUGGAACAGUCUUCUUGCUAGCAUUUUUUGCUAGCAAUUGAUCGAAAGUAGGGCCGAUAUUUACUAGCCGACCAUGUGCGUCGUGUUGUCUUUGACCUCGCGUCUCUUUCCUUGCUUUGUGUGUACGCUGACGCCUCUGGCCAUGGGCGGCCUGUCUGGCUGAGCCAGUCGGACCAUCUUGAUGAGCACCGGACUGCCCGCACAUAGGUGCCAGACCGUCCGUGAUGCUCAGGUCAGGUUGUCGUGCCCAACUCCUUAAUUGUGUCUGACCCCCGGCGCUUCCGGAUUUGUUAGUCUUAUUGUCCAGAGCUUUUCGAGCAACCUCCUUCUAUGAUAUAUUUGACACGCGAGGAUCGUCAAUGAUGAUGUCUUUGCUUUUGCUUUUAUCGGCCAUUUCGGGCCGAACUAAGACCUUUUCGCAUGCGACAUCUAUUGUAUUAACAGGAAAUGGCUGUGUGUCUACUUGCAUUUCCUGAAAAGCCAACCGGCCCUCAUUUAUGGUCGUUGUACCUAUCGACGAAAAACAUUAUAGUCAUUGGUGGCAUGAGAAAAAGAAUUAUGUCACUUACAAUAAGCACGUCUCUUUAAUUCAUCUAUAGGAGGGAUAGUAUGAGUUAAUUUAAUGUUGCCAUUUUUAAGUAGCUCAUCAAAUAUCUUAUCGCAUUUGGCAACAUUAAAGGUAAAUUUAAUCUCAUCUUGUCGAUUCUUUUGAACCAGCUGUAAGGAAGAACAUGCUGAAGAUUUGGCCUUUGUUGGACAAAUAAACUCUGCGGUAUAUACAUCUGCGGAUUCAUCAUCUGAACUAUCACGCUCAAUUAGAUGUAUAGUACGAACAGCCGAUUUUGAUGUCUCUUUAAAUCAGUUUUCACAAGCUAAAGCCCGCUGAUGUAGUUGGGCUAUCGAAAAGAACUGAGUCCCAUCUAAUUUGUCUUUUAAGUAGGAUAGCAACCCAUUAAAAGCUAACCCUGCUAGCUCUUUGUCUGUGACAUGGAUCCAAAAGCAUCGGUUUCUAGUGUCCUGGAACCUCCGGAUAUAAUCAUUAACCCAUUCUUCGCGUCCUUGGUGGACUGAAGCUAAGUCAGCUAGCCCUAAUUCAUAUUCCCCAACAAAGAAAUGUUCAUGAAAUUUACUUUCUAACUCAUUCCAGAAAUUAAUGGAAUUAGGAGGCAGGGCGGCGUACCAUGCAAAAGCGGUACCGGUAUGGGAUAAAGAAAAUAACCGAACACGAAAUGCUUCUCCAUUGGCCAAUUCACCUAGGUGUGCUAGGAACUGGCCUAUGUGUUCGUGUGUGCUUCUCCCAUGCUCACCAGAAAACUUAUAAAAUUCCGGUAUCCUUGCCCCUUUGUGGAUAUGGGUCAGCGUCAAACCGUUGAUUAUACGACUUUUGUUAUGAUUGCCCCACUCUGGCUAAACUAACUCCGAACUUAUCUCGAAAUAGUUUAGUCAUGUCUUCCCAAAUUUUUUUCCAUUGCACCCGGUGGCAAACCACCAGAUCCUGGGCUGUGGGGCUCAUUUGGUCGGGUAUUAGUAUACCGACCUUCUUGCCAUGACCGAUCGAUAGUGUUGAUCGGUCUGUGAUUGUAUGGUGUGUUAUGGUUUAAAUAUGUAGAGGGCGAAACAUACUGCUCCUGUGGUGUGUAAUAAUUUGGUGCAUGGUGUGCAACAACAGGUUCUGCAUAUGCGUAUCCAUUUUGUCCGGUGGUAAAUCCAAACUGACCGGUUGCGUUCGCCAUUAUCGGAACGCCACGUGGUAGUCCUGGUGCGGCCCCGGACUGUCCGGCAGGGAAAGUCGGACGGUCCGCAUAAGGGCCGGACGGUUCGGGCAGAAGCUCGGACGGUCCGACCGCGUCCAGGGUUGCCGAUCUGCCAAUCAGGGACGGCGGUGGUCCUAGGGCGGUCCCGGACUGUCCGGCAGAGCAAGCCGUACGGUCCGCGUAUGGGCCGGACGGUCCAGGAAGAGGCACGGAUGGUCCAACUGUGUUCAGGGGCACCGAUCUGCCAUGCAGGGACGACGGUGGUUGUAUUUGCCCUGAAUAUGAGUUCAUCGGCAUACCAUAUAAAGGUUGGGGCUGCGAAUCCCCAUUUGUUGUCGAUGCAUCAGACAUAAAUACCCUAUUACUAGUUUCAUAUGAUGGAAAACUAGGAGCAACAGACUUUUCCAACGUACGUGUUAAUUUUCUAAUUGACUCUUCUAACCCUAUAAUCUGUUGUUUCAUUUGAUCCUGCCGCUGAUCCACAUAAUAUUUAAUAGAUUGAAUAUCGUCGGGUUUACUUACGUUGGGGACUUGAAUCGAAGAUAGAAGAGAUGCGACGUCGGUCUCUCCAUGUUUGAUAACCUUUUGGUGGCGAUCCACUGUGUAUUGUGGUAAGAAUUUCUCCUUCGCUUGACGCAUGUAGUCCUCAUAUUGUUAUUGCUCAUCGGCCGUUAGAUUUUCAACAGUCGUCUUGAGGAUAUUAUCUGAGGAGAUAUCGGUAUGAUCUUUAGAACCGGCCACUUGAGGGCCUGAUUUUUAGUAGAUCUAGACACCAGAUUCCCCAACGGAGUCGCCAAAAAUAUGUUGACACCUUUUCGGGCGCCAAUUACUAUAACGAGAACCGGUGGCGGUGCCCUCUGUAGAGGCGCGAACGGUCCGCGACCAGGGCUCGGAUAGUCCGCGACCUGGUACAAGGGCUUGGGUUCCCUGCCUGACGGCCGGACGGUCCGUGCGUGCGCAGGGGCGGCGAAGGUUGCCGGCGGCGCCUGGAUCUCGCUCUCGGGAGGGACCCCGUCGGGGAGGAGAGAUCCUAGAUGUUGUCUAGGCUCGGCAGGUUGACCUAGACUACUCUAAUCGACGUAGAGCCGAAGAGAAGCGGAAAAUUUGGGGAUGGAAUACUAAACUAGAACUAAACUAGAGCUACUCCUAAUGCAUAAGGUAAAAACGAGAAAUAGAUUUGAUUUGAUCGAUUGUUGGGGGUUCAAUCGGCCGUAUCCCUUCAUCUAUAUAAAGUGGAGGUCUGGAUCCGCUUCAAACUGUUUUUCGAGUUAAUACCGUGGUUUUAGAUAACAAAUGCUGCGAGAAAAUAGGAACUCUAACUGACUCUGCGCACGCGCGGGCAGUCCGUGCCACCACCGCAGACUGUCCGGACCGUGGACCGUCCGGCCCGUCCGCGAGCUCCUUUUGGUGUCCAACACAUGUAUUUGAUUUCAGCAAAGCAAUUGCAUAUAAAUACAUAAUAUAUGUUUGUGGCCCACCUAAGAUCCAACUAAACCAUUGACCAACGGUAUAGAUUAUCAUGACGAAGAUUCCUUUAAUUUUCUUUUUGCAAUAAAAUAGCUAAAGAUAAUAAAGACAGGGAGAGGCACUUGCCGGUGUUGUUGACGUUGACGACGACGCCGGUGAGAGUAGACUCGAACGACCAAGAAAGGAUCUGGUGUCGUUCGAUGAAAUCACCGGUGGCUCCCGAGAAACCGACCGCGGCGUAUGGCGGCAGCCCGGCGUCCUUGAAGUCCACGAUCGCGCUGACGUUGUAGAGGCCCAGCUGCGGCAGAUCGUCGAACCGAAGGGUCGCCGACAGCGUGCUCACGUUGGCGUCGUAUCUGACCCACGCCGACAUGGUCCCGUUGAAGCUCCCGUCCGGCAGCGGCGUGUACGCACGGGACGUGAUGCUUUUGACGUCCACGCCAAUAUGGUUCAUGGUGUUGUUGGGGUCCCAGUCGUUCCUGAACGCGUCGAACUCCACUGCGAUGGUCGGCGGGAAGUCAAUGUUCGUGCCGAUGGGGUUGUUGAAGAGACCGAGGAAGCCGCCGUUGGAGUCCUCCGGCAGUUUUGGGGGCCACGGCCCGACGUAGAACGCCAUACCGUCGGCCUGCAGUGCGCAGCAAGUGUCACCUUCAUUCCAACGAGUGCUCGGAGCUUACCAAGCUGGGAACACGGAGAAAGCUUAAAGAGAAGUUUUUUUGGGUAAGUUGCCUGAUUGGUGCUGUUGUGUGGCUUGAUAGCGAAGGUGAAGUUGGAGGUGAAGCUGGCGACCUUGGCGGUAUCGUCCCAGAGCUGCAAAGGCUGCCCGUACGCCACCCGGCCGGUGCUCCAGAUCGCGUCCUUGGUCAGGUCGAUCCGAUCGGUGCCUCGACUGCCGUUAGACAUGUACUUGAUGUUUGCGCUAGUGAGAACGCCGGGGAUGGAGAAGUUGUAGUCGAAGCUAAUCGAGGUGACAUGGGCAAUACACAGCAGGUAGACGAAGCUGAGGAGGGGAGUGCUCUUGGCCAUGGCCGGGUGCUAACAGCUCUUUGUGCAAGUAUGUACACUACGGGGUUAUUAUGAUAAAACUCCGAUCGGUGGGAGGUAAACUCACGCGAACACACAGUGGAUACAAUCGUAUUUGUUGCUGUCGAAGGGCUGCUUACUCUCUAUUUAAAAGAAAAAACAAACGUCUGUACAUGGGAAUAGAAGACCGAGGCAAUCACGGCAUAAUCAUGAUUGAUGGUUGCCAUCCCAAUCACCUAGACGUUGCCGCAAUCUUUGCCCUGCCGCUAAUGGCGCUAGCCGCCUGUUACUAUCUAUAGUUAGCUUGUGGACUUAUUCAAACAUUCUCGUCCUAAGUCCUAGAGCAACUACUUUAAUUUCUUCAUGCCGAUCUGACCACGAAGCUCAUGUAACCGAGUGUGCCCAAGUGCUUUUGUCAGUAUGUCACCUAGUUGUAGCUCAGUGCCGACGAACUCGACGUCGAUCAGCUUCCUGUCACAGCACUCCUGGAUGAAGUGAAACUUCACGUCAAUGUGCUUACUCCGGUCGUGACGCACAUGGUUCUUCAUCAAAGCAAUGGCGGACUUGUUGUCCACCUUGAGCUUGGGAGCGAGUACCGCUCCUACGAUGAGCUCAGCCAGCAGCCGUGCCAACCAGACUGCUUCGCACGCGGCCGCAGCGGCUGCGAUAUACUCCGCCUCACAAGAAGACAGAGCAACAACCUUUUGUUUCGCCGAUUGCCAAGCAACCGGCCCUCCAGCCAGGAAGAAGAUGAGACCGUUGGUGCUCUUUUGGUCAUUGACAUCUCCUGCCAAGUCACUGUCAGAGUAACCCAGCAGCAGUGGCGCUCCUUCAUUCUUCCUCCUCGGAUGGUAGUGCAGGCCCCAGUGCAGCGUGCCUGCGACAUACCGAAGAAUACGCUUGACUGCAGCAAGGUGCUCUUGACGCGGCGCCUCCAUCAAUCGGCUAAGAUAUCCCACCGGAUACGCCAAGUCCGACCUAGAGUUGCACAGGUACCUGAGACUGCUGAUAAGACUGCGAUAUUCUGUGACAUCCACACUCGGUGUCGUCCCCUCCUUGAGCAGCUUCAGCUUCGGCUCCAUGGGUGUGGCACUGGCAUUGCAGCCAGCUAAGCCCGCCUUCUUGAGCACUUUGGUGGCGUAGGCGCUCUGACGCAGCGUGAUCCCUUGUGCUACCUGGGUGACCUCGAGCCCCAGGUAAUAGGAGAGGAGCCCAAGAUCACUCAUCUUAAAGAUCUUCUGCAUCUGCACCUUGAACUUCGCCACAGCUCCUGCAUCGCCACCUGUGAUCAACAUAUACGCCCACGAUCAGGCUUGCUUCUCCCUUGCCUCAGUGUACAUUCCAUGCUCAUCAACACAGCGCGCGAAGCCAAGGGCCAGCAGCUCGGCAUCAAGCUUCUGGUUCCAGGCGCGUGGGGCUUGGCGAAGCCCGUACAAAGCUUUGUGAAGCCAGAGCACCUUAUACUUGUGCUUGUCGUCGACGAAGCCAGGGGGUUGCUGGACGUAGACUUCUUCUUGGAGCUCCCCGUUCAAAAAAUGACGACUUCACGUCCAUGUGAUGGACAACCCAGCCGUAGUGGGCUGCAAUGGCGAGUAGCAAGCGCACAGACUCCUGUCGUGCAACCGGCGCGAAGACCUUGUAGAAGUCGACGCCAGGCUGCUGCACAUAGCCCUUGGCAACGAGGCGGGUCUUGUACUUGACAAUGUUGUCAUUCUCAUCACGCUUGACUUUGUACAUCCACUUGAGGCCUAUGGCACGGUGACCACGCGGGAGCUCGGCCAGCGACCAUGUCUUGUUGUCACGGAUCGACGCCAGCUCCUCCUCCAUCGCGGCAACCCAAUUUGGGUCACCAUCGGCCUCCUUCAAGGUCCUGGGUUCCUCCACGCUCACGACAUGUAGCUUAGCCUCCUCGUCAUGGUGCACCAGCCCGGGCGCUGCACCCACGCUAUGGAUGUUGUCCAGCGUCCGGUACCAGAGCUCCCUCUUUCCUUUGUCAUCAGUGUCGAAGUUUAGGUCGGUGGUGAGCAGCGUCGCAAACUUGAUGAGUGGGCCGGCAGCAGGUGUUGCUAUCCGCGGAGUCACAGCUCGUGGAGCAGUCAAUGGUGAAGUAGGUGUAGACGUCGUGCCCGGUGCAGCCUGUGUGCUUGUAGAAGGUGGUGUGCCCGGUGAGGACGGUGUCCCCAACGAUGAUGACAUGGGUACAACCACCUCAUCGUGGCUCCUCAGGUUGUAGUCGUACUCCAUCGUGAAGGAGUCCUCGCUCCCUAUCGUCAAUGCUUCUCCCUAGUUCCAGCGCGCGCUCUCGUCAAAAAUAGCGUCGCAUGAGACAUGGACGCGCUCGGUGACGGGGUCGUAGAAAUGAUACGCCUUUGACCCGAACUGGUAGCCGAUGAAGACGACCUUCUGCCCGCGGUCAUCGAGCUUGCUGUGGUGUGGACGCAGGUUCUUGAUGUAGGCAACACACCCGAACACCUUGAGGAAGCGCACGGGCGGCUUCUUCUUGUACCAUGCCUGGUACGGUAUCAGCCCGUCGAGCACGCUGGUGGGCGCCUGGUUGAGGAGGAAGACAACAGUAUGUACCGCCUCUCCCCAAAAGUACCCUGACAUGCUCCAUGCACGUAGGAUACUCCUCGCCGUGUUCACUAUCAUCUGGUUUCGCCGCUCUACAACGCCAUUUUGUUACGGCGAGUACGGCGCUGAGUAGUGCCGUUGGAUGCCUUCUCCUGCAUAGUAUUUGCCAAACUGCAAAUAUGUGAACUCACCACCAUUGUCGGUACGAAGUACCUUCAGCUUCUUGCCGGUUUCACGCUCAACACGCGCCUGGAACACCAUGAUUGCUGCUGGUGCAUCUGCCUUUGACCGCAACAGCGUGAGCCACAUGUAACGGCUCAUGUCGUCGACCAACAACAGGAAGUAGGCAUUCCUGGCCGGUGUAGGUGGCGAGAUCGGGCCACAGAGGUCACCAUGUACGAGUUCGAGCUCCUCCUGAGCCCAGUACUUGGCAGCCUGCGAGAACGGCGUCCUCUUUUGUUUUGCUAGAACGCAGUCCUCACAGGCUUGGUCGACGCGGUCAAUCGCCGGUAACCCAUGCACCAUGUCCGCACGUCCGAGCUUGCACAGCGACUAGAAGUUGAGGUGACCGUAGCGAUCAUGCCAGCGCCACACCACGUCGCCAACCCACGCAGUGAGACACACUAGGGCAGCGAUGUUCAUGUCGAGGAAGUACAGCUGGCUAGGUGAUCGAUGCACUUUCGCCAGUAGUUUGCGCUGCAGGUCGUAGAGGCGUAGUACGCCCGACUCGAUGGCGACCUUGAACCCGUCCUCGUCCAUAUGGCCGAGGCUCAUGAUGUUGGUGGUGAGGCGCGGGAUGUAGUAGACCCCAUCAAGACGACGGUGCUCGUCGGACUUGCACACGCAGAGGACAGUGCCCUUGCCCUUGAUGUCGACCACCGACCCGUCGCCAAAUUUUACAGUGCCGAUGAAAGCGGUGUUCAGCUCGGCGAAGACAGCCCGCGAGUCUGUCAUGUGAUUCGUCGCAGCAGUGUCGAGCACCCAGCGGCGAGAAAUCGUAGUCUCCUCCUGGCUGAGAUGGAGGAGCACCUUCAGUUCAUCGAGGUGGACAUGAACCGAUAGCUUGACGAGGUGCAGCGGUGACCUGUGAGGUGAGCACGACAUUGUUACCUCGGCAUCGGCGGCGAUGUACAUGAGCGCGUGCUCAUCUUCCUCGACCUGCGCGACAUGAGCCGCGCCCUCACUACACGACGGUUCACUUACAGCGACCUACGGUUGGUUGCUAAAACGGCCUUCAGCGACCUACGGUUGGUCGCUAAAAACUUUUAGCGACCCAUAAGGAUGGUCGCUGUAAGUGCCGUCGCUAAAGGCUUUAGCGACCGACAUCUUUUUAGCGACCGACCGUCCGUUGCUAAUAUUGUAUAUUUAGCGACCAACCGUGGGUUGCUGUACUAUAGAUUUAGCAACCAACUGUAAGUCGUCAUACUAUACAUUUAGCAACCAACAGAAAGUCGCCCUUUUUACAGUUGUUAUUAAUAAUAAUAUACAUUUAAUUAAGCACCACAAAUCACAUAUUUUUAUACACAAAUCAUAAAGACAUACGCAGUUAAUCAGUAUACCACAAUCAUAGAUCCAUCACAUAAACACAAAAGCACCACAAUUAUAAAUUCACAAAAGCAUCAUAAUUAUAAUAUCAUUCACAACUAGAUCAGUUAUGGAUAGCUAGCUAGAUCAUUCACAAAAGCUCCAGAGAUGAUCAGUCACAAAAGCACCACAGCGACAUCACUCCAGCUUGAAGUAGUUCAAAAGCCCACAACUACAUCACUAAUGUUUUAUAUCACUCCAGCUAUUGUUCAAAAGCCCACAACUACAUCACUCUAGCUGCUCCAGAGCUGAUCAGUCACAAAAGCAUUUGUUCACUCUAGUAGCUUUUGAUGCUCUAUUUUCACACCCAUAGCAGAACCUUGCAACUAGCUCAAAUGACUUGGCACCCCAGGAAUGUCAUUUAGUUUGAUGAUGCAUUCUUCUUGGUCAGAAUUUUCUUCAAUUGACCAUUCAAGAAAGGCACUUUUGAAAGUAAAGGGAACUGCAAUGAAACAGACACUGUUAUGGAGGAAAUAAUCAACAUGUAAAAAGGUUAAUUAAAGGCAUACAAGGCAAGAAAGUGAAGCAAAAGCAUUGGAACAGAAAUAAAAGGUUAUAACCAUUUUCAUAUUCUUUCAUAAAUGCCAGUAGAAGAAGCUUUACACAGGAAAUACCAAGUCAAACAAAGUAUGAUGAAAGUUUCAUUCAAAGCAAGGAACUGUUAAUUGUUGCAACAGGAUAUGGACAGAGAACAUUUGCUAGACGGGAACAAGCAGCAAAAGGGAUAUAACUAUUUUUGCUUUAUUUCUUGCACACACCAGGAAAAUACAGGAAUCCAGAAUAUGACCAGGAAAAAACGACAGUACCUUAUGAAGGUGGAAAGACAUAUCCCCAACCUCAACGGUGACAUCGCUAGGAAGUCAUGUUGUGCAGAACCUAAAAGGUUCACAAGCAUAAAAACAAUCGAAAUUCAGAUAAAUUUGUGUAUUCAGUAAGAACUGGAAAAUGAGACUCCUUAUGGUAAAAACAAUGAUGGGUGGCCACCUAGUGGUUAAUGCCAAUUUCAAAUUAUUUGUACAACCUAUUCCUGCAUAUAAACAAUUCGAGCGAUGUCCUAUAUAUUGCAGAGUCAGGUGUAGAUAUAUAUAUAUAGAGAGAGAGAUUUUGCAAUAUAUUUCUCACAAAAACACACAAUAUAUACCAAACAGGCGUUAAGAUAAAAGCACAUGUUUUUGUUGUAUACUACCACGAGCACAAAAUCACGAUGAUCCCUCUAAGUACAGGCACAUCACUUCCCAAACUAAUAGGUUUAGAGCACACAUUAAGAAAGAAAAAACUCAACCAUAUGCAACUAGACAUUUGGAGAAACAUUUCAAAUGCCACAAGUCUUCAUCACUCAAGAAUCAAAAACUAAUAAUUCCUACUUAGCCAAACAAGAACAAAAUCAAGUGCUCAAUUGCAGAUUUUCUGGACAGCACACAGUAAUCAAUUGUUUUGUUCAUAACUCACAAAAUAUUCAUCCAAAAAUAGUGAACUAAGACUUUCUGGAAAGCCUAAGAAAUCCUAUACAACUUUGGUAUUAUCAUCACUAUGAGAUUAGACACUUAAAAAGGUCAAUCAGUAUUAAAUGAUAAUGCUGUCCAGAUUUGGACGGAAUUCGACUACUCACUUCAAAACUCCAUAACUGGAGAUUUAGGCAUCCAAAACAGGUGAUCCAAGAAUUUCUAGAAAGCUUAUAAAAUUGUCUACAACUCAUUUAUAAACAUCUUAGGUUGUAUGAAACACCCGACUAAAUAUGAUCUUGGGAAGCAUGACUAGAUCAUACCAAAGUUCCUAGUAGAAGCGACAGCACAGAUCCAAUCUUGAGAUAAGAUGCAUGCUUCUACUCAGAUAAACAUACCUUAAAUAUGGGUUCCACUUUGCUGAUCCGCAAAACUAUUAACCCACCGAAAGGCCUCGUGCGGAGAAGAGGAUACGAACUUCAAGUCCGUUUGGGUUCUUCUAGGCUUCAUAAAGCAGGAGAGUCCACUGGAUAUUUUUUCAAGAGGACAAGCAUGCACGGUGAAAUACCGGAGACCAGAAUUAUAUGAUACCUGCACGGUCAUUUCAUAUAUAUUGAACUGGUUCCAAAUGUUGUGGAGUGUGGACACAGUAGAAGUGAAAAUUAUAGACGCGAGUUUUGCAAGUCAAUGAGAUAACUUACAGAUACAAUAUCCUCAAGCUUAAGGAUGUUAGAACCCCAUAUUAGGGCUUCAGUGCUGAGCCUAGCAUCAAAGCAAUUGCUACUAGAUCCUGAUCCAGACUGUUCAUUUGAUGAACUUUUUGUUUUGUUAUCUAAUGUAAGCUUUCCAGAAUAAAUUUCAGACCCUAGCAAAUCAGAUUUCUCAUCUUCAAUUCUGAUAGUAUGUGUGCUCAGCUUUUCUGAAUCCUUGAUGGCAUCAUCAACAUCCUUUUGCUUUGAGAAUAUUGAUGAGUUGCUUGUUUCUGGAGAUACAGGAGAAGGUUGUUGGUCAGCUGCAGUGGGAGAACGCUUGCUAUUUGUACGACGAAGUAUCUUAUGGAUUAACCCUCUUAGUGAAGUUAGCUUCUGCUCAUGAUGAUCAGACUUCUGCAUCUCUGACUUCUAAGGAUAUAUCCAGUACAUGGAUAACAUCGGGAGAUGUUGCAUGUUAGAAAACAUAUGAAGCAUCACUUAGGGAAGCUCAUGAGAAGCCCACUCAUGACUGAACCUGUAAAUUGUGAGUUUGUGACUGGACAUCAGCUUUACAAAAGGAUGUUCUAAGUUAUUAAACAAUAAAACAAAUGCUAAAAGCAUAUGUAAUCUAAUCUGACUAAAAUAUUAUAAGUUUUUAAAUGACUGUUAGUAGAUGUACAUGCACCUAAAUAGCCCCAAAAGUUUAGAUUUCUAGGGUCAUACAGUUUAAGAAGCCAUGACUGAGUACUGACUUUACUGCCAUCUGAAGCACCCCUGGCGUGGUGUUCUCCGCACUCGAUCGGCUCUGAUCCAAUCCACCCCGACGCGUGACGGAGAGAGCACGCACGUACAAGCAGCAGGCGUGACGCGAUGCUGCACACGGACACGGCAAGCACAUCAUUACAUCAACGCAUCGCCGUGAACUCGUGACUCAUGAACUGGCAUUGCCGUCGGCGUCGCCCCUGCACACGCUGCCAUCCCCGUCCACCUGGCCCUUGUGCUCCAGAGCCGGCCGCCCCAUCCUCUGCGCCCGCACGCAACGCCGGGAGCGAGGCCGAGGCGUCGGUGGCGUGGCACUGGCACACGGUGCGGUACGUCCGUCCGGUCUGGUGCCGGUGCCAGCAUCCAACGCGGCACUAUCCGUGUCCUCAUAGCUGCAGGGCAGGCAGCAGCCGCUGUCCAUGGCGCCACAUGCGCUGCACCUGGAGCCGUCCGUCGUCCCCGUCGCCUCGCAACGCAUUAACAAGUGCCCCGAUUCCACGGUCGACGGUCGGCCCUGCGAUGCCCGGGGACACCGUCAUGUGCAGCUCACAUGCUCCUAACCCCAGGCUGUACUGUGCCUCGCUUGCCCAGCCAGCCAGGGCCCAGAGUUUAGAUUUCUAGGGAGUUAGGGUUUGGGUGCUCGGUUUGGCACCGCAGGAAGGGAAGACGGGGUUGGGAGUACCUGGUGGUGCUUGUCGCCGGCGAAGGGUCUCAAGAAGACCUGGGCACAUGCCGCCCAGUCGUCGCCAAGAGGAGAGAGAGGGGGGGCGUCGGCCACCAAGAAGGGGAGGGCGCCAUGGGAACCAGGGAGGAGAUGGUGAGCAGAGGGGGGGGGCGAGCUGCAGCACCAGAGAGAGGGCGUGAGGGAGAUGAGAGGGGCGGCGGUGGGAAGAUGCCAGGGAGAGGGUGGAGACAGGGACGACGUGGGAGAGAGAGUUAGGUAGAUGGGCCCUAGUGGGCCUUAGGGAUAGGGAGGGUUUUCUUUUUUUAUUUAUUUCGAAAUGUAUUUUUAAAUUACUCAAAAAUUCAUAAAAAAUUUACCAAAUAAAUACUAAACAUUUGAAUAAAUUAUUAUAAAUGCAAAUAAAUAAUAAACAUUUGAAACGAUUUUCAACUCGAAUCUAAUAUCAUAUAAGCACAAAGAACACAAUUGCAUACUAUAGUCAUGUCCAUACAUAAACAAACCAUGAAAUAAACAUACAAGCAAUAUUAAAAAGAAAUAAAUCAUCACAUAAUUUAGCGAUCAAUGUUUACUUGUUUUAAUUAAUUUUUAGUCACUAACAUCUACAGGUACGUUCAGGCUAUAAGAUUAGAUAGUGAUCCUUGCUCUAUAGCGACCCACUGCUAGUCCCCGACGACAUCUAUAGCGACCAACCAUAAGUUGUUACAUUUCUAGACUUUUAGCAACCAACCGACCGUUGCUACAAAAGGAUUUAGCGACUGAUCGCCGGUCUCUAACCUUUAGCAACCAACAGUUGGUACCUAAUAAGGGUCGCUAAAGAUCAACCGUCGUGUAGUGCCUUCUUCCACCCGCGGCAAUUUUUGGCCCAAUGGCCAGUUUUGCCGCAGCUGUUGCAGCGAUCGCUCGGGGGCGGCUUGCUGCCAGCAUGCCUGGUCGCUGUGUUCUGGCCGUCACGGCCGCCGCCGCCUCGUCCGCGUCCGCGUCCAUGGCGCUUGCCGCGGCCGCUAGACCCAGAUCCGCUCCCUGAGUUUUCCUGCUCACGGUAACUUUUGCGGCAGGCCUCCCAGUCCUCCUCACAGAGCAUCAGGCGCCCCAUGGCGUCCGUGACCUCCUUGGGCUUGGAGCGUUCCUCGAACACGAGCAGCCGUCCGACGACCUCCUCGAUCGACACCUUGUUCAGAUCGAGGAACAUCUCGAGGGAGACCGUAGCCUGCGACAGGCUCUGGGACUACCUGCAACAUUUUCUUCACUACCUCGGCAUCCAAGAUGUUGUCCCCGAGGGUGCAAAGAUUGGUGGCAAGCGUCAUGAUGCGGAUUCCGAACUCGGUGACGCUCUCCCCCUCCUUGAAGGCAAGUAUACCGAAUUCACGGCGGAGUUGCUGCGCGCUGGCGUCGCGCGCGCGAUCGUCCCCGAUCUACAGUACCUUGACCGCGUCCCACGCCUCCUUCACGCUCCGCUUGCGGGCGAGGGUGCUCCACAUCUUGGAGGGGACUGAGCGUAGAAGGCCGGCCAUCGCCUGACGGUCGUCAUGGUACUCACCUUCGUCGGGGUCUUCGUCGAUGUUGAGGUGGACGGCGUCCCAUACAUGGAGUUUCUAGAAAUUCACCUCCAUCACCAAGGCCCAUUCUGAUAGUUGGUCCGGGUCAGCAUCGGCCACGCGACGUUCGCGGUAGAUCGCUCGAUGAUGCGCUCAACGAUGCGCGAUCCGGAGUCCCGGUGGCGCGAGCGGCGGCUGCUCGAGCGAUCACGAUGACGUGGCGGCGAACGUGAUGGCUGGACCUUCUUCUCGCCAGAGUCAUCACCGGUCUGUAACUUCUUCUUGAGAGGCGACUGCGAUACCAUGACUACGACGGAACUCGGCUCUGGUACCAAUUGAUAAAACUCCGAUCGGUGGGAGGUAAACUCACGCGAACACACAGUGGACACAAUCGUAUUUGUUGCUGCCGAAGGGCUACUUUUCUCUGUUGAUUGUACUCUCUAUUUAAAGGAAAAACAAGCGUCUGUACACGGGAAUAGGAGACUGAGGCAAUCACGGCAUAAUCAUGAUCGAUGGUUGCCAUCCCAACCACCUAGACGUUGCCGCAAUCUUUGCCCUGUCGCUAAUGGCGCUAGCCGCCUGUUACUUUCUAUAGUUAGCUUGUGGACUUAUUCAAACAUAUUAAAGCACACCACGAUACACAACUGCAACCAACACCGAGGAACUUUCAGUCGCGAUGUAACUCUUGCGUCGUUUCACCGAAAUUAAAUUUUCGCCAGCUGACAACUUACCAAAAAAUUAAAUUAUUAUUUUUGGUUGAUAAUAGUAAAGAAUAUCAGAGGCGCUGGAAGAGAUUGGAAAACACCGUGAUGCCCCUGGCCGGUGUGCUGCAUGUUUAUAUAUGGGCAAUAACAACCAUUGUCGUGGUUUACAUUUGGAUAAUCAUGAGUCUGUUUCAGAUAAUCACGCAGAGUUGGUUACACGAGAUAAACUCUAAUACAACCGACUAUAUGAGAUAAGAUUGAUAUACUAACUCCGCGUUAUCUGUUACAGGCGUUUUGCUUUACACGCCCCCUCAAUCACAACUUUCUCAAGUUGAGAUUGUAUUUAAAGUUUUCUAAUUUCUUCACUGUAAGAGCUUUGGUAAAACCAUCUGCAAUUUGAUCUCCUGUGGGAACAUAGUCAAUGUCCAGUAAUUUCCUGGCGACACGCUCCCUAACAAAAUGAUAAUCCACCUCAAUGUGUUUUGUUCUGGCAUGAAAGACAGGAUUAAAUGAUAAAUACUUGGCACCCAUAUUGUCUACCCAAAGUUUUGCGUCUGAGGGGCUUGAAACUUUCAGUUCAUUCAAGAGAGUUUGAAUCCACAUGAUCUCAGCUGUGGCAUUAGCUAGAGCUUUAUAUUCUGCUUCAGUGCUGGAUCGAGAUACUGUAGCUUGCUUCUUUGCAUUCCAUGACACUAAAUUAUUUCCAAGAAAGAUAGCAAAACCUCCGGUGGAUCUCCUGUCAUCGAGGCAUCCUGCCCAGUCUGCAUCUGAAAAUCCGCUCACUAGAAAGGAGGAAGAUUUGCACAAGCUUAGCCCAAGACUAAUACUAGAUUUAACAUAUCUCAAAAUUCUUUUUACUGCUGUCCAGUGAGAUGUGGUUGGAGCAUGUAGAAAUUGGCACACUUUGUUUACUGGAAAUGCAAUAUCUGGUCUUGUUAAGGUCAAAUACUGCAGGGCCCCAACUACACUUCGAUACUGAGUAGCAUCAUUUGGCCCAAGUAGAGAACCUUCAUGAAGAUGUAAUUUUUCACUUGUGGAUAACGGAGUACUCUCAGGUUUACAAUUCGCCAUGUUUGUCCUCCAUAGUAAAUCAGUUGCAUAUUUUUCCUGUGUUAACAGUAUACCGUUUUGUGUCUUGUUUACCGCUAUACCAAGGAAGUAGUGAAGAUUCCCUAAGUCCUUUAGAGCAAACUCUUCCUGCAGAUUUUUCAGUAGUGCUGAAACAGCUUCUUGCUUUGAGCUUGCCACAAUUAUGUCAUCUACAUAUAUAAGGAUAAACAUAGACACAUCUUUGCUAUUAUAGAAAAAUAGGGAAGUGUCGGCCUUGGAACUUCUAAAACCAAGAUCAAAAAGUUUCUUACUCAACCUUGCAUACCAGGCUCGAGGAGCUUGUUUUAGACCAUAAAGAGCUUUGUCUAGUUUGCAAACAUAACUUGGCUUCUCUUUGUCCUCAUAUCCAGGAGGUUGUUUCAUGUACACUUCCUCUUCAAGGAUUCCAUGAAGAAAAGCAUUUUGCACAUCCAAUUGACGAAGAGACCACCCCCUAGAGAUAGCAAUAGAGAGAACAAUCCUGAUAGUAGUUGGCUUGACCACAGGGCUAAAACUGUCCUCAUAAUCAAUACCAUACCUUUGUUUAAAUCCUUUUGCAACCAGGCGAGCUUUAUAUCUAUCUAAGCUUCCAUCUUGUUUUCUUUUAAUUUUAUAAACCCAUUUACAGUCAAUUAUAUUCCUGCCUUUUUGAGGUGGAACUAAGUGCCAGGUUCUAUUCUUUUCUAGUGCCAUAAAUUCAGCAUCCAUAGCAUUUUUCCAGUUUUUAUCACUCAAGGCGUCUUCUAAGUUUCGUGGUUCACCAGAAGUUGUAAGAAAAUUGUACUUGAUAGUGCCAUCAGUAUAAACUUUGGGCUUACGGAUUCCAUGUUGGAGACGUGUACUCGGGCGCCGCUGUUCCAUAUGCUGCGACUACUGUUGGUCCCCCCCGGGUGCAGAGGAUCCAAGAGGCGGGGCGUCCGUGGCUGCAGGCGGAUCGUGUAUGGCGCUCUCAUCCAACUGCAUGGCGGGCAGGGCAGCAUCGUCAACAGGAGCUGGCAUAGGUGACUCGGCCUCAGUACUUGGGCCGGAAGCAUCAUUUGACCCGGCUGUGUCCUGCACAGGUGGAGAGCUCAAAGCACAUGGAUUAGUAGUGUUAGUAGAACAUGUAGGCACAUGAUUAUCCACAUGUUGCCCCCCAUAACCGGUGAUAAUAUCAGAAUGUUGAAGGGAUGGAGGAAGAAGGGAAAUUUCUUGUUGGUGACGACGACCAGCAUUGGGGCGGAGAGAGGAGAAGGGAAAAAUUGUUUCAUCAAAGAUGACAUCCCUUGAAAUAUAGACUCGUCCUGAAGAAAGAUCAAGACAUUUGAAACCUUUGUGAAAAUUACUAUAUCCUAGAAAGACACAUUGACGGGAGCGGAAUUGAAGCUUUUGAGAAUUAUAGGGACGAAGGUUAGGCCAGCAAGCACAACCAAAAAUGCACAAAAAGGAGUAAUUUGGUUUUUGGUGAAAAAGACGCUCCAAAGGUGUUUCAUAAUUUAUGGUUUUGCUAGGAGUACGGUUGAUCAAAUAAAUAGCUGCAAGGAAGGCGUCAUCCCAGUAUUUCAGGGGCAUAGAAGCAUGAGCAAGAAGGGCUAGACCAACUUCAACAAUAUGGCGGUGUUUUCUCUCCGCCGACCCAUUCUGUUGAUGUGCAUAAGGACAGGAGAUAUGAUGGCUAAUUCCAACUUUAGCAAAGAAGGAAUGAAGUUUUUGAUAUUCUCCGCCCCAAUCGGUUUGCAUGGUUAUUAUUUUGCGAUCGAAAAGACGCUCAACGAGAGUCUGAAAUUCAACAAACUUUUGAAAGACUUCGGAUUUGAAUUUGAGAGGAUAAAUCCAAGUAAAUUUACUAUAAUCAUCGAUAAAACUGACAUAAUAUUUAUUGCCUCCUAUAGAGUUGGGUGCAUGACCCCAAACAUCAGAGAAAACGAGUUCUAAGGGAUGACUCGACACAUGACUUGACUUGGGAUAAGGUAACUGAUGACUCUUAGCCUUUUGAUAGGCGUCACAAACAGACUGUUUAUUCUUCUCACUAGAACAAGGGAGAUUAAAACGACGAAUAACUUUUUCUACUAUAGGAACAGAGGGAUGACCUAGACGACUAUGCCAUUUUUCAAUAGAUGGUCUAGUGGCUCCAUAUGCUUGCUUGGAUGAUGUCAAUGGCAAAGGAUAGAGCCCUUUGUGGCAGCGUCCUUUAAGCAGAGGUCUCUUCGUGGCCUGAUCCUUGAUCACAAAGAAAUUGGGAUGAAAUUCAAGAAAGGCUGAGUUAUCGGUGGCUAGUUUAUGAACUGAGACAAGAUUCUUUGUAACUUGAGGAACAUAAAGAAUGUUAUUGAGUUUAAGAUCACGGUUAUGAGUUGGAACAGUUGAAUAACCAAUGCGACUAAUGUUCAUACCUGCACCACUUGCCGUGUGGAUCUGAUCAUGGCCUCUGUAUUGGUCAUGUACUGCUAGCCUCUCAAGAUCUCCGGUGAUGUGAUCUGUGGCUCCAGUAUCUACAUACCAGUUUGAGUCUGCUCCAUAUGAUGUGGCUGCUGCCCCUGCAUAUUUUUCAUUGGGAACAAAAUUUUCGUCAAAGCGAUGCCAACACUUCAUUACCAGAUGUCCUCUUUUGCCACAGAGCUGGCACUUGGGCCUGCUGUCUUGUUGUGGAGCGUUUCUGUUGCCGAUGCCAAUCUGGCGAGACUGAGAUCCGCCAUGUCCUCGGCCUCUAGAAUCUCUACUUCCUCCACCACGGUUGCCGCUUCUUCCUCGGGAACUUCCUCUUCCACGGGUGGCAGCGUUGACGGAGUAGGAGUCUGACUCGCGUAGGAGAUCCAGCCGUUGCUCAUAACUGAGCAGUUGGGAGUACACCUCCCCAAUGGUGAGCGGAUCAGCUCGCGCGACGAGGGAGGUGAUGACCGGAUUGUAGUCGUAGUCGAGGCCGGUGAUGAUGUACGAAAUGAGCUCGUCGUCGUCGAUCGGCUUGCCGGAGUUUGCCAUCUCAUCUCCCAGGGCCCUCAUCUUGCCGACAUAUUCAGCAAUUGUGAGGUCCCCUUUCUUGGUGGUGGCGAGGGCGAUUCUUGUGUUGAUGGAGCGUGCCUUGGUCAUGGAGGAGUAAAUUGUUUCGAUGACCUUCCAGGUUUCUGUGGCAGUUUUGCAUGCCGCUACCUGGGUGAGGGCUUCCUUGGUCAUGGAUGACAGCAAGAAUCCUAGGACCUGUUGGUCUGUGGUCUUCCAGUCCUCCCAUGCCGGAUUGGGAACGUCGACGUCCUUGUCCUUGAUGGUGGUCGCCAGAGCUGCAGCAGCACCCGUGAGGUAACCCUCCAGGCGCACACCCCUGACGGCGGCUAGGACUUGCAUCUUCCAGAGUUGAUAGUUCCCCUUGGCCAGUUUCUCAGAAACAGCUUGACCGACGAGGGGAUUGAUAAUUGCAGCAGUGCUCGACAUGAUGAUUCUCUGGUGGAUUUUGGUGUUUAUGGAUUGGCUCUGAUUACCAUAAAGAAUAUCAGAGGCGUUGGAAGAGAUUGGAAAACACCGUGAUGCCCCUGGCCGGUGUGCUGCAUGUUUAUAUAUGGGCAAUAACAACCAUUGCCGUGGUUUACAUUUGGAUAAUCAUGAGUCUGUUUCAGAUAAUCAAGCAGAGUUGGUUACACGAGAUAAACUCUAAUACAACCGACUAUAUGAGAUAAGAUUGAUAUACUAACUCUGCGUUAUCUGUUACAGGCGUUUUGCUUUACAAAUAGACCAUCCAAAUCUAACUUAUUUUUGGUAGCUGACAACAAGCCCUCCAAUGACUCCACCAGUGCCCACCUAUACCUAUGUCCGUGGAUCACCACGCCCAAGCAGCCUCCACGCAACUAUCGAUUCAUGGCUACCUGUGCCACACCGUUAUGUUCUUAUUAGUCCUCUGUCGCAUACUUCAAUAAUAAUCAUAAAUAGUAUGACUUGGUCAUGCACAACAUUAUUUAACUGUUUUAAUAUUACAUUAAUAGAUAAUUAUUUUAAUAUUAUUUCAGUAGAGUAACGAAACCUCUGUGUUACCCAUUUUGAACCGACAAUUGUCACAAGCGUCACACAUGCGAGAUUUGCCAAUCCAAAAUUGUCCCUUACUUGGAAAGCCUCCAAAUGACCAAUAUAACAUGGUAUUUAUGAGGAUCUAUGUGGUUCGAAUAAAAUUUUAAUGGCAUAACCUAUAUUAUUCUCCACUGCACCAAAUUUGAAAGUAGAAGUGGAGAACAACGGUAUUAUACUGCUGAAAUUUUGAUCGAACCUUAUAGGCUUGUCAUAAAUCCGCUCUAUGCCGGUCACUCUAGGGUGGAUUUAGAAUAUAUCUUUACCUAUAGCCAAUAUAAAACACUCAUCAUUGUAUACCUUGCUUUAUUCUAUAGUCUCAAAUAUAGAUGAGAACCAUCUGUCGAUGUAUGAUGGUUGGAAUAAAAGUCGGGUGACUCAGCUGAAAGGAUUGCUAAAACUAACAAUUUUAUCAAUCGUGAUAUUUCUUUGUCAACUAUCGAUAAGGUCCAAUGUCUGUGCAACAACUAUCAAAACGUAAAGUUAUUUGCAUGGCUUUAGGUUACGAAUGCGUUCAUGAAGCAUGUGAAAGGGCUACUGGUUAAUAAUUUUCAGAAGUAUUCAGAUACAUACUUGAUCGUGGAGUAUCUAUAGGUAUAUAAUAUUUGGAAACAAGAUUACUUAAUUAAGAUAUUACUUUUGUUUUAAUACAUUAACAAAUGUGUAGGCCCAACUCCUAUCGUUGGAGGUUCAUCCAAAUGCUCAUCAUUCAUUGGGUUUUAAAGAAUUUCAAGAGAAAACAAUGAUGAAAAGAAGCUAAGUGAACAAGGGUGGAAAGUAUAUGUUUGGAGGCGAUGGAUACAUUCGUAUGGCUAGACGAAUGGUAAGACAUGUCAAAUAAGAUUUUCAGAAACAUAUCUAUGUAGUCAGCAAGCAUCAUAACGAUUGUUCAUUUUUUAAUAUCUAGAAUUAGUUGUGAUACAUUAAGAUCUAUGUUUUAAGUUUGUUUUUCUAAUUGUAGUAGCGAUAUGGGUAGGAGAUGGUUUGACGGCAAGGCAAAAACUACAAUUGGCAGAAUAUAUUGACUAACCUGAUGGCAGUGCAUGCUAGUGGCGGUGGAAAAACGUAUGGACAAUGAUAUCAUAAUUUCUAUUACUUAAACUAAAAUUUUGUUUACCUAGGUGACAGACUCAAUAAAUACCAUCACGAGAGGAUCUUCCACUUAGAAUUUGGGUGGGUAGUUACUGAUGUUGCCGCAUGGAGCAAGACAUAGUAAUCAAGAAUCAGCAUUAGGCACUGAAGGCACAAAAUGAGUACAACAUGAGGUGACAAGAUUGUUACAGACAACAAGAGUACUAUAGGUAGCAUCAAGAGUAAUUUGCUAACUACACCGCUCACAAACAAAAUUGGAUUAUCGUAAAUUUGAUUCUAGGAAAAUUAGUAAUUCGACCAUUUAGCACUACUAACUAGUUGCUUUUUUAGGGAAUAUUACCACAGCAGCAUGCCCAUAUAAAUAUCUUAUCACGGUGGCAUCCAUUGCCACCAUUGUCACACCCGAGUUUUAGAGCACCAAGACCCGGGAACGGACAUAAUCACCAGAUAUGCUGGGACCAAGUCUCACACAUAUGAUGAAUAGUGGUACAAAAACGAAUGUCACAUCUUUACUAUAUAAUAGGGGCUCUGUACAAAAUAAAUAAAUAAUUACAUCAUAUGAAGACACGAUCCAGCCACCCAAAGUUGACUGGAAGACAACGGCCUAGACCUCUCACAACUCGUCACAACAUCCUCCAAACGCCUCAUCAUGUGGUACCUGUUCUUGACCUGGGGGUGAGACAGUAAGAGUGAGCUCACAUACGUUCAUCGCUCAACAAGUUGUGAGGAAUAAUGUGCAUGAACUCGCCAAAGGUGGGAGCUCAUGUGAAGUGUAAGGCUUACCAAAGAGGAUGGUUAAAGCUGAGCAUUGCUUUUAAAGUUGGUCAAAAUUUUAUUAGCAAUUACUAAGUAUAAGUAAAUACCAAACCCAAUUAAGUAGUAAAACAAAAGUAAUAACAACACCUGCGAUGCAAUGCGUAUGACAAAUUGAAUUUAGUUCCAUAAAUUAAUCAUGUGAGUGUCCGAGCUGCUCAUGACCGUGAGCACGACUAGUAUACCAGUUUUACACUCUGCAGAGGUUGCACAUCUUUACGCACAAAUGUUACCCAUCUGCCAAGGGAUCGCGACUUCUCAUACACCUCUAUUGAGGAGGCGAGGCAGGGUAACACUACGAGGCCUUUACAAAGUUCCACUAGCUUCAGAAAACCCGCUACAGUUUCUAGGAAGCUCCAAUGCAGGGACCCCUCGCCUGACCGCCAUCGCAGCAAAAUCAACCCAAGGACCUCCCUACACUGACCACUCCCCUACUGCCCUUGCCCCUUUCGGGUAAGGUAGUCCUCCACUAGCUUUUCUAAUUAGUCAGCCAAGGACGACUCAUACCACCCUUGUGGUAGCACUGUUUUUCCGGCUGGUUCUCCAUGUUCCAAUUAACAGAAUGAUCUUAUCAUGAAUAGUAAAUAACAAGCUGAUAACAAAAGUAUGAUCAUGAAUAAUGUAUAUCUCCAUACCUAAAACCACAUAAAGCAAUAGCAUAUACUACCCAAAAAUUCAGUGGUAAACAAGGUAUAAAGAUAGCCAAACUAGGGUAACCUAUUGGGUCCCAUUAAAAUUAACCUAUGCAGAUCAUUAUGAUUAAUAAGAACAUGAUUGAGUAAAAAGAAAUGAUCAAGGGCACAAUUUGCCUGGGACUUGAGAUUUCAGGUAUCAACUUGCUCUUCAAUGACUUGUAACCUCGCGCUAGACGUAGCAAUACAAAUAAACAGGGUAUAGGCAAAAUUAACAUUACACCAUACAUAAGAACAAACUGCAUAAUAAUAAUAUACGCGUCGCUACGAGAUCGUAGGUUCAAAAACCAUUAAAAUAGGAGUUAAAACGAAGAAUUUAUGGAUAAAAUGAUUUUUUAGACGCAAUAAAUCUAAUAGAUGCGGUCUAACAGAAAUUGCAUUUAAACUAGGCAGGUGUUAAAUUAAAAUAUUUGAGUUCAUAUUAAUUAUUAACAAUUAUUUAUAUAAUACGUAGGUUAGAACUAUAAAUUAGAUUAACUAGGUUAUCUAGCUAAUUAACAUUAAUUAAACAAGUAAUUCAUUAAUUAUUAAUUAACUAUGUCAUGUGGCAUAAUUAAAAAAUAUUAUUACUGCGUACAAAAAAUUAAUAUGAGUCUAACACAACUUGAACAUAUUAAAAUAAAAUAUUUGACUAGAAGAUAUUACAUUUUUAAUAAAUUAGUAGGGCUAUAUAGAAAUAUGUGACAUGACGCAAUCUGAUUAGUUAGAUCGUGAUCACAUAAAAAAUUACAGAGUUAAUAGAUGUAAUAUAUAGAAUCUUGGUGUGACCAUAUUGUACCUAUGGGUGGAUAUUAAGCCAGCUCAGCUCGUUAUGAUUCGUUACUGUAACGAGCCAGCUCGACUCGGCUCAUUAUACUAACGAGUUAAACAUCUGGCUCGGCUCGGCUCGUUAGGAAGCUCGAGCCAGCUCGUUAGGCUCGCGAGCCACACAACUAAAUACAUAAAUCUAUGUACAUAAAUAUAUAUAACCGAAAAAUCAUAUUUUAAGUGUUUAACACUACAAACCCAAAACAUUUAUAAUAUUAUUAUCAUAUCAUCGCCCUAGCUUCAAACUUUUAAUAUUAAAUUAAAUAACCAAAUAUGUACUAACUUACAGAUUUACAAACCCUUAUUAUAAUAAGACAACAACAAGCAUCAUUGUAAAGCAAUUCAUCAUCCAUUCCACAAACAUGUAACAUUUUAUUGCACAACACUAACAUCAUAUGCUGCUAGAAAUAAAGUUCACAAAACCAUAAUCAAUAAUAAAAUAUUAAAUAUGUAAUGUAGGUAUGUAGCCAUACAAUAAUGCAAAUAUUUAAGCACAUGGCACAUCCACACAUGUCCAUAUUAUAGAUCAUAACUACGAGAAAACAAGGCUAUGAGAGAUGAAACGACACCAACAACUAGACAAACUUGUGUUGUGGCUUGGCUCGUUUGGCUCACGAGCUAGCUCACGAGUUAACCUGAGCUGGCUCAUUAGAGAACCGAGCUAGAAUGCUAACUUGACUCGCUACAAAAUUAAAACGAGCCGAGUCGAGCCGAUCUACUAACGAGCCGAGUCGAUCGAGUUAUCGAGCCCAAGUAUUUCGUCCAGCCCUAAUUGUACCUUCCUUCCUUGUUUCCUCAGCAGCCGCAGAGAACAGGAACGCACAACAUUUACCAACGACACCCGUGACCGUGAAUGCAACAUUCCUAUUUUUUUUUACUGGUAACGCGGCCGCACUGGGCACUGUCCCGCUUGACCGGCAACGCGGCCAGGUCCACCCCGGAGCACGGGCGAUGACGACUGGCCGUCCACCACGAUUCCACGAAGACUCGGAAGUCCCAUCUUGGCAAGGAGGGAGAGGGUGCAGAAAAAAAAGUGGUCCAAAGAUGCGGGCUCCACACACUGCCAUGACGCCAUGACGGCAAUGCCUUCGUCAAAGGGGUCUAGCUGGACUAGCUACCGCAAGGGGGAAAAGGCUUGGCUAUACAUCUCCAAAUGGACGUGCCGGGCCAGCCCGGCACGGGCACGAUUAGGCACGGCCUGACUCAGUCGUGCCUAGGCACGACACGCCAGUUGGACGGGCCGGGCUGGGCUGACACGUGGGCCAAAUGUGCUGCUCAGGCACGACACGCCCACGGUUAAACGGGUUGGGCUGGGCCGGCGGCACGGUUAGCUUGUUAGUGUCGGGCUAGGCUCGAGCCUAGUAACCAAAUUCACAGAAUAUAUCAAAUUUAAUAGAAAUGUAAAUAAAACAUCACAUUAAAACCAUACAUGUACACAGAAUAUAUCAAAUUUAACAUAAAUACUUGUGGAGCCUUAGUACAAUGCUGCCUCAUUAAAAACCUUCCUAUAUAAAAACUCACACCUCGUGAGAAAACCCUAGGAAGGAAAUAAGUACAGCCAGCUCCUUAAAUUAUUUAUAGGUUCAUAGUUCAGUCCACAGUCCAUAUGAGCAUACUACAAAUAAGAGAACAUAAAUAGGUAGAAAAAGAAAGAGAAUAAGUUUAAGGUUGUUUGCUUUUUGAACUCUUUGGUGCUGCUUCCUUUCUCGUAUCUCCUCCUCCUUCAUGUUCCUUUCUUUUGCUACCUGGUGAUACUCGUUGCUCAUCAUCUAGGUACAUAUCUUCAAAGGUUGCUUCAAGGUCUUUGGUUUUCUUCUUCACAGUAUGUUGCUUGUGCUAGUCAGCCAACUCCCAAUCCUUGAUACAUGAGAGCACUUCCACCAUGUCUGUCGUCAACCGUCGUCGCCGCUCCUCGAGCAUCCUGCUAGCUAGACUGAAAGUAGAUUCUUAAGAUAUUGUAGAAACAGGGACAGUCAUAACAUCUUUAGCUAGUAUAGAAAGAAUAGGGUAAGUUCGAUUGUGGCGUUGCCACCACAUAAGAAUGUUGAAAUCAUGCCCAAAUUUAGUUUCAGUGUCACUAUCAAGGUAAGAAGUUAACUCAGAUAAACCAGUAGAUGUACCAGCUGUACCAGUAUUGCUGUAAUUUUCAUCAUCACCAUAUAUAUCAUCUCAUGCCUCUGUGGCCUUACUAGAACCACUACCUGAUUGUGGUUGAGGAGUCAAGCAAACUCCUUCAAAUUUGGCCUCAUAAAUUUGAUACAUCUUAGUUAACUUGCAUCUAACACAUGAAGGAUAUCUACUAUAGUCAGUCCCAUUAAGAGAAGAUAAUCUUUGAAGAACUUUAUGAAAGCCCCUCAUCUUUGCUCUAGGAUCAAGAAUGAAAGCAAAUGCAUAAAGAAUGGGUAUUUCCCUCCAAUAUUUCAGAAAUUUUGUCAUCAUAGGUACAACAGCAUUUCUUAAAAGUUCAUGAUUCUCAUAUGCAUUUAGAUGUCUAGCAAUUUUCAAAAUAUGAUGCAGCAUUAAAAGUGAUGUAGGGUAAUAUAUCCCAGAAAGUGCAACAGUUGAGUCAUAGAAUAAUUGAAGGAAACACAACAAUUUUUCAGCAACAACCCAAUGAUUAUCACUCAAUGAAAAAGACCCAUCCUCUUUGCAAGUAUAAUUAGUUCUAAUCCACACAGAGAAAGUGCUAUGAUAAGGAACUAAAUGUUUAAGCAUCAGGAAUGUUGAAUUCCACCUAACAUCCAUAUCUACUCCAAAUUUACGUGGUCUAACGCCAACACUCAUGCAGUACUGUUUAUAAGAAGCAAUUCUUUGAUUUGAAGAGUUUAAAAAUGUUAUAGCAGUCCUAAAGACUUCAAGAUAUGGUUGCAAACGUUUCAAACAACUUUUAACAAUCAGAUUUGUAAUAUGGCAAGCGCAACGCUGAUGCAAAAAGAUAUUACUCAAAUCACUCUCAUUCCUACUAGGUGCAGGUAUCAAAUGGCCAAUAUAACCAGAAAAUACAAGUUUCAGAACAUCAAUAGCAGUUUUGUUAGAUGAGGCAUUAUCAAGCACAAUAGCAAAAAUCUUAUCAGUAAUGCUAUAGUCAUUUGCAACCAUUUCAACACGCUCAGCAAUGUUAAGACCUAUAUGAGCUACCUCUAUAGGUCCAAGACCAAGCAAUCUCUUUUCUAAACACCAAUCAGAGUUCACAAAAUGAGCAACAACACUAAUAUAGUCCUCUUUAGCUUUACCAGACCAUAUAUCAGAUGUCAAAGCAAUAGAUGAAACAUGUUUAAGGACUUCAAUAAGUAGUUCAACACAAUCAUUAAACAGUUGAAUCAAGUCUCUAGCAGUAGUUUUCCUAGAAGAUUUAAUAAACCUUGGAUUAUGGGCACGAGUUAUAUACUCCUGAAAAGCACUAGAUUCACCAAAACAAAGUGGCAGGUCUAGCCUAGUUAUUAAGCGACAAAGCUCAGUUCUAGCAACAGAAGGGGAAUACUCCCAAUGAUUAACAGAUCCAUCUGAAUUAUAUUUAAGCAAAGACUGAGAUUUCCCAGAUCUAUCCUUCUCUUUCUUAGCAGGGCAAAGAUCCAAGUGUCUGAUCAAAUGGCCAGUUCUAGAUGAAGAUUUAGCAGACAUGCUAUUCUUGCAGUGAAGACAAAUGGCAGAUACUCUUACCUCCUUACCAUUUUGCAUCGCAGUUACCUCCUCAAAGUGUAGCCAUACCUUAGAGGUCAGAGCUCUCCUCCUAGAACGUUUACCAGGCACAGGGACAGAGUUGCUCACGUCGGCCAUUGGGCUUGUGGAGCCCAUGUAUGUUCGGGUCGUUUGGGCCCCAGCGCCGUCCAGAUCGAUGGUAGUGGGACCAAGGAGGAGGCACCGGGCAUCCUCUACCUCAUUAUGUGCUUCAAGUCGCUGCUCCUCGACCAUGACAUUGAGAUUGAGCUCAUCGUCAGCCGAGUCCGUGGACAUGGCCACCGCCUUAGUCGGCUUCUCCGGCUCCUCACGGUGCGUGGCGCACACACACGGCGCACACCUGAACAAAUCGAGCUUAGGUUUAGGGUUACGUGCUCACGGCGGUGGAGCGAGAGAACGAGAAAGGAAGACGAGACGUCGAGACCUAGAGACCGAGAAGGAAGACGACACACACACAAAUGACUCAUGGCGACGGAGCGAGAAAGGAAGAAAGGACCGAAAGAACGAGAUUUAGGGUUACCUGCAACACCGGAGCACCGGAUCCACCAACCACAAGGCAGACGACAGAGUCGCAGAGGUAGAGGAGCGAGCUUGGCGCAGAUCGAGGUUUAGCCAUUUAGGGUUAGGGUUAGGGUGCACCGUUACAGUGAACAAGCGGAGCGAGAAAGGAAGAGGAUAGGACGGACCGAGAGAGGAAGAGGAAGAUUAGCGUCGGUCGUCGGUAGGAGUUCUUCUCCACCGGCGGCGGCCACCAACAAGUGCUAACGGCGGGCGGCGGCACAAAAAUCGCCAAGCCAAGUCGCCUGAGACCGCGAGAGGAGAGCAGGGUUCUGAAAUUAGGAGAAAGGAGCAACCGCGGGUCGUCGCGUGUGACGGCGUCAUUUUUGAUCGGGCUGAUGUCGUGCCUGCGCUUAACCGGGCCGGGCUCGUGCCACCACCGCGUGCCAAGCCGCCUGCCCAAGCACGGCACACGCACCGGACCGAGCCGGCACGGGCAGGGCGGCCUGCAUGCCGGGCCGGGCCUGGGCCGUGCUAAGGCGUGCCGGGCCAUGGGCUGCACAUCGGGCCGGCCCGGUUUGGACAUGUAUAGGCUUGGCUAUAUAGUUGCAUGGGGUGAGCUAGAAUCGCAACCGUCGACAAGAUAUGUGGAGGUUGUUACCAGCAUGACAAUCCAGCAUUUAGUUCCAACAGAAUCCCCCACGAAGGAGAUCGAGCAGGCAAUAGUGGCCCACCGAUCAAUGGCAUGCACACGUGAACACAUUCCUGUUGUGGCCGCAUGAAUUUUCAGCCCAGGUUCAGCUUAUUCUUUUAUUCCUCCUAUUUCCAGUCUUCUUCUCCCUUUUCUUAUUUUUUAUCUUAAUUUUAAAUUUCAAAUCCAGGAUUUCAAAAAUGGAUGCACAAUCAAAACAUCAGCAUGUGAUGCAAGGAUUUAUUAUAUAUAUAUUGUCGGAGAGAAAAUCCUCCGGCCGGGUGGCGGAACUCACCCGCCCUAAUCCUAAGAUGAAGAGGGGCCUAAGCGUUUUGCCUGUCUAUUGGAAGGUGGAAGAAACACACGAGGACACGAGAGUUUAGAGUGGUUCAGGCCGCCGGAGCGUAAUACCCAACCUCCACUGUGUGAGUAGUAUUGAGAGUGUGAGAGCUUGUGAGCUUGAGAGUCUGUGUGAACCUGAGAGAGCUUGUCCUUGUAACGCUGUGUGCCUUCCCUUUUAUAGUCUAAGGGAAGGCACAUACAAGAAUACUGAGCCCCGACAUGUGGGCCCAGGAACAUAACGGAAGGAAUACAUUAUGUGAGUAGUUAAUGCUAGUAAUGUCUGAGCAAUCACCGGGAGUCUUGAUGUCCGCAAUCGAUGCCACAUUGAUGGGCAGUUACCGUACGAGUAAUACGGGAGUAAUGGUGAGUAACUGUGUUGCCCACGUAUCAUGGACUGAGCAUGCUGCCUGUCAGUGGAAUGGAUAGGCGCACGUCUUAUCAGUCGUGAAGGCACGCAUAGCCCAGAGGCGUCACGCUGGGUUCCACUCGUUGGCUUAUGCCGCACGCAGUAUGCCACGUGGCAGCAUCGGGGCUCCACCUGAGCGGGGAGUAGGAGUGUAUGCGGAUAGGUCCGGAGCGCACCAGAGCAGAUCUAGACACGUGUCAGCUCCGGACCCCCGCCUGGACCUUAAGUAAGGUCUUGGGACCCCAAUGUGGGCGGUCUGGACCCCAUACAGAGGGGUCUGGAUCCCAUUCUAGGGGUCCGGUCCGUACACGUGGGGUCCUGGACCAUCUUGGAGGUCCGAAUUGUAUAUCCAGGGGUCCGACACUUUCCCAUGGGGGUCCGGACUCACUGUUGACGCCUUCGAGUAUAUCACUUUCUCUGGCCACGUGGCAGCCCCGGAGCCACCCACGUGGUGGCGUCAGGUGCUGUUGCUGGCCCAGAGUAGUCGCCUGAGGCUGGGGCGAGUCAUGGUCUGGUCCCGCGUACAACUCCUUUACCACACGACUAAAGAUAGCCCGCGUGGGUACUGGGUCUUCAUACAGUAGUAAUGAGUACCCUAGUUUUAGGGUACCGACAGUGGCCUCCAGGCCCACCUCAGGGGAGGAUGUGAGCCUGCAGGUGGGGCCAAAGCUUGUACUUCGCUUCAACAUUGCCUGAUUAGCGAUUGGCGCGCCGUUUCCGCGCGUCUGCUGACGUAUUCACCAUCAAUCCGCCUUCAGUCACGCCAACUGCCAUAUUUGUCCUCGCGGUGACUGACCCGCGACCCCCACACCUGGUGGUUUCGUCGGGCCACGUGCGGGGUGCCUCGAUACCGCUGCAUUGGUUUUUUAAAAAAUUACCUUCUCUGUCUUCUGCCGCGGCCCCGAGGAGGCACACUACCGGCGCGUGCGGCAGUUCGCUCUUUCUGCACCCGGGAACCAGCACUCAAGGAGUAUGACCCGUGGGCCUGGGCCCCUGUGUCAUAGACUGGGCUGUUGUCUUUUGCGGCAAAAAUGAAGAGGCGCGCUACCGCGUGUGGCGGUUUGCUCUUCAAGCGCGUGCGGCGGUUCGUUCCUUCUGCACCUGAAAUCCAACUCGCAAAGUGUAUGACUUGUGGACCUAGGCCCCGUGUCAUAGACUGGGCUGCCUGGAUCUAGGUGCCCGUCGCGCGUGAUCUCUUGCGGCGAUUGAGGGGCGCGCGGAAGGGUUUCCUUGAGCGAGGACUCUGAUUUCCUUGAAAAAGGGUUCACCCCCGCGUGCAGUAGUUACCCUUUCGCAUUCUCUUCCAAUCGAUUGCACCCUUUCGCCUUCGUGCUCCUUCGUUCCAUGCCCACGCCGCCGGCUGUGCCCUUUUGCCUUCGCGCUCCUCAGUUCCACACCUGCGCCGCCGUGCACGCCAUGGCUUCACUCGGCCACCCCGACCGCUUCUAGUCUGAGGCGGUGCUCAACCUAGUGCAUGGCCUGCUUGGGUGGAGCGUGCCAGCGUACGCCGCAAGGAUCCGCACCGGCGCCGCUCCCCUCGGUGAUCUCGCCUUCAGGGAGUUUGUUCUAUUCGUCUCCUACGUCUCCUGCGGGUUGGCUCUGCCGAUCUCGCCUUUCUUCAUGCUGCUGUUGGAGGAGUUCAAGCUCUAGCUUCAGCACCUUACGCCCAACUCUAUCCUCCAAUCGGCCAUCUUCGUCCACCUCUGCGAGAUGUUCGUAGGGGUGGCCCCCUGCACUUCCUUCUUCUGCCAUUUCUUCAUGCUGGUCAAGUCUGGGAAGGCUAGGGACCAUCUUGGUGCCUACUACUUUCAGACGAGGCCGGAUUCGGCCGUAGCCUACAUCUCCACCUUCGGCGGCGCGAGGUGGGAAAACUGGCACGCCGACUGGGUGAUCGCCAGCGCCGAAGCCAACGACCGCCUCGUCCUGCCGAGCAACGGGCCAUCCCUCGACCGCAAGCACUAGAGAACCAAGCCAUCGCUAUCGCUAGAGCUCCUGCCCGUACUGGACAGGAUCAAGACCUUGGCAACCGGUGGUCGGACCUCCAUGCAUGUGGUCAGCGACUUCCUGAAGCGCCGAGUCAUGCCGCUGCAGAGGAGGCCGCGCUUGUGCUGUUGGUUCACUGGCCCGAAUGAUAUCGGCAGGAUCCAGCAUGGGCCGGGUACCGAUCUGUCCUAGGAGGAGCUAGAACUCCUGGUGAAUGGGAUUACUAGUGAGUCCUUUAUCCCUGAAUCCUUGAUACUCCCCCUGGACAUCUCGGCGCUCUGUGAUGAUCCAGGGCUGCGAACGGCGGUGAUGGCCACGCUGUCGACCCUCGAUGAGAGCAGCAUGGUGGUUCUCCAGACCUGCGGUCGGGACCCCCUCCGCGGGAUCCGGAUCCCUAGUGUACCGGCUAGGGGUCCCCAGCCCACCAGUGGGGCUCCUAGUGCCGGUCUCGCCGUGGCCCCCAGCUCCAUGGACAGGGGCAAGGGACCUGCAAGCAGCUCCUCCGCCCCAGGUGGCACCGGGGGUUCGGAGGAAGAGAGGCGACGCUGACUGCGUCGCGCCGACGGGUCGCUUGUUUCGGACCCCCUAGAAGCGUCAGAGGACUGCUGGUGGGCCCGAAGAGGCCGGCUCCCAGGCCUAGGGCUUGCAGAGGCGCGUCAGUCCUCCGCCACCACCACCAUCGGGCCCGCCGCCAUCACCACCACCUCCACCAUCGGUCCCUCCGCCACCACCACCUAGGGGUGAUCUCCCCAAGGGGCACCAGUAGUAGCAACAACCACAGCAGCAGUAGCAGCUGCAAGAGAGGCGGUCGUCCCGCUUCCAGGGUCGCUGGAAAGUCCAGGGCCCCAAGUGAGUGUGGCCCCUUUUUUCCAUUAGUCUAUUUAUCAUGCCGACGGGUCUUAACCCAUCCUUUGCUUGUCAGGGCUUCCUCCCCUUCUGCUCCCAAGGUCGCACCUCCUCCACCAGAUACCAUGCCCGCCGGCGGGUCUGGCUGUCAGCAUCAGGCAUCUGAUGGGAGUGGUGCCGGCGAUCCGCCCCCGGCUGCUGCCGCCGAGACAGCGCCACCAGACUCCCAUGCUCCAACUAGGGGUCCGGCAGCAGCGGCACCAACGUCAAGCGGCGUCGCAACUGUGGAGGAGGUCCCAACUGCGCCGACGGCUACCACAGCCUCAAUGACGGCGAUGUCGUCGAGUACACCGUCGGCAGCGGCGGAGGAGGUCCCAACUGCGCCCACCCCCGCCAUCAAGGGUGAUGCGGGGGGCGCGUCCAGCUCCAUCCCGCCGCCCACUCCGGAGGAGACGGAGGUGGUUUUUGGGCGGCGGCUCCGGUCUGGUGCUGAGCCAGAAGCAGCGCCAGUUCCCCUCCCCCGGGUGCUGUCUCGUGCCCAUUAGGCUCUUCAUGAGACUGAGGUGGCGAUCCUACGGGAGUGGGAGGCACUUGAGGCCGAGCACCAGCGCCUCAGCGACUAGCGCACCCAGCUGGAGGAGCGCACCAAGGCGGCGUCCCACCAGUUCGCCUCCGAGCGGUCCGAGAGCUGGAGGCAUCCCGGAGGGAGAAGAAGUUGGCCAGGAGGGAGAAGAAGUUGGCUAGGAGGGAGGAGGCUGUGUCUUAGCAGGAGGCCCUCGCAACAGAGCUCCAGGCCAAGCUGAGUGCCCUGGAAAAGAUCCUGGAAGAGCAGUGGAUCCAGCAGACCACGGCUGUGGAGAGGCUGCAAAAGUUGCAGCAGGAGCUCGAGGGCAAGGUCAGAGACGCCGCCCUCGCUGAAGAGAAGCUUAAAGAGAAGGGAGAGUCCUUGGACAGGCGGGAGACGGACCUCGCCAGGCGGGAGAAGUAUCUCGCCUUCAAGGAGGAAAUGCUCACCCGGCGAGGCGAGCUGCUGGCUAAGAACGAGCUCGAGGCGGAGAAGAAAGAAAAAGAGGUGGAGAAGCAGGUCCGCCAGUUCAAUGCGGCACAAGCGACCUAAGGUUUCCAGGCGGUGGAGGCCACCAGGAAGGCCCUCGAGGAUCUUCAAGCGGAGCAUCGCACUGGGGUCCAGCGCAUCACUGCAUGUGCCGGCGAGGCAAGCACGACACUGGUGCCACUAGGGAUGAGUCCCAUUCUGGUGUUGGAGCUGCCGAUGUCUAUCUGCGAUGCGCUCCCGAUGCAGGACUCCGCCACCGACCACCUUCGACGCCUGGACCAGAUUCUUGGCGCCCGCCUAGAGGCUGAGGGUGGCAGGCUCUACCGAGCGGUGAUCGAGUAUAUCCUGACGUGCUUCCGGAGCCACGACCUGGCCAUAUCCUUGGAGCUGAUUAUCGCUGGUUCGGUGGCCACCACUGAAGAUGCCGCUUGGGAGGGCGUACAAGACACCGUGGAACUGGUGGCCGAACGCUUCCAGCGGGAUCCUGCCGAUGAUGAGUAGCUAGAUCUGCAGAAACAGGGCAAAGGUUCCGCUGGGGAGCGACUUGUAAUAAUUUUUGGUUUUGUAAGAUACUUUUAAGAACUAUUAAUCAAAUAGCACUUAUUUGUAUACUAUUUGUCCUCGCUGUGUGUAGUGUUACUAACUCCUCCCUGGUACUUGCCCCCCCUGGGAUGUAGGCUCGACGUGUCGGGGCUGGAUACCAGUAUACCUAAGGGUAAAUUAGUAGCCCGAUCCCUAGGAGGUAGUCUCUAAGGUUUGAGACUACCUGCGUUUGGAUUGGGACCUGGACCUGCACACAACUUCGGCUAGGAAGUUUUAGUAGUGCACCCAUAGGACCCACCAACUGGUAUCUUUUAUCCUUUGAUUCAUGCAACAGGACCUGCAGGAUUUAGCCUGAGAAGCCUACCCGUAUGCCCGGACCCCCGGAUCACAGCUCCAGAUACUAGGACACGCAUCACAGAGUGGUGGAGCGUGCAGGCUUAGGGUACGGAACUAGGCUAAGCGGCUACACAGCUCCGGACCACCCUAGGGGACGAGUGUCCAUUCUCUAGAACCAGACUCCAGGUUGCUGGACCCAUAGGACUAUAGUUCCAAAUACUAGGGUACCCGUCACAGAGUGGUGGAGCGUGCAGGCUCAGGGUACGGAACCAAGCUAAGCGGCUACACAGCCCCGGACCACCCCAGGGAACAAGCGCCCAUUCUCUAGAACUGCCCCCAGGCUGCCGGACCCCCUUGACUUUGUAGAGGGGUCCUAAACUGCAAGCCUGGCUACUCAAUUUGGAUGUCAUUAUACCAGCAAGGGUGGGAAACGUUCGGGUGGGUUAGAUAAAAAAUAAUGCUUGUGAAUUAAAGUAGAACGAACCAUCACAAAAGCUCCUCUGGUGGGGUAAAUUCAUUCCUUAUAACUUGAUAUACAUGGGUGCAGACCAAUAGGCCGGGUUUACAAGGGCGGACCUCAUCGGAUUGACGUACACAAAUGCAGAACCCAGUUACAAAGGAAGAGAACUCAACCCCCUAGUUUCGCUUCUAGGGGUAGAACUUACGGAGAUGCUCUAUGUUCUAGGGAUUGGGAAGAUGCACUCCUUUAGUUGUAGCAAGGCGGACACACCUGGGUCGGCAUAUUUCCGUCACCUUGAAGGGUCCCUCCCAGCUGGGAGAGAGCUUGUGGAGCCCUUCUCGGUUCAGUACUCGCCUUAGGACCAGGUCCCCGACCCUGAGCUCCCUACUAUGCACGAACCGUUGGUGGUAGCAUCUGAGCGCUUGGUUGUACCGCGCAUUUCGGAUCACCGCUCGCCAUCUGCGCUCGUCAAUGAAGUCUACGUCCUCACGCCGUAGCUGUUCCUGCAUAGACUCAUCGAAAGCCUGGACCCGUGGGGAGCCCAUAAUGAUUUCUGGGGGAAGGCAGGCUUUGGCCCCGUAGACCAGGAAGAACGGGGUCUCCCCGGUAGCUCAGUUGGGUGUGGUCCGGUUCCCCCAAAGUACGGACGAAAGCUCGUUGACUCAAUUCGCACCAUGCGUUUUCAAGCAGUCAUAGGUGCGUGUCUUGAGUCCCCUGAGGAUUUCUGUGUUUGCCCUCUCCGCCUGGCCAUUGCUCUUGGGAUGAGCCACAGACGCAAAGCAGAGCUGGGUGCCGAUGCCCUCGCAAUACUCCUAGAAGAGCCGACUUGUAAACUGGGUCUCGUUGUCCAUAAUGAUAUGGCUUGGGACCCCAAAACUACAGACAAUCGACUUGAGGAAAGCAACAACAGCACCCUGGGUGAUAUUGACCACAGGGGUGCCCUCUGGCCACUUUGUGAACUUGUCGAUGGCAACGAAGAGAAAACGGUACCCGCAGACGGCCCUGGGGAAUGGUCCCAGGAUAUCCACCCCCAUACGGCGAAUGGCCAGAAGGGUGGAAUCAUCUGCAGAGCCUGAGCUGAUGUGUGUAUCUGCUUUGCAUGGAAUUGACACGCCUUGCAGGACUUUACCAUCUCAGCUGCAUCCUGGAGGGCGGUUGGCUAGUAGAAGCCAUGCCGGAAGGCCUUACCGACCAGCGUGCGGGAUGAGGAAUGACUUCCGCACUCACCUCCAUGGAUCUCUGUGAGCAACUCAUGCCCCUCCUCCUGAGUAAUGCAUCGCAUGAGAAUGCCAUUGGCGCCAUGGCGGUAGACAUCCCCUUCCACCACCGCGUAUCGCUUAGCCAACCGCACUAUGCGCUCUGCGGACACAUGAUCUUCAGGAAGGAUAUUUUCCUUCAGGUAGUCCCGGAUCUCGGAGAUCCAUGCAUCGGGACCACUCUGAGCUAUUGGUUGUGGCGCUACGAGGUUGGCACGACCUUCUAUAGCACACACAAUCCUUGGUGGGUUCUGUGAAUGUUACGCCACCGGGACCGCUAGCUUCGAGGUGCUAGUCUCACCCCCUUCGCCCAGUUCGGCAGGCUAGGCGGUAGGUCUCAAUAGCCGUCUUUCGAAGACGCCCUUGGGAACGGGUGCCCAAGUUGAUGCCCUCGUCGAGAGUUCAUUUGCCGCUGAGUUGUCAGCCCGAGGAACAUGUUGUAGUUUCAAGGUCGUGAAGUCCUUUUCCAGCUUCCUUACGUGGAGGAGGUAAGCUACGAGUCUGAGCUCGUUGCAGCUACACUCCCCACGGACUUGCUUGAUGAUCAACUGGGAGUCCCCCUUCACGAUGAGCUGGCGGAUCCCUAGGGAUAGGGCCGCAGACAAGCCGAAGAUAAGUGCCUCGUAUUCUGCCAUGUUGUUGGUAGCCUUGAACUCGAGGUGCACCAUGUACUUGACUUGAUCUCCGCUUGGAUCGACGAGGACCACUCCAGCACCGCCACCUUGCUGGCGGGUGGCCCCGUCAAUGAAAAGCGUCUAGUGGGGCUCGGUGAAGACCGGGACCCCAGGCUUCGCAGGUGUGGGGUCUGACUUGGGAUCCGGACCCCCAGGAGCGCUCGGGGGAGGGGUCCACUCCACGAUGAAAUCAGCCAGAACCUGGCUCUUGACAAUGUGGCGAGGCUGGAAGUCUAGCUGGAACUCAGCGAGCUCCGCAGCCACUUGGCGAUGUUGCCUGUGGCGUUAGAUUUGUGGAGGAUGGCCUUUAACGGGAAGGAGGUCACCACCAUGACCCUGUGUGCUUAGAAAUAGUGGCGCAACUUCUGGGAAGCAACAAGCACAACAUAGAGAAGCUUGUGUGUCUCGAGGUACCUGGCCUUCACCUCAUGGAGGACCUCGCUGACGUAGUAGACCGGCCUCUGUAUGGUCCGGACCCCUACGGUUGGCCCUGGGCCCUCAGGGUCCGUGGCGGUUGGACCACCACCUUCUCCUAGGGGAACCUCCUGACUCCCCUGGGAGUGUUGCUCCGUCCUUUCGACGACCAGCACCAUGCUCACCGCCUCUGCAGCAGAUGCAAUGUACAAGUACAGUGGCUCCCCUGGCUCCGGAGCUACAAGUAUUGGUAGGGACACAAGGUGCUGCUUCAACUCUUGGAAGGCUUGCUCUGCCUCCUCGGUCCAAGAGAAUGGGCGGACUUCCGCAGGAGCUUGAAGAAGGGUAGCGCCCUCUCAGCCAGCCGUGAGAUGAAGCGGCUAAGGGCGGCCAAGGACCCCGUAAGCUUCUGGAUGUCCUUGAUUCGGGUCGGAGGCCUCAUCACCUCAAUUGCCCUGAUUUUCUCCGGGUUUGCUUCAAUGCCCCGGUGCGAAACCAGGAAUCCCAGCAACUUCCCAGCGGAGACACCAAAGACGCACUUGUCCGGGUUCAACUUCGUGCGCGUUGCUCGCAGCUUGUCAAAAACCAGGGUUAGGUCUUCCACUAGGGUCGACCCUCUCUUAGUCUUGACCAUGAUAUCAUCGACGUAUAUGUUGGGGCGAAGGCAAAGACGCCACCCUUCGCUCGAAGUCUUCGCUGCAGCCGCCGGUCUGACAGAGACAAAACAGGCAGGGACACCCUUCGCUGAUUUGGCACCAGACGAAGACCUGCGAUGAAGUCAUCCCACAGUGCGGCCUCGUCCAGCUCAGAGGCCCGCGUGUGAUCCGGCCCAUUGUAACGGGCCCUGCGUGGCCGCCGUCUGUUACAAGGCGCUGGGCGCUCAGGUACCUAUAAAUACCCCCGCACAGUGCCCGUGAGAGGCCAGAUUAGUAGAGCUAUUGCCUUCUAGCACGUAACCCUGUUGUCACCACUGUUCACCCUUGUUGGCCUCCUUGCAAUUGAGAGCAAGUUCCAACAUUUGGCGCCCACCGUUCGUGCUACGACAAAACCACCCUCGAUGGCACCCAAGAGAGCUAACCCGAAGGCUGACGAGGCUGCGAAGGCAGCACUGCUCGCCGCAAGAAAGGGCAAGGCCCUCGCCCUCACCCAAUCCACCCACCAAGAGCCCACUGAAGACAAUGUUCCCCGCACCUGCGAAGACGACACCUUCCGCACCUGCGGCCCCGAAGGACAAUCGCAGCCGCCCCCAGGCUUCGCCCAACUGGAAGGCGCGGACCUCACCGAGGACGGUGAAGUCCUCGGCGUCUCAGCGGAAGAACAGCUACAGCUGCGCGCCCUGCGCCUCAAGAACCGCAAUCUCCAGAGGCAGAAAGAGAUACUGGAGGCCAAGCGCCAGCGUGUGUCCACACUAGCCAAAGUGCGGCAAAUGAUACGCGACGAGGAGCAGAAGGCCCAAGACCUCGAGCGCGAGAUCGCGCUGAUGCAGCGCGAAGGCCACCUUGGCCUGCAGCAAGGGCCACCCCUCCAGCAGCGCGCACAACCGGAAGACACGCGCGAAGGCCACUUCGGCCUGCAGCAUGGGCCACCCCUGCAACACCGAGCACAGCCGGAAGACCCGCGUUUCCCCCAGCGUGACUACACCUUCCAGCACGCCGCGCCAUUCCAAGGGGUCAACUAUCUCGACGAGCGAAGUCCCCUGGCGCCACACCUGCAAGUGAUGCCUUGGCCAGCUAACUUCCGAGCAGGGACCUAUCCCAAGUACAAUGGCAGCACCGACCCGGCGCAAUACAUAAUGAGUUAUCAGGUCGCCGUUGCAUCCGCCGGAGGGGACGACGCCACAAUGGCGAAGUCUUUCAUCAUCGCCCUAGAGGGCCCAGCUCUCACCUGGUUCACCAGAUUGCCUCCGCUGUCCAUUGAUUCAUGGAGAAGUCUCAGGGACAAGUUCCUGCUCAACUUCCAAGGGUACCGCCCAGACACCGACGCCUUGGCCGAGCUCUCGCUUUGCAAGCAGCUGGAAAAGGAGACUCUGCGGGAGUAUUACCGCAAAUUCUUAACACUCAAGUCACAGCUGCCCUCCGUUGAUGAUCAGAUCGCUAUCCACUACGCCAUCAGUGGCCUUCGUGCCGGCGUCCUAUACAGCCACUGUAUCAGAGAUCCACCCAAGAACCUCCAGGAGCUAUAUUAGCUCUUUGAAAAAUAUGCCAAAUCCGAAGAGCUCCACCAGCGCAAGGUUGAGUCACAGCGGAAACCCAAAGAUGCCCCGUAGUCCAGCCGCACGUGGACGAGGACUCCGCAGCCAGACUCCGGUCGAGACGGCCGCAGUCAGCAGCAAGUGCACAACAUCGCCAACCAGCAUCCCGCUGCUGACCCCCCUCGUCGCCAGGAAUAUCCCCCCCAUUGCCACGAAAAUGGAACUCGUGGCAGGGGCCGAGGGCGCGCACAGCCGCCGCGCCGAUUCUACUGCCUUUUCCACGGCGAAGACUGCGCCCACCAAACCAAAGACUGCCCCGAAACGAAGGCCACCAGAGACAGAAUGGCGCGGGCGCAGCCAGCCGACAACCCCAGAAUUGUCGCGCACAAUUACCAGCAACCUCCUCCACCAUAUAUCCACGCUCCCGUCCCGCAUCCACCGCACCACGCUUACCAACACCAUCAGGAAGUACAAAUCGUACCUCCUCCACCCCCACCACCACACCAGCAACAUCAAAACAUCCCCCAUGCCCCAAAGCAGGAAGACUUCGCCGAUCAACCAUAUCGCGGAGUCAUUCACAUGAUAACUGGGGGGUCCAGCACUGACUUCGACACCAAGCGGUAGAAGCGGGACCACUACCGCAUCAUCAACCAUGUCGCCGUCACUGGCCCAGUCGUGCAGACAAAGUGGUCCCACAUACCGCUAACCUUCGACGCACGAGACGUCGACCUGCGCAGCGCCCCCCACAUCGACGCUAUGGUCAUCAAUUGCAGCGUGGCAGGCUGGGACUUACACAAAGUCCUAGUCGACAACGGCAGUCAGGCGGACAUCAUCUUCCUCCAUGCCUUCGACCGCAUGGGUAUAAGCCACAGCCUGCUCAAGCCUUCGGACAACCCGUUGUAUGGCUUCGGCGGCAAGGGCACCUUUCCCGUUGGCAAAAUAGAGUUGCCCCUCUCCUUCGGUGUAGCACCCAAUGCCCGAAGUGAGCAAGUAACCUUCGAUAUCGUGGAUAUGGUAUAUCCAUACAACGCCAUCAUGGGCCCGGGCUCCAUCAAUAAGUUCGAAGCUGCCAUCCACGGACUGUACCUAUGUAUGAAGAUACCAGGUCCGCUAGGCGCCAUUACGGUCUACGGCAACCAGCAGACGGCGCGCAACAUAGAGCGGGACUUCGUGCCCGGUCAGAGGAACGUGCACUGUCUCACGACCCAGCGCGAGGUCCCUGCACCCGCCAGCCCAACCGAUAAACAGCACGACAAGGCACAGCUGCAGAGCCAAGACGGGACCAAGACUGUCCCCCUCGAUCAGGCCACGCCCAAGCAGACAGUCACUAUCAGCGAAGACCUUACCUCACAUGAAGAAGAGAAGCUCCUCUGCUGCCUGUCCAAGAAUAAAGAUGUCUUCGCCUGGUCCGCCCUCGACCUGGUCGGAGUCAGCCGAUCCAUAAUUGAGCACAGCUUGGGAAUUGACCCUUCGGUGCGACCAAAAAAGCAGAGGCUUCGCAAAAUGUCCGACGAAAAGACAAAGGCCGCCAAGGCGGAGGUGCACCGCCUCCUAGAGGCUAAAUUCAUCGAGCCAGUGGCUUACCCCACGUGGCUCUCCAAUGUUGUAAUGGUGCAGAAAAAAGCGGGAAAUGGCGAAUGUGCAUAGACUUCACCAGUCUCAAUAAGGCCUGCCCAAAGGACAAUUUCCCGUUGCCACGGAUCGACAAAAUAGUCGAUAGCGCGGCCGGAUGCGAGGUCAUGUCACUCCUCGACUGCUUCUCCGGCUAUCACCAGAUAUACAUGAAGGAGGAAGACAAGGCUAGCACCAGCUUUAUAACACCCUUCGGCACAUAUUGCUUCAUUAGAAUGCCGGAGGGACUCAAGAAUGCCGGGUCCACCUUCUCUAGACUCACCAAAACAGUACUCGAAGGGCAGGUUGGCAGAAAUAUAUUUACAUAUGUGGACGACAUCGUCGUCGCCAGCAAGAAUAAGGAGGACCAUCUCGCCGACCUCGCCGAGACAUUCACGAACAUGCGAGAUGCAUGACUCCGCCUAAACCCGGAAAAGUGCGUCUUCGGUGUUCGCCAGGGCAAGAUAUUGGGCUACCUAGUAUCACACUGCGGCAUCGAGGCCAACCCAACCAAGAUCUAGGCCAUCUUAGACAUGUCGCCUCCGCAGUCCGCCAGGGACGUCCAGCGUCUGACAGGCAGAUUGGCCGCUCUCAACAGAUUCAUCUCCAGGUCCGCCGAGCGAAGUCUCCCCUUCCUCAAAACACUCCGCGGUGCAAAGGACUUCGCCUGGGGACCGGAGCAAGCAGCGGCCUUCGCCUCACUAAAACAGUACCUGUCGGAGCUGGCCAUCCUCACAAGCCCCGACUCCUCGCUCCCCCUAUUGCUCUAUGUCGCGGCUUCGCCGCACGCGGUCAGCGCGGCACUAGUGCAGGAGCAGACAGUUGAGGGCGUGGUCAGGCAGUGCCCUGUUCACUAUGUCUCCGAGGUACUGACACCGUCCAAGUGCAACAUGACAGAACUGGAGAAGAUUGCCUACGCAGUCGUUAUGUCUUCGCGCAAACUGCGCCAUUACUUUGAAGCAUUCAAGGUCCGAGUCACCUCAGACAGGGGACUCGGCGAAUUAUUCAGAAACCCGGAGGCAUCGGUGAGGAUUGCCAAGUGGGCAGCCGAACUAUCCGGCUACCACAUCAGCUUCGAGCCCAGGACAGCCAUCAAGUCACAAGUCCUGGCAGACUUCAUCGUCGACUGGACUGGGCCAAUAACACAGCCAGACCCGUCCACAGAGAAGGUUUGGACUAUCCAUUGCGACGGCGCAUGGUGCCAUGCGGGGGCAGGCGCCGCUGCAGUCGUCACCUCACUAGCCGGAGUCAAGCACAGAUAUGCAGCACGCCUCAGCUUCGCUCUGGAAUCCGACAGAUGCACAAACAAUAUAGUAGAAUAUGAAGCAGUUAUCCUCGGCCUCCGCAAGCUAAGGGCCCUCGGAGUCACCACAUGUAUCAUCAAAACAGACUCCAAGAUAGUUGCCGGCCAGGUCGAGAAAGACUACGCAGCAAAAGACCCCGCCCUUAUGCAAUACCUCGUGGCCAUCCGAAGUCUCGAGAGACAAUUCAAGGGGUUCACCCUGCAGCAUGUGGAUAGGGCCAAGAACGAGGAGGCCGACGCAUUGGCCAAGGCCGCCGCCAGGGGCGAGUUCUUGCCCUCCGAUGUGUUCUUUCAUAUCAUCGGCACGCCAGCCAUCCGGAGCCCCGAAGGGCUCCAAAUAACUAAUGACAGCGAGGGCCACCGCAUAGUCAACCUAAUCAUGACCGAGGAUUGGCGGGCACCAAUAACCCUGUUCCUACAGGGGUACUAUCAUCCAACCGACGUCAGCGAGGCCAAGCGCCUCAAACAUCGAAGCCGGGACUUCGCACUGAUUGAGGGCCAACUCUACAAGAAAGGGGUCAGUCAGCCAAUGCUUAAGUGCGUCACCGAAACCAAAGGCAUGCAGAUCCUACGUGAAGUCCACAGUGGCACGUGCGGCUCACACGCAGGGCCAAGGGCCCUAGCUGCCAAGGUGAUCCGCCAAGGGUUUUACUGGCCCGCAAUGAUCUGCGCCGCAAAUCGGGUCACAAGGUCCUGCGAAGCCUGCCAGAAGUUUUCUCCUCGGUCAGGCAGCCCCUCGCAGUAUACAAAGCUGAUCGCCCAUACAUGGCCUCUCCAGCGCUGGGGCCUGGAUAUUGUCGGGCCCCUGCCCACCGCUUAGGGGAACCUUAAGUUCGCCUUCGUCGCCGUCGAGUACUUCACCAAAUGGAUCGAGGCGAGGGCUGUUUCCACAAUAACAUCAAAGACUGCCCAAAAAUUCUUCUGGCAAAACAUUGUUUGCCGCUUCGGAGUCCCGUCCGAACUAACAGUUGACAACGGCAAGCAGUUUGACAGCCAAGAUUUCAAGGAUUUUUGUUUCUCCAUCGGCACCAAGCUUGCCUUCGCUUCAGUUUAUCAUCCGCAAUCCAACGGGGUCGUGGAACGCGCCAAUGGGAAAAUCUUCACAGCUAUCAAGAAGAUGCUCCUUGAUGAAAAAAGGGCAGAUGGACUGAUUUGUUACCUGAGGCAGUCUGGGCAUUGAACACGAUUGAGUGCAGGGCGACUGGGUUUACUCCCUUCCGCCUUCUAUACGGAUCGGAGGCCAUGACCCCGCAAGAAAUAAAGCAUGGGUCCCCGCGAACAGUUCCGUCAGCCGUCCCCGACGUGGACGAGCCAACUUCAAAGGACCUCAUUGACGGAGACCGAGUCUUCGCCCUACAGGCCCUAAACAAAUACCAAGCCCAGACCAAAGCAUGGCGCGACCACACAGUCAUCCCGAGGGAGUUCAGCGAAGGGGACCUCGUACUCGUCCGGACAGCUCGGACGGAGUCCAGGGGCAAGCUGGAGCCGAAGUGGGAGGGCCCCUUUAUAGUCAAGACAAAAGCUUCCCCCAGCGCUUACAGGCUCACAACGCCAAACGACGACGACCUGGAGCACUCCUGGAACAUCGACAACCUCCGCAAAUUUUUUGUUUGACUCAUCAGGGCUGAUUUCGCCCUUGUAAUUCGCCAAAAACAAUCUUGUACCGGCCCGCACUCUUUUCCUCCCGGGGGGUGAGGUUUUUAAUGAGGCGGAGCCAUGUAAUAUAUGAGAGAAAAAUCCCCCGCAAAAACAUGCGUCGAAAAAAGACCGCGACGACGGUCUUCGACAUUCGACCAAUUCGAGGUCACCGCGAGGCUAAGCGCUAGCCACCCUCGCGUGCGACAAAUCCGCGCAGAAGUCGCCUAAGGGUGCAGCCGGACUAGCACAACAAGUGCGAAAAAAACCGAAGUCUACCGCGAAGACUAUCCGCGCAGAAGUCGCCUAAGGGUGCAGCCGGACUAGCACAACAAGUGCGAAAAAAACCAAAGUCUACCGCGAAGACUAUCCGCGCAGAAGUCGCCUAAGGGUGCAGCCGGACUAGCACAACAAGUGCGAAAAAAUACCGAAGUCUACCGCGAAGACUAUCCGCGCAGAAGUCGCCUAAGGGUGCAGCCGGACUAGCACAACAAGUGUGAAAAAAUACCGAAGUCUACCGCAAAGACUAUCCGCGCAGAAGUCGCCUAAGGGUGCAGCCGGACUAGCACAACAAGUGCGAAAAAACCAAAGUCUACCGCAAAGACUAUCCGCGCAGAAGUCGCCUAAGGGCGCAGCCGGACCAGCACAACAAAAGCAGAAACGACAACAUCAAACCGUCCGCGCCAAGACCGACUAUAAUCGCACCAGCACAUCAUAACAAAACACACCAGACAAAGUACACAACGCCUUCGCAGGCACAGACAAGCGAGAGCACACGACUUCAUCAUACAAGCCUUUACACAUAUACAAGCGAGGGCGCCACACUCUACAUCGGCUCAACCUUAGGAAUAAUUCCCAUCUCCCUAUAAUUAAAUAACAUUAUCCUAAGUUCCUCACCCGCAAAAAGACUUCGCAGUUCCCAUUCCCCUGUACUCGCGGCGGCCGGCAAAGACAACAGUUCCUGCCGACCAGCCCUACUCACACGAAGCCGAGCCCCCUCCUCCCCACUAACCCUACGCUUUGCAACCGCCCUUCGUCGUCGGCGCCCGGUGCUAGGACCUGGCACAUCUUGUGCGCCCGCGGCGUGUGGCGAGGCCUCCGCCGCAGCCACAUCCAAGGCCGCAAAAUAAUCCAAGUCCUCCUCCGACGACUCCUCAGUCCACUCAACUGAGCUCCCAGAGUCAGUAAAAUCAAAAAACUCAGAUGCAGAUCCACCACAUUCAUUACCACCUUCCGCGGUCGAAGCCGCCAAAAAUUCAGUAGUAGCGGUUGCGUGCGCAGGCCCAAAAUCUUGAACCUGCGCAGCAACCAAAAUUCAGCAACAUAUCCAAAAUUCUCCAACCCUAUACACCCACUACGCCACCUGCGAAGGCCCUGACGUUGCGGGAGCCUCCGCCAUUGGCCCCGCCGUCGCUUCCGCUGUUGUUUCCGCCGCCACCGCCGCGGGAUCUUCAGCACUCGGCGCAGCAGCUGCGGGGGCAUCAGGCGCGCCUUCGGCCACCUUUGGGGGCAGGUCUUCGCCGGCCGCGGCGGAUGUGGGAGCAUCCGGCACAGUCUCCAGGGUUGGCUCCGGGGCGACCCCAGACACGGCCUCCGCCGGGGUCGGCUCCGGGUCAGGCAGCGCGCUGUUCAACGCCCCGAAGUCGUCCACCCGCUCGCCACGCGCCGCCUAAGACAAAACAGACAAAAUUCAGCAAACACACGCACAGCCCACAUCCAACAAACGCCAAACAAACGAAGACAUUACCUGAGCCCUCGCCGUCUCGGCCCGCUCCCUGACCACCACGCGACCGUGCGGGCCCCACAUCCGGUCAUAGAUGGCCCCGGCGGACUCCUUCACUACGGGGUCUUCGACCUUAUAGAUAUCUCGAUCAAAAUCUUCGUCAGCCUGGUCGAAGACCUCGAAGUGCCGGCACCCUUCGUGAGAGAGCGCGUUCAUCGCCCCCUCGCAGGUGACCAAGGAGGCGUACGACAUAAACCCCCCACGACAGUGGGGAGUUCCUGCAGCUCCUCCUGCACCCAUUCCAGACAGCGAAGCCCGGGCUCUCGGUCCGGUACUUCAAAGUCACCGGUCCGCGCACCCAGCUCACGAUAUGUAUCCAUAAGCUGUGUGCGCGUCCGUUCGGCCUCCGCGCGCAUCGCGGCCUCGGCCCGCUCCACGCGGCUCUCCAGGGCGAUGAGCCGCUCCUGCAGCUGCUCGGCGCGCUCCCUGGCAAGAUUGCCCUCCGCCCGGGCCAGCUUGGCCUCCGCCUGCGCAGCCUGCGCCUGGACGAGGGCCUCAUUGGUCUCCCUCCUCUCCCCCGCCAAUUGGUGCCGGAGGUCAGCCUUCUCUCCCUCCAGCGCGGCCACCCUGUCCGCCAGCUUGCGGCACUUGCUGUCGGCGGCCGAUUUCUCUCGGACGGCGUCAGCAUGUUGUGUCCGAAGUCUCUCGACUUCGGCAGACACAACUGCCGUGAGGGCCCCCGACGCCGUGCGGUUGGCGAAGUCAGCCACCUGCACAACACACAUAAGACCGCGGCCAAAAAAAAAGAGCGAAGCCUGACUCAGCGGACCUGACUCAGCGACUCCACCACCUCCUUCAGCCGGCGGGACGCAGCGCCCGCCUCAUCCCUCACAGCCGCGAGGACCGCCACCUCGCCUCCGGCGCUAAGAGCCCCGCCCUUCGCCUUUGGCGGUACGGCAGCCAUCGUUGUCACCGCGGCAGGCGCAACCAUAGCAAGUUGGCCUUCGUCCGACCCUGCGACGUAACGACGAAUAAGUAACAAUAAUAAUAAAAAAAAAGAGAGAGAGAGGAGCCAACAACUUACCACCGAGAUAGUCCUCCACACUAAUAUCGGUGGCGAAGUCGGCGACACGCUUGCCUGCCGACGGCAACGCUCGGGCCGCCUUCGCGACCUCUGCCACUCCGCUGAGCGGCGGCACCACCUUCGUCGAUUUGGCCCGUAAGGAAAAACUCUCCAUUCGCGAACCAUGCGAGAUGUAAAAAAGUCCUCGCCAGCCGCGCGGGGGAUAGGAACAUUCCUAGGCCAGCAACCCCCGGUAACCCUCAGCAUCCGAGCCAAAGACUCCCGGAGCUCGGGCGAAGACAUCCUUCCCCCCGGGGCCGCGCACGUCCUCAUCAACUCUCUAGCAAAACUAUCAGAAACCCCAAGUCCUCCCAUAGCAGUACCUAAUUUUCUCUUUUUGGAGGAUGGGGCGGCCGCCGGCGCAGGGUCGUCUCCAGUCUCCACCACUGGCUUCUUUCCACGGCGGUCCACGUCGUCUUGACCAGGAUAGCCGUCAUCCGGCAAUUGAUUUAAUUCGAAAACCCUGUUCAAACGGUCAUUCGACCCGCGGAUAUCAAAGCUGCGCUGGCCCUCUGUCCUCGGCACGUAGCGUCCAACGAGCCGCACCGCCCCAUCCUCCGCAUCACGCACAAAGGCGGCCGGGUCGCGGUUUCGCAGAUUCAGUGCGAAGGCAGGACUUCGCACCACCCUUCCACCGUGAAAAGGCAUCUGGCGAGGGCACACUUCGCCCAACGCCCAGCCAUGCGCCAAGGGCCACACCACGUACGCCACAAACUCUUCAACUAAAUCGCGCCCACUGCUCUGACCGGCGGCGCACCGAAGGGCCCCUUCGUCCACAUCCUCCUCUGCCACUUCAAAAGACGGGUACGCUGAGUAAUAAUGAGAACACAUCUCGGACACGAGGAGUCCCUCAUGGCCUUCGACGGUACCCUCAGCAACAUAAAACCAAAAUUCAUUCCAGUUGCCCCACUUGUUGCGGGCGCAAGGAACCAACUCGACUACUUGCAUCGUGGUCUUGCCGGUCUUCGGCGUGAAUGUGCAGGACCCAAACUAAGCAACUUCGUCCCCAAUCAUCCUCUUUUGCCAGUGCAAACAAUAAUACUUCGCAAAAACUUCAACCGAUGGCUGUCCGCCGUACGAAGUCGUCGCCCAGACAUACUUCGACAGUGCCACCACGACAUUCGGUGUCAGCUGAUGUAUUUAAACGUUGAACUUGCGCAGGACUUCGCCAACAAACCGGUGCACAGGCAAGCGGAGACCGGCGGCGAAGAACGCCUCGAAAACAACCAACUCACCCUCCGGCUCGGGGACUUCCUCCGUCCCUAGGGCACGAGCAACUCCGCCGCUGAGGUAACCCAACCGCUGCAUAUCUUGCACGUGGGCCAACGACAUCCGCGACACGCCAAAAUUAACAGAAUCGCCGGCGCGCAACUCCUCCGCCAUCAAACUACUCAGCGUCUCCUCAGACGAGGCGGCGGCCGACGGCGAGGAAUCGGCCGGCGGCGUAGCGGUAGAGGAAGAAGAAGAGGACGACAUCGCUACGUACCGUCGGCGGCGGCGGGUGGUCUGCUUCACUCGAGCCAGAUCUCCGGCGAACAAGAGCACGGCGGGCAGACGAGCAGCAAGACGGCGGGCGGCUAGGGUUUUCACGGAGCGCGGAAAGUGAAGUUCAAAAAGCGCCGACCCCCGCCCCCUUUUAUAGGCAGGGCGCGGCUCUUCAAGAAACCCGCAAUCCGACAGGGCGCGGCGCUUCGAGAAACUCGCAAUCCAACAGUACGCCGUCAAUCAACGGUCACAUCAAAAACCCCUGCGGAACCACUUCGAGCGAGGGCAGCGUCUCCGCCAUCUAGUGACAUCUUCGGCACCAGGUGACUUUGUCGAACUGGUCCCUCGGAGGGCAAAUGUUGGGGCGAAGGCAAAGACGCCACCCUUCGCUCGAAGUCUUCGCUGCAGCCGCCGGUCUGACUGAGACAAAACAGGUAGGGACACCCUUCGCUGAUUCGGCACCAGACGAAGACCUGCGACGAAGUCAUCCCACAGUGCGGCCUCGUCCAGCUCAGAGGCCCGCGUGCGAUCCGGCCCAUUGUAACGGGCCCUGCGUGGCCGCUGUCUGUUACGGGCCUAAUUUGUAAAGGCAUCCCUGUAAUUACAGUCUGUAACCCCGCUUUAUGGGAAUAUUCUGGGGAUAACCUAGGUAGCUGAGGGCACAUGCAUCCUUAGCACAAGGCGCUGGGCGCUCAGGUACCUAUAAAUACCCCCGCACAGUGCCCGUGAGAGGCCAGAUUAGCAGAGCUAUUGCCUUCUAGCACGUAACCCUGUUGUCACCACUGUUCACCCUUGUUGGCCUCCUUGCGAUUGAGAGCAAGUUCCAAUAGUAUAUCUCUAUCCUGUCCCUAAUCAGGUCCCCGAAGGUCUUACUCAUCGCCCAUACAAAUGUCAACAAGGCGUUUCUCAGACCAUAGGGCAUUACAACAUGGCAGUAAAGCCCAUCCACUGUUACAAAAGCGAUAUGCUCCCUAUCUUCCCUAGCCAUCUGGAUCUGAUGGAACCCAGAGUAAGCAUCUAAGAAGGACAAAAGGUCGCACCCGGAAGUAGAGUCCAAGAUUUGAUCUAUGCGUGGAAGUGGAUACGGGUCCUUGGGACAAGCCUUAUUAAGGCUGGUGUAGUCGAUGCACAUCCAAAGCUUCCUGUUUGCCUUUGGAACGAUGACUGGGUUGGCCAGCCAUACGGGGUGAUGAACCUCUUCGAUGAAGCUAGCAUCAAGCAGCUUCCAGACCUCCUCACAAAUGAAUUCCUGCCACUCAAUGGACUGUCUCUGAGGCUUCUAACUCACCGGUUUGGCGUCAGGGUUGAUCUUCAGAUGGUGCUCAAUCACCUCCCUGGGGAUCCCAGGCAUCUGCGACGGUUCCCAUGCGAAAACGUUGACAUUUGCCCGGAGGAAGGCGACGAGCGCGAGUUCCUAUUUCUCCUCCAGAUUGCCUCCGAUGCGGGUGGUCCCGGAGGAGUCCGCGCCAAUCUGGAUGGCCUUGACGGGUCCACCGUCUGCUCCAGAUGGCUGCACCUUUAGCACCUUGGAAGGCGCCUUGGUACCGGAAGUCGAGGGGUCCCUCCCUCCAUCGUCCGGGCGAGCAGUCUCUACCGCCAGGGCAUGCAGCUUCUCAACAACCGCAAGUGCAGCGGUGCGGUCACCCCGCACGGUGAGGACCCCAGCUGGGGACGACAUCUUGAGGACCAAAUACUCGUAAUGGGCAAUGGCCAUGAACCGGUAUAGGGUCGGCCUGCCAAUAAUGGCAUUGAAGGGGAGGUUAACCUCCGCGACGUCGAACUGGACGUUCUCUGUGCGGAAAUUUUCCUCAGUCCCGAAUGUAACCGGGAGAGCGAUGCUCCCAAGGAGAUACACCGGUUGUAGGCCCACUCCGGAGAAUUCACGAGAGGGUCCCAGUCGGGACCCUGGGAUCUGCAGCUGCUUGAAUGCAGCAUGGCUGAUGACGUUGAGUCCAGCCCCACCGUCAAUCAGAACAUGGUGCAGCCGCAUGUUGGCAAUGACAGGGGUGGUGAUGAGCGGUAGUAUACCGGCCCCUGCCAUAUUGUCGAGGCAGUCGGAUGCCCCGAAGGAGAUAGUGGUGCUCCUCCAUCGCUGAUGUGGAGCAGCUUUCGGGACCCCCGGGACCGCCGAAAGGACCUCUCGGCGCAGGGACUUGACAUUCCUGUAGGAGGUGAGCUCCUAGCUCCUGCCGUACAUGACGUACAGCUUCUUACAGAGGUUGUUGUCGUCACCAGAGUCGGAAUCUCCAGUGAAAACGUCCUUCAGGACCCCCUCAGGUGACUGAUACCCGAGGUCCCGUUCUCCCGCAGCCGCGUCACCUUCGUCGACCUUCUCCUUGCCAGGUCAGCGACGAGGUGGCAAACCAUCCCUAGAGGCCUGCUCGCGUCGCUCACUGACGCGCUUCGCGAGCUUGAUGAUCUCGGGGCACUCCGAUGCGCUGUGGCUACUGUUGGGAUGGACAGGGCACGAGCCACUGUUGCCUCCCUGUGGCCAUGGGUGCUUGUUGCGCUCAUUCCGGCCCGCAGUCGCAGCCACAAUGACCAGACCAGCAGACUGCGGCCUCUCGUGGCCGCAGUUCUUCUUCUUCUUGUUGCCGUUCUGGGUGACGGCACCGGAGCCACCCGUCUGGGUGACUCCGAUAUGUGGCGCCGAGUGCCAUGCGCGGCCCUCGGCAGCUCUGGCACAUUUAUCAACCAGAGCAAAUAGCGUGGUGAUGGUUUCCAUGUCGUGUGUCGCUAGCUUCUCCAGCAUCUUCUCAUCACGCACCCCCUGUCGGAAAGCAGUGAUGAUAGAGGCAUCGUAGACGCGAGGUAUGGCCCCGCUUACCUUGGUGAAGCGGGCGAUGAAAGCCCGGAGAGUCUCCCCGGAUUCUUGUCUUACAACAUGGAGAUGAGCCGCCACACCGUGCUGCUGAUAAGCACUAGCAAAUUCGCUGUGAACCGUGCACAGAGCUCUUCCCAGGAAUAGACGGAUCCCGGGGUCAGAUUCAUGAGCCAGGUCCGGGCCGACUCGGUCAAGGCUACAUGGAAAUAGGUCACCAUCAUAGCAGUAUCUCCACCAGCUUCCGUAAUGGCGGUGACAUAAACCUGCUUGACGUACCGUCGUACUUCUCUAGCAGGUGUGGCUGAAACUUGGGCGGCCAAGUCGCUGCGUUGAGGUGAUCCGCUAGCGUGGUAUAGCCCACGCCAACCAAUGGGACACCCUUAUGGGUUCGGGCACCCCUUGGAGUUUGUGGCGCAAGCGGAGCAAAGUCCUGGUCGAGGUUGCGACCCUCAAAGUUUAGCCGGUGCUCACGCGCCCUCUCUAGAGAGACCCGUGCGUCCUCACCUGCACGCCUGCGGUUGAGUUCUGCCCGCAGGUCAUCAGGCCUCUCUAGAGAGAUUGGAGCAUCCUCACCCGCAAGCUGGCGGUUGAGCUCCGCCCGCAGGUCCUCAGUCGGUGCGGCCUUCACUGAAGGUGAGCGCAUCGAUGUCGAUGCCUCAUGUUGACGCUGGAAUGACCAAGGCCUGGGCCUGGCUGAGCUAGAAUGCAACAUGCCGAGCAGACGGUCGACAUCGUCACUCCACUGCUUCAUGGCCCAUGGCGAGGCCGUGGAGCUAGGAGGGUGGCGUAGCAACUCUCUGGCUGCAGACAAGGCCCCAGGCGCAGCCCUUGACGCUCUCGAUGUCUGCGCAGGAGUGUGCUGCCGCGCAGAGUGCACAUCAGCAGCACCAGGCGCAGGGUGGUUGGAGGCCCGUGGCAUGGAAGAUGCAGCCUCUUCCUCCAUCUGGAAGUCCUCGGGAAUGAAGUCAUGGUGCUCGACGAUCUGGACCAUGGUGUCGAGCAGGAAAACAGGCGAAAACCUAAUGCUCAGCCCCCCUACCUGGUGUGCCAAAUGUCAGAGAGAAAAUCCUCCAUCCGGGUGGAGGAACGCACCCGCCCUAAUCCUAAGAUGAGGAGGGGCCUAAGCGUUUUGCCUGUAUGUUGGAAGGUGGAAGAAACACACGAGGACACGAGAGUUUAGAGUGGUUCAGGCCGCCGGAGCAUAAUACCCUACCUCCAUUGUGUGAGUAGUAUUGAGAGUGUGAGAGCUUGUGAGCUUGAGAGUUAGUGUGAACCUGAGAGAGCUUGUCCUUAUAACGCUGUGUGCCUUCCCUUUUAUAGUCUAAGGGAAGGCACAUACAAGAAUACUGAGCCCCAACAUGUGGGCCCAGAACAUAACGGAAGGAAUACAUUCUGUGAGUAGUUAAUGCUAGUAACGCCUGAGCAAUCACCGGGAGUCUUGAUGUCCGCAAUCCAUGCUGCAUUGAUGGGCAGUUACCGUACGAAUAAUACGGGAGUAAUGGUGAGUAACUGCGUGGCCCACAUAUCGUGGACUGAGCACGCUGCCUGUCAGUGGAAUGGAUAGGCGCACGUCUUAUCCGUCGUGAAGGCGCGCGUAGCCCGGAGGCGUCAAGCCGGGUUCCGCCCGUUGGCUUAUGCCGCGCGCCGUAUGCCAUGUGGCAACAUCGGGGCUCCGCCUGAGCGGGGAGCAGGAGUGUAUGCGGAUAGGUCCGGAGCGCACCAGAGCAGGUCUGGACACGUGUCAGCUCCGGACCCCCGCCUGGACCCUAAGUAAGGUCUUGGGACCCCAGUGUGGGCGGUUCGGUCUGUACACGUGGGGGUCCUGGACCAUCUUGGAGGUUUGGACUGUAUAUCAUGGGGUCCGGUACUUUCCCAUGGGGGUCCGGACUCACUGUUGACGCCUUGGAGUAUAUCACUUUCUCUGGCCACGUGGCGGCCCCGGAGCCGCCCAUGUGGUGGGGUCAGGCGCUGUUGCUGGCCCAGAGUAGUCGCCUGAGGCUGGGGCGAGUCAUGGUCUGGUCCCAUGUACAGCGCCUUUACCACGCGACUAAACAUAGCUGCGUGGGUACUGGGUCUUCAUACAGUAGUAAGGGGUACCCUAGUUUCAGGGUACCGACAUAUAUAUAUACUACUUUUUGUAUGCAUAUAAAAAAAUCACAUAAUUUUAAAUAAAUUGAAAAUAUUUUAGAGGGCAUUCAGAAAUAUAUUAUUUAAUAACUUAACUCAUAUAAGGUUAUUCUCAUAAUAAAUUUUUUGGGUGCUACAACCAUCGCCACUGUCGUCGAUGUUGCCAUAGUUUUAUCCUACGGGACCUCCUCAAACUAAGGUUCGAUGAACUUUCUCAAAUUUAAUUCAACUUAGCCAAUGUAGUUCAAAUUAGUAGAUUCUAAAAAUAUUUAGUCAAUAUAGGUUGUUGGGUGCCUUCGGCUUCCGAAGGUCCUCAAAAACGUGAUUUGACAAUGUUUUCUAAGUAUGCGAGCAGCGAUCUUCGGAAUCAGGAAUCAGGUUGCGGGUAUACAGAAGCAUGGUCAAGACGAAGCUUGACUGGGACGGCGAUCACAAUGAAGGAUAAGAUGAUCACGAAGCUAUAUGCAGAAGAGCUUCGGCAUCACGGCGGGAAGGGGAAACCGACUUAAAGAUGAAAAGCCAAACUAGACCUCGAAGAAUUACUAUAGAGUUAUUGAUAAAUGUAAAGGGCAUUAAUGUAAUUUUGCAUGGGCUGCGACCCGUGCCUAUAAAUAGGUGAACAGUAUUCCCGUACUGUUCACGCUGACUUGGCAUUUACUUUGUGUCACGCCUGUAUUCUUUUCCUUCAAGCCGAAGGUACAUUUGUAAUUUAUCUUUAUUUAUACAAGUAAUAUAGAUGGAAAUAGAUUAAUAAUAAUGUUUAUAGAAAUUAUGUUACUUUUUUGUAUUUUGUUUAAAUGUUCUUCAUAUUUUAUCUUCAUCAUAAAGGUGUGUUCUUCAUGACCUUCGUCCUAAACUCAUUAUAUCCGAAGGGAAAUAAUGACUUGAGGGACGAAGGGCUUUUGAUAUUUAACAUUUUAUGUUGCCUUGUUCUUGAUUCAUAGCAUUUGAGAACAAGUCCCCAACAUAGGUCAACUCAGUAAAUUCUAGUUUCAUAUGUACAAAUUUACGAAUGGAAUUAUACUUUUUUCUAGUUUAACAUACUCAACCCUAGCUAUUUAAUCUACUUGAAUUUAUAUAUUCUAGGGAUCAGAAGUAAAUAUAGCAAACAUAUACCAAAACCCCUCUAUCAGUGGUACUACCAUCUAAAGACAAGGAUAGUUUGUUACAUCUCAAUAACUAUAUUAAUUUUGUUACUUAUUGAUAGUUGCCUAGAGGGGGGUGAAUAGACAACACUUGAAAAUUCAAUACUUAAAACAAACUAAAUCCUAAAUUAGAGGUUAGAUCAAUAUAAUUAAUAUGGAUAGGAGAAAUGAGAGUGAAACUCUCUUGGACUUGUUGCUCUAUUGUGAAUAUAUAAUCUAACUUAGAGAGCAACUCAAGUGAUAUAAACCGAAGUCCAAUCAAAAGAAUUUAGAGAGAGAGAGAGGCAAGAACAAAUCGCAAUAAAAAUGAAGAACAUAAGAGACACACGAUUUUUUUAUUAAGGUUCAGUUCUGAAGAACCUAUGUCUCCAUUGAUGUGUCAUAGAGGAUGGAUUCUCUCUUGACUCUCUCAAGUGAUCCACUGAUCAACCUUGAGCCCUCAAAUCCACUAAGAAUAGAGAUAGAGUUUCUACAAGGCAUUCUAUAAGAUCUGGAGCUUCUUGCUAGCUUUUACAACAGAGUAUCACCAAAACAAGAGAAAAAGAAACACGACAACAACACCAAGAAAGCAUAUCACUGAGGCACACUCUCUCUAAAAUGACUUUCACAACUUAGAAUGGGUGCUUCGAUCUCUCAAAAUGACGUGGAUGCGUUGCACAAGUGUAUGGGAAUGUUGCUCAACUCUGAGGUGAUUAGUAACUUGAGUAGACUAGUUGCACAGUAUUUAUAGCUCCAAACCCCCAAAUAGUCAUUGCUAGAAAACUGCAAAAUCUGCUCUUUCCUCGAGGGCACCGGACUAGUCUGGUGCACCACUGAACCGCCAACAAUAACCUCGAUCAAUAGAAUUUCCUCUGUCCCUGCCUUCCACAGACACCGGACCAAUGUGGUACACCACUAGACCCCACCAUGUGCCCUACCACGUCAGCUAGCCGUUGAAACCGAUCGUUGAGAGCUAAAACAUCCUGUUGGACUCAAUUGGUCUGAUGCACAUUAGACUGAUUCAACGUGCUAAGGUACUCCAAGCUUCAUCUAUAUACCUCUCUGAAAAAGAGGUCCGAUGUACCACUGGUGCGCUAGGCCUCAACUGCGCUUCUAUAGUUCUCUUUGGUAAAGUGGUCUGGUGCACCAGGCCACUCAACCCUCCUGCACCAGCCUUUGCAAAGAAGGUCCGAUAUGCCACCAGACUAGUCCGGUGCACCACAGAACAACUAAAGUUUGGCACUUCUUUUCACGUCUUCUUCAAAUCAAUUUGACUAACUUUGACAAAUGUAACACCCCUGGUGUUACUGGCACUAAAACUUGAGCAUAACAUCAUGUGCAUUGACAUUUCAUGUUGUUUGUUACACCUUGAAUGUAUUCACUAGGUAAAAAUGUCAAAACAAGUUGUGAUGUGGUGGCUUGAAGAGUGCUUAACCCUAGGGUAGGAUACUUAACCCUGGAAUUAUGACCUAUGGAUGAAAGUGAAGCCCAAAGGAGUAAAAUCUAAAAAGUCAUGAGAAAUGUUCACAAGAUAUCAAAUUUGAUGAACUUUAGUGGCACAAAAACCCUAAUGUGCCCAAACCCUAAAAACAAACCCUAGCAAACCCUAAUGAGAACCCUAGGGGGUAAAUGCAAAUUCUAUGCACUUUUGGACCAAAGUGCAAAUAUCAAAGUGAAAGAGCAUUAAAAACCAAGUAACUUUCACAUUGGAGAAUUUUCAAGUUGAAUGAUGAAAUUUGGACUUAUUUGCAAAAGGGUCACAUGAGCACUAUGUGACUAAGUCUGAAAUACAGUGAAGUUAAGUCAACUUGGGAGCUCUGUAUCUUUAAAUUUAUAAGAAUUGUGCCCUAAGUCAACACAUCAAAAUUAUAGAGCUAUGUUAGGAGUACAACUUUGAUUAAGUGACUAAGCAUUGGUGUUGCACAAAAAUUGGAGUAAAAUGGACUCAAAGCUAGGCUGUCAGUCGGAUCAGGGCUGAGGGUUGGACUGACAGUGAGCUCAGGUGAACUUUGAGGGCCGAAUUCGGUGUGAUCCGAUGAGAAUUCACUCAUGGUCUUUAUAAUGAAAUCACAGCUGGUUUAUAGGAGAUUAAUUUUGCUACAGACCAAUUAGAGAGUGGCCACACAAAAAUUUGUGAAAAUCACCCCUAAAGAUGCUCUGUCAGGCGCUCUGAAGGGAGUUUUGAUGGUACAGUAACCUGAAGAAGAAUCUAGGUUCAGUGAAAUCGCCGCCGGUGAUCCCGCGCCCGGAUUCGCGCCGGUCGCCGUGAUUCAUGCUCGACGCAAAGUGGAUAACCGAGGGGAGUAUAAGAUCUUGGCGCCUAGAUAAGCUCGGACCCGGUCACUGGAUGGCUCACCGUAACCACUUGCUCUAUGGCCGGCUGUGAUAAUCCUCGCCGGCGUUGGCCGCUUGCCACCCGUGCGCCACGUGCCUAGGAGCUUUACCAUGUUACAGUGAACCGUAGUAGGAAGUCCGUCCAUCGCCGGAGGCUUUGCCACGGUGAAAGCCACGAUAACCCGCGCCAGUGCACUUCCCAUCUCUCCGAUCGCCAGCGCGCCUUUUCAAAUUGGACGCCACCGCUGAUGGAUUCUAUAAAUUGAUGCCCUAGUGAGGUCCGCUAGGUUAUUACGCACCCAGCGCACCAGCUCUCGUCUCUGACCGUCCACCAGAGCCUCCCAAUUUCACACUUCCCCCAAAUCCGUUUUCCGCGCCGCCGUGAGUCUCUCACCGUGGCCAGCCCUCCUCAGGUUGGUUCAUGCCUCUCUGUUGGAUGUUCUAGCAUCUCUUAGGUCUCCUAUUGCUUGUCGGCUUGGUUGAUUGAACUAGACUGCACUGAAUUGCCCAGAACACCAUAGUUUCGCCUCGGAUCUUGCCGUCGUAGUGGGCAGACGAACUCCAGACCAGAUUCAUGCAAUUAAUGGAGGGAUUAGUGUCACCGAGGGUGGAAUUAGGUGUCGGCCAAGCUAGGGCUCUGGUCGUUGAGUAUCUCGACCGAUAUGGGUUCGCCGGAGGGCGUGCUCACCGGCGUUCAUCAUCGGGGACCUGUCGCUGCGAAGAAAUAGAAGUGCAGGGCCUAACUGCGAUUGUCAGUGAGACAGUGAAUAGUAGCCAGGGGUUCUUCGCUGAUUAUUUAAAUGGUCAAGGUCCUCUGCGCAAAGUUGACAUCACGGGCGCGCGCGGGCGCGUUUCGCCUGGACGUGGGCCGGUUCGGGCUGGUUUCAGCCCAUCACUAUUCAUCAUUUUCCCUUUUCUUUUUCUACCAAGCUUAGAAAAUUUGUAGGAAAUUCUAGAAAAAUGAUAAAAAUAUGGGACCAAUUUUACUAGACUCCUAAAUUCCUCUAGGAUUUGAUAAAAAUAAUUCCAAGAUUUUUAGUCCCAACCACGAAUUAUUUAGCAUUUAAGAAGGCCUAAACCUAGACUUUUGGAAUUUUAGAAAUUACUUGAUAGCCCUAGAAAUCAUAAAACUUUUUGGGCAAGCUUAAUAUGAUAAUUAGAGUCCUUGGGUGAAGUUUGACAUGUUUUGGACAUUGUUUGAUCCCCAAACCCAAAACCCUAGCUUUCUAAGGUAAUAGUUGCCUUAUCCUAAUAGAGUACUGACUCAGAAAACCCUAGUUACCCAGGUGUACCGUGAAGGAAAGUUGUAUUCAAGAUACAACUUGAUGUAUCUCUAUUAUAACUGCAUAUUCAUAGCAUCACAUGAGCAUUCAUGUAUAUGUAUGGUUAUGUAUAGAAAACGAAGAAGAAGUAAUUGUCGAAAAAGAAGAAACUGCACCACCAACUGAGACUCCACCUGCCGGGAAUAGUUUUAUUUUGAUAUCUGUGGAACAGAUCCCGAAUCCCCUACAACACAAGGCAAGCCCCAGUGCAUUUACCCCUUCCUUGCUGUUUUAAACUCUUUAUCACUUGAAAUGAUGCAUUAGGUGAUAGGAGUUGGGUGAUAAACAAUUGCUGCAUUCCUUCCUUGGAAUUGAUUGCCAUUUCUUGAUACCUGUUUUACUUGAAAAGAAUUUCUAAUGCUUAGUCCUGCUUUAGAAAACAAAAAUGUUUUGUUUUUUGAAAGACAAAGAUGAUGCUUCACAUGGGACGGGAAGUUUUCAAAAGAAAAGACUUGAUGGUGGAUCCAUCAUGGCCAUGAUGGGUUCAACAUCGGAAAAGAUGUACCUAUGUCAGGUACCACAGUUUGGGAUUGAAAAUGAUAAAGACGAGACUAGGCGGGUGACUUGCACGAGACGGAAGUCUCGGUGUAGUGUCUCCGUCUGAGUCGAUUAAGGACCGUACCGAUGUAGGCUUGAUGGUCGAGGACCUUUUAACUAGCUACAUGCUUCGUCAUGGGUAAGCUUUGCCUCGGGCAGACCAAUACCAGAAAGGCCAACACGCAAUGGGAGUGGAGAGAUGGCGAGAGUAGCGUGUACCCUCCAUGGUAAGAGGAUGGACGGUGGUGUAUCUGUGCUCUCGGUUGGCGUGAACCUGGUCUGGUCUUGAGAAACACGGUGGCGAGUUGACAUAUGCAAGGGUUAAGUGCUACAUAUGUCGUGUGGUUGGAGAUUCCUAGCUGGGUAUUAAUCGAUUCGGAUCGCCGUUACUUCUCGGAUAUGAAGACUUGGUCAAUGACUUACACGUAGCAAUCCAGUAAACUAGGGAUGAUGAAAAGAUGGCUAGUGUAGGCCAAGUGUUUGAACUAGGGUAGAAAGAACUCUAGAUUCAGGUAAUGACUUAACCUGAUAAUAAAACUGGAUUUUUAAGGAUCCACUGUUAGUAAGGAUUUCUGCAAACAGAAUCUUUGAUUCUUGAAUAGCCUUACCUUGACUCCCUCAAGCCAACAUAUCCUUGAGAGUCUUUUUCUUUUGUCGGGUAAGACUUGCAAAAGUACAUUCAGUACUUAGGGUUUUCGAACCCAUGUUGUUGUAGGUGAGGAAACGGCAGAAUUUUGUUCUUUUUGUUCAAAGGUGAUACCCAAGGAAGAGCACCAGCAGUGAAGUCAGUCGCGGGAGGAUGUUUUGCGUCCCACCUUGAAAGCAAUAAACUUUUGUGCGGUAGGGUGUUUUGCCUCCCUGGUCUGUAAUAAUACUUUAAGCACUCAUAUACCCUUGUAUUGUAAUAAUAAUACUCUCUCUCUCUAUAUUUAAUGAAUGUAAAUUAAGUUAUUGUAAUCUGCUUUCGCUUAUCCCUUUCCUCCGAUGUGAUGUAAUAUCUGCGUGACGGGUGAAGCGCUCUUAGGCGAAAUGAUGAGGAUACAGUUACCGAACUUCUCGAGUGAUUACGUGCAUCUAAAGGGUUGUCUAAGGUCCUUAGGACAAGGACAACUGUAGGUGGGCCUAAUACCUUGGGAGGUUCCAUCACAACAAACUUCCUAUGACUUAGACAAACUUAUUUAGAUACUAAUAUCCAUUAGGUCUAAACCAUAGUUUUUUACAAGUCUCCAACUCAAAUUCCUGUUAUAGGCUCAAACUCGGCUCCAAAUGCACCUUUUCUGAAAUUUCUCAAUCCAAAGCCUCUAAGGUGCUCAAAAACAUUCCUAAGGGCAGUUAGAACUUAUCCAUGUUUUGCCCUAUUUUUCCUCUGUUUGAGCUACAAGUUGAGUUGGUUUCCACAAAUUGACACUUAUGAACCUACAAGUGCACACUUAGCAAACUAGUUAGUACUCGGGGUUGUGUUGGUCAUUAAUCACCAAAAUCAAGUUAGAAAUGGCAUAGAGCACAUUUCCCUUUCACUUAUAAUGCUAUAUCUUCUAAUUUAUUCUCUAAUGGUAGACUUUGCUCUUUAUUACAAGAUGAUAGAGCUACUAACUUUGUCAAUAACAUAUUUGCUUUCGUCAGUAGCGGGCAUAACUCCAAUGAUCCUUAGUUUCCAUAAAUCUUUGUCUUUUUGCUAGAUGAGACUUAAAAUAUUUGCUUGUUUUGUCGAUGACUUUAUGAGUGAUACUUGAAUGUUGUUGAUUGUGAUGGUAUAAUGUUGUUGAAUGGAUAAUAUGUGUGCACUUGGUUAUUAUAAUGUGAUAGAUAAAUAUUGAAUGAUAUGAUUAUGUUAUAUGAUGUUGAAUGACAAAUUAAUGAAAUGUGAAUUGUAUAUUGAUAUGCAGUUGAAAUGUCAUUUGUAUAUAGAUGUGCAAGAAAAUUCUAGAUCCCUGAAAUGAUCUAUUUUCAGUGGCUACUAAUGGUCGCUAGAACAAGCUGCCAAAAGUCAGUUGGCUUUUUCGGUGGCCACUGGUAGUCGCUAAAAAUAACUAUAUCAGUUUUAUUUUUGAUGGUUAUCAUGUGAUCGCCAAAGAUAAUGCUUGUUUUUGUUCCAAACUUCCGACGAAAUGGGGCCACUGAAAACAACACUAAAGCCACCAAAACAAGUUACUUUCGAUGGCAAAUGCUUAUUUUUGGUGGUUUGUCACCCUCGAAAGUCAAUUGUAUUCCUAUAGUGUGUAGAGUUAGGACACUCGUGCCCUUGCAUGGCUUAACAACUGUCAUGCCCUAUAUUGUACAAAAGACAUCUAAAUCCUUUAAAAUCAACCCAUGCUACUCACUCAAAACCAUUGCCCAUAGCCCACCCCACAUCUCUCAUGAUUGGCCGCCCUCCCUCCCUUGCUCAUCCUCAUGUCACUGAUGUUCGAUGCUUUACUUGAGAGAGUAUGUGGGGUGCCUUGAUGUCCAUGAUGGAUGGCCCAUGCUAUGAUUGGACUCAUUGUCUAGGCAUAUUGGCAUGGAAAUAGGUGCAUCCUCGACGUCCUUUGCUUGUCGGUCUCCUCUCCUCGCACCACCUAUCUUUGGCUCUUUGACGACCAUUCGAGAGAGUAGGUGGGCAGCUUCGAUAUCCAUGAUGGAUGGCCCCCUUUGCUUGGCCCCAUGUGCAAAAAGUGGAGAGCUAAAGGCACAUCAUGACAUCCAUAGCUUGAUUGAUCUUCUCUCUUCAUACUGCUUGCCUUUAGCUUUUUUAUGACCAUGCAGGAGAGCAAGUGGGGUAGCCUCAAUGUCCAUGGUAGAUUCCACCUGUGCUAUAUAUACCCCAUAUGCAUGAAGUGGGAAGGUAGAUUACAGGGUUGGCAUGCAAGCUCCAGAAAAGAAGAGGGAAAUAGGGGAUAGAUCCUCAAGUGCAUCCACCUACCCCAAGGCUGUGCUCCUCCGUUUUGGUACAAACACAUCGUUCCCAAUGGUGUUGCUCAUAGUGUGUCAUACAUGUGUGCUCCGGUCGUGCCUCUACAAAUGCUACUAGUGUACUUGGUGAACAAUGUGUGUCAAAGCUCCAUGUGUGGUUUUAAUAAUUGAGAGAACUACUAGAGUAUCUUCACUCUAAUAUCAUAAAUGAUCUAGGUUUAAUAUAACACCCUGAAUUUGGGGGUAUAAAAUUUCUUCUCUAGUAUCCACCAAAUUUAGGUGUUACCUCUCUUCUCCUCUCUCCAUUUUCCUUUUUCUCUUUCUUUUAGUAGUGGAUUGUCUAUUUUAUUUGGAAAUGCAAUAAUACUUUAGUAGAUCAAACUCCAAGGGAGUAUGAAUUGUUGCAUCAUGUUGAACCCUAAAUUCUAUUUUUGUUUGAUACAUAUGCUUGUCGAGUUCCAAUUUGAAUUUAGGGCAUAUUUAUAUUUGAGCUUAAAUGAUAAAAUAAAAAUAAAAGGAGAUCGGAUAAUCAGAAUAAAAGAAAAGGAGCCUUUCGGUCCAGUCAGCCCACUCCAGCCGCACAUUUGCCUCUCUCUCCCUCUGCCACUCGGGCCACACCUAUCGGCGCCAAUCCCCUUAGCCGCGCACGGUCUCUCGCUCUCUGCCUCGCGGGCUCCGUGGGCCCCACUCGCCAGCCGCCCUGCAUGUACAUCCGCUGACACCCUAGCCCAAACUGUCAGUUCCAUCUCCCUCCCAGCAACCGCCACUCUGCCCGGUGCGCGACGCCGAGAGAGCCGGCCCAUGUCGCGCCAUCCCCUCACGCAAUCCCCACGACCCCCAGCUCUUUUGAGCCUCACGCACACCUGCUCUCUCUCCCCCUGCCCCAUUUCUCUCACUCGCAGCUCAUCUUGUGCAAAAUCACCACCGCUCCGAGCUCGUGUGUGAUGCACGCCCGUCGUGCCGCCCAUGCCUGGAGCCUCUAGAUGUCAUGCGAAGCCUCCCUGAGCACCGCCCCAAGGUAAGGAACCACACCCCGUGCUCCUUUUGCCUUAAUUCCACUUCACCAUAGCAGAUUUGAGAUCGCUGGAGCCGCUACGUGAUCCGCUGUGCCUCCGUGGUGCUCGGCCGAUAUAGCCCCACCCUAUGCCCAAGCCUCAGCCCCGGAUGCCCAAACCCCCCACCGAAGCUCACGUCGUCCUCGGUGCACUCGAUCAUCCCUCAUUGCGGACAAAAUUCCUCACCGGAGCACCGUCCAACCCGCCUAGAGUGCCCCUCCACCGUCCACCCACCUCUGACCCCCUUCUCUUGGCCGAAGUCCCACCGCAAGUUUUGCCGGGUUCCCUCCAUCUUCCUUAGCCUGCUCAGGCGACUCCUGACCCCUAGAACCUAGGCCCGCCUUGUCUCCUGCAACCUCACCGUCGUGGGCGAGAGCGACGCUGCCCAUAGCCAGCCGAAGCCGUUAAACCCCCCCUGGGUGCUCGAUCUCGACUGCCCACCCAUGAUCCAAUGGCCUCGAUCCUUAGAUACCGGUUCGCGUUGGUUCAUUGAACUAGUGCCCUUAAUUCCCCAUCCAGCGGCUUACAGCUCAUGCCCUUGCGCACCUCUUCCCCUAGGUCCCGCUUGUCAACCGCCCGUACUCCUGCCGCAGGGCCCAGCUGGUGUCACACCUAGUUUUGGAAGGCAAACCAAAUACAAACCAUGUACGUGCUAGGAUAAGAAACUCACGUACAAAGCGAUUACAUAAUUGGACAUCAUCACACAUUGCUCAAAGUAAAUAGCAGAAAGGGUACUUUAUUACAUCAAGAUGUCCAAGACAUUGACAGAGUCACUACAUAACAUAGUCAUUAAUAAUGUCAAAGUGUGGAAUACGAAAUGUAGCAAAUAAGGCUUUCACAGGCAGCUGACUGGGGGUUUGCCACUAUCAUAACUAGAACUCGUCGUAGUCCUAGAACUCCUCAAAGUCCUCUAUGUUGCCUGCAUCUUUUUCUGAGCACUGAAUACAGUGGGGACAACUUGGGGGUGGGGGUGUUUUUAAAGGAAGGGUGAGUACAUAUCAACGUACUCAGCAAAUGUCCCGUUUGGCUAAAGUGGACUGACUGUAUGUGGAGUUAAGGUUAAGCAGUUACUUUUAGUUGGUCAAGUAUUUAUUACUAAUUGUAGAGCCAAAGUUUAGUAAUAAACCCAGUUAUUACCGAAAUGUACUCCCUCCAAGAGGAAAUACCAGGGAUCAUAAUUUUAACCAUCAUCAUUAAACAUCAUCAUAAAAGUUUCCAAAGUUCUUCUAAUCAAAGAGGAUCCCAAGGCUGCUCUUAACCAUGAGCAUGACUGAUAUACCAGUUUCUAACACUCUACAUAGGUUGCACACUUUACCCACGAGUCAUGAAUCCCAUUCUGCCUGGAGAUCAUGCCUCCCCAUUGAUCACUACCAAGGUGACCUGGUGGGGUAUCACUACGUAGCCUUUACAAAGACUCCCCUGGUGCAUAGCUGCUCGUUAGGUUUUUUCAGUCGUACAAACAAAGUACCCCUCCCUAAGGUGGUUGAGUAACAAAACAAAAUCGAAUGAACCUCGGCACCCCACCCUUAGCAGAGUGAGCACUAUGUCUCGGCCCCAUUGACGGCCCUCCGACAAAGCCAACUACACCCCUAUGUUUAUCUAAUUAUUCAGCUAAGGGCGUCCCAUUCCACCCUCAUGGUUGCACUGUUAUCCUAGGUGGUCACUCAACGAACAUGUCCUUACAGAGAGGUACUCAGAAAAAUAGCCUCAGUCCCCUAAAGUAUCACAAGAUUAUCAUUGAGAUAACAUCAUCACAUCAUAAAGAUUCACAUCAUGUUCGUUGAUUAAGUUAAAGCAAUAACAUAAAGCUAACCAUAAUAACCCAAAAAGGUAACAAGGACAAGAUGAAUACAAACUAGUCAAUCCUUAUGUUUCAAUAAGGUAAUGCGGGACGGUGAAUUAUGAAGUAAGUAGGACAUAGUAGGCCAGAUGACACUUGCCUUCACCAGGUUGUUGCUCAAGAAGAUCUUCGGCAACACACUUAGGCACCACGGGCUGCUCGUUGUCUAAAUAAAGCGAUCAUGCAUUCAAUACAUUUGGAUAAAGACAAAUGAACAAUACACCAAACAUGUACAAACGAGUGAACAUAUCUCAAAAGAACAGUGUAAUCUCAAGAAGUAACUUAGGUUAUAGGGUGAACUAACACAUUUAGAAGUUUGUUAUUUUCUAAGUAUUAUUUAUCUCCAUAGGUUACAUAAUUAGGUUCUACCUAUUUUAAUGUGGCACAAAAAUUAUACCAGGGAUAGAUUCAUACAUUGCAUAUCAUUAAUUUCACAAAGGUACACAUCUAGUUACUCUUGGGGUUUUCCUUUUUAUUUUCUUAUUUAAUAAAUACACUAUUACAUAAACUAACCUAUAGUCUAGGCAUAAAAUUAGAAUGUGCAGACAGUGAAUGAUCAUAAUUUGUUUGAACAGAGAAUAAUCAUAUAAACAUUUUGCAAUUGGAAUCACUUAAUUUGGAGUUCAUAUGCAAAAGAUAUGAAAUAAACAAGUUUUGAAGUUUAAAAUACAAAAUUAGUCCUAAAUCUAUGAUUAAAUAAAAACCUAGGGUUCAAUCUGCAAGAUUACAGGGGCCUGCGCGUGAAACUGAGGGACAGCGGGUUCUCUUACCUAAGAACUAGGGGUUCUUUUUACAAUACGGAAAUCCGAAGGGGUAUUGGGCCUUCCCAACCGUCAGAUCUCAAAUAGACGACCAUGAUUAGAACUGGCGGGGUGAGCGCACGGGCGCGCGGACGUGGAUGCCUCUAGCAUGUGGGGUCCACGGGCCAGCGACUCGGGCAGGUGUACCGCUGGGUGCUAGAGCGCCAGCGUUUGACGGGUGGGGCUACGGCAAGACCAAGCCCGCUGGUCAGCGGCGUGGGGCAAGCACAGGCAUGGCGGCGAGGACGCACUCGCGGGCGGGGCCCACCAGGCGGCGACAAAGAGCAGGAGGAAAGGGUUAGGAACAGCGCUGACGUGUGGGAGUGUGGGACCUAGGGUCCAUCGGUCAACGGCCACGCGAGGGGAAAGAAGAGGGGGAAGAAGUGAGGCUGGCGGGUGGGUUCUCCUUGUCAGGACCGCCGUCUUCCUCGGCCGCACACACGGAGCGAGCUCCAUGGCCGGAGCCGGCGACUCCACGUGGGCGAAGAAGGCACGGGGCAGUUGCGGUUGGCCGAGGGGUCUCGGUAUGACAGCACGGUACCGAUAUCGGAGAUCAUCGGCGGCUAAUUGACGGAACAGAGAAAACGAGGGAGAAAGAAGGAGAAGUCCGGUAGGGAAAUUCACCUUGGGUGAGGCGAAAACGACGACGAGGCUUUGUCUGGCGGUGGCAGAGCAUGGUCGGGGACGUCGGUCAAGCUCUGCUGGGGGCGGAUUCGGGCGCAGGAAGCCUGGCGAUGGGAGAGCUCCGACGAGCUUGAAGAACGGGCGUGCACAGCUCGAGUGAGUGUGCAGGGGUGAAAUGAAUGAGGCAGAGGGAAAGUGGGUGCGUGUGGGGACUUGAGGAGGGGGUCGAGACGACAGUUUGGCGUUGGGGGCGACGUGGGCGUGGGGGUCUCGACGUGCAUGCACGCGGUCUGCGCGGGCAAGCGGUUGAAGAAGGGGAGGGGGACUGGCAAGCGUGGCCCGCAGAACAUCAACACAGACGCGCGAGCGCGCAACAGGCCAGGGCGCCGACAAGGCGGCCCCACUGGGCAGGGAAGGAGAGGGCCGGCGAUCUAGCUAGGCGCGGCGCCGAUGGGACGGGCCCACAAGGCGGUAUGAGCGGGGGGAAGGCGGGCGCUCACGAGCGGGCCAGCUGAGCCGAAAGGCCGGAACAUGGGGGAAGCUGGGCUUCUUUGGUUUUCUCAUUUAUUUCCGAAUUUCUAAUUCCUUUUCCUUUUAUUUUCUUUAGUGAACUCAGUUCAAAUUGAAAUCUAAUUCAAAUUCAAACCUUUUCAAACAUGUGCAUCAAUCAAAAGGAUAGUUUAGGCUCAGCAUGAAGCAACAAUUCAUAACUCACAUUGUUUUGACAAAAUAUGUAACACCCCGAGAUCCACAAACACCCCAGAAUGCUACUAAACUACACCUCUAACAUUCGUAUAUAAAAUUUUAACAGCAUCUCCUUUGAAAAUUGCAUAAACGGGGAAGCAACAAAGUAUAAAUCGAUAUCAUGAUAAGAAAACAUAAUCGACAUUAAUAAUCUGCUAGCAAUGGGAAGACAACCAUAACGGCAUGAACUAAAUUAACCAGUGCGCACAACUAGUUAGAAACAAACAUCCUUUGGCAAGAAGCUUCUAAUUAAAUCAUGACUACGCCUAAGCAGUGUUAUUAUGAGAGUGAAGGUGGAUGUGCUGCUACUUUCCACUUCCCUGGAUGAGCAACAAGCACCUGCAUUGAGUAAUGCAAGAGUGAGAUGAAAUAUCUUAGCAAGCGAAUUGUUUUGACGAGAUAUUUAAACCACAAAUUGAAUUAAUCAACAUUUGAAAAGAAUCACAAUUAAGAUCAGAAAUACUUGUACAUAUAGAACUCAGUAGUCCCAAUAUAACCAAUACUAUCUCAUUUCCUCGAACAACCACCAUAGGUUCUAUAACACUUCUCUGCAUCAACAAAACCUGCAAAUAUCACUUCAAUGUAUGCAUAGGAAUGCAAAGUGUAGGUACUCUGUCUUCAUACCUCUGAAGGUAUAAAACCACAUCAUCUGCAAAUAUCACUUGAAUGAAUGCAUAUGAAUGCAAUGCAUAUGUCCUCUGCCUUCAUACCUCUAAGGGUAUGAAGCUGCAUCGCACCCCUCCUCGGGCAACGUACGAUGCUAAGUUGUACCGGUACAGUCGGACCAUAGGUCACGACACAACUUCAGAUGCAAGUGAAUCAUGAAAUGUAUAUGGCAUGCUGCAUUUAUCAAUAUACUUCACUUCCUUCACAUACAAUACAACCUCAAAUAAUACUUCAUUUACCUUGAGAUACAAUACCAACCUCAAAUAAUACUUCAUUUACCUUCAGAUACAAUAGCAACCUCAAAUAAUACUUCAUUUACCUUCAGGGGUGUGAAUUAAUCUCAUGAGUCAUACUCGAAUCAUAAUCAUCAUCAAUAUAUGAUUGAGCAUCAGUAUAAUGCAAGCAAGUAAAGCUUCACCAUAGAGUCCAAUUAUGAAAGAAUCCAAUUGUUGGGGCGAAGGCAAAGACGCCACCCUUCGCUCGAAGUCUUCGCUGCAGUCGCUGGUCUGACAGAGACAAAACCGGCAGGGACACCCUUCGCUUGAUCGGCACCAGACGAAGACCGGCGACGAAGUCAUCCCACAGUGCGGCCUCGUUCAGCUCAGAGGCCCACGUGCGAUCCGGCCCAUCAUAACGGGCCCUGCGUGGCCGCCGCGCGUUACGGGCCUAAUUUGUAAAGGCAUCCCUAUAAUUACAGUCUGUAACCCCGCUUUAUGGGAAUAUUCUGGGGAUAAUCUAGGUAGUUGAGGGCACAUGCGUCCUUAGCACAAGGCGCUGGGCGCUCAGGUACCUAUAAAUACCCCUGCACAGUGCCCGUGGGGGGGGGAGAUCAACAGAGCUAUUGCCUUCUAGCACGUAACCCUGUUGUCAUCAUUGUCCACUCUUGUUGGCCUCUUUGCGACUGAGAGCAAGUUCCAACAUUUGGCGCCCAUCGUUCGUGCUACGAGAAAACCACCCGCGAUGGCACCCAAGGGAGCUAACCCGAAGGCUGACGAGGCUGCGAAGGCAGCACUGCUCGCCGCUAGAAAGGGCAAGGCCCUCGCCCUCACCCAAUCCACCCACCAAGAAACCACUGAAGACAAUCGCACCUGCGAAGACGACACUUUCCGCACCUGCGGCCUUGAAGGACAAUCGCAGCCACCCCCAGGCUUCGCCCCACUGGAAGGAACGGACCUCACCGAGGAUGGUGAAGUCCUCGGCGUCUCAGCGAAAGAACAGCUACAGCUGCGCGCCCUGCGCCUCAAGAACCGCAAUCUCCAGAGGCAGAAAGAGAUACUGGAGGCCAAGCGCCAGCGUGUGUCCGCACUAGCCAAAGUGCGGCAAAUGAUACACGACGAAGAGCAGAAGGCACAAGACCUCGAGCGCGAGAUCGCGCUGAUGCAGCGCGAAGGCCACCUUGGCCUGCAGCAAGGGCCACCCCUCCAGCAGCGCGCACAACUGGAAGACACGUGCGAAGGCCACCUCGGCCUGCAGCAUGGGCCACCCCUGCAACACCGAGCACAACCGGAAGACCCGCUUUUCCCCCAGCGUGACUACACCUUCCAGCACGCCGCGCCAUUCCAAGGGGUCAACUAUCUCGACGAGCGAAGUCCCCUGGCGCCACACCUGCAAGUGACGCCUUGGCCAGCUAACUUCCGAGCAGGGACCUAUCCCAAGUACAACGGCAGCACCGACCCGGCGCAAUACAUAAUGAGUUAUCAGGUCGCCGUUGCAUCCGCCGGAGGGGACGACGCCACAAUGGCGAAGUCUUUCAUCAUCGCCCUAGAGGGCCCAGCUCUCACCUGGUUCACCAGAUUGCCUCCGCUGUCCAUUGAUUCCUGGAGAAGUCUCAGGGACAAGUUCCUGCUCAACUUCCAAGGGUACCGCCCAGACACCGACGCCUUGGCCGAGCUCUCGCUUUGCAAGCAGCUGGAAAAGGAGACUCUGCGGGAGUAUUACCGCAAAUUUCUAACACUCAAGUCACAGCUGCCCUCCGUUGAUGAUCAGAUCGCUAUCCACUACGCCAUCAGUGGCCUUCGUGGCGGCGUCCUCUACAACCACUGUAUUAGAGAUCCGCCCAAGAACCUCCAGGAGCUAUAUCAGCUCUUUGAAAAAUAUGCCAAAUCCGAAGAGCUCCACCAGCGCAAGGUUGAGUCACAGCGGAAACCCAAAGAUGCCCCACAGUCCAGCCGCACGUGGACAAGGACUCCGCAGCCAGACUCCGGUCGAGAUGGCCGCAGUCAGCAGCAAGUGCACAACAUCGCCAACCAGCAUCCCGCUGCUGACCCCCCUCGUCGCCAGGAAUAUCCCCCCAGGGCCGCAGAAAUGGAACUCGUGGUAAGGGCCGAGGGCGUGUGCAGCCGCCGCGCCGAUUCUACUGCCUAUUCCAUGGCGAAGACUGCGCCCAUCAAACCAAAGACUGCCCCGAAACGAAGGCCACCAGAGACAGAAUGGCACGGGCGCAGCCAGCCGACAACCCCAGAAUUGUCGCGCACAAUUACCAGCAACCCCCUCCACCAUAUAUCCACGCUCCCGCUCCGCACCCACCGCACCACGCUUACCAACACCAUCAGGAAAUACAAAUCGUACCUCCUCCACCCCCACCACCAAACCAGCAACAUCAAAACAUCCCCCAUGCCCCAAAGCAGGAAGACUUCGCCGAUCAACCAUAUCGCGGAGUCAUUCACAUGAUAACUGGGGGGUCCAGCACUGACUUCGACACCAAGCGGCAGAAGCGGGACCACUACCGCAGCAUCAACCAUGUCGCCGUCACUGGCCCAGUCGUGCAGACAAAGUGGUCCCACAUACCGCUAACCUUCGACGCACGAGACGUCGACCUGCGCAGUGCCCCCCACAUCGACGCUAUGGUUAUCAAUUGCAGCAUGGCAGGCUGGGACCUACACAAAGUCCUAGUCGACAACGGCAGUCAGGCGGACAUCAUCUUCCUCCACGCCUUCGACCGCAUGGGUAUAAGCCACAGCCUGCUCAAGCCUUCGGACAACCCGUUGUAUGGCUUCGGCGGCAAGGGCACCUUUCCCGUCGGCAAAAUCGAGUUGCCCCUCUCCUUCGGUGUAGCACCCAAUGCCCGAAGUGAGCAAGUGACUUUCGAUAUCGUGGAUAUGGUAUAUCCAUACAACGCCAUCAUGGGCCGGGGCUCCAUCAAUAAGUUCGAAGCCGCCAUCCACGGACUGUACCUAUGUAUGAAGAUACCAGGUCCGCUAGGCGCCAUUACGGUCUACGGAAACCAUCAGACGGCGCGCAACAUAGAGCGGGAAUUCGUGCCCGGUCAGAGGAACGUGCACUGCCUCACGACCCAGCGCGAGGUCCCUGCGCCCGCCAGCCCAACCGAUAAACAGCACGACAAGGCACAGCUGCAGAGCCAAGACGGGACCAAGACUGUCCCCCUCGAUCAGGCCACGCCCAAGCAGACAGUCACUAUCAGCGAAGACCUCACCUCGCAUGAAGAAGAGAAACUCCUCUGCUGCCUGUCCAAGAAUAAAGAUGUCUUCGCCUGGUCCGCCCUCGACCUGGUCGGAGUCAGCCGAUCCAUAAUCGAGCACAGCUUGGGAAUUGACCCUUCGGUGCGACCAAAAAAGCAGAGGCUUCACAAAAUGUCCGACGAAAAGACAGAGGCCGCUAAGGCGGAGGUGCACCGCCUCCUAGAGGCUAAAUUCAUCGAGCCAGUGGCUUACCCCACGUGGCUCUCCAAUGUUGUAAUGGUGCAGAAAAAAAGCGGGAAAUGGCGAAUGUGCAUAGACUUCACCAGUCUCAACAAGGCCUGCCCAAAGGAUAAUUUCCCGUUGCCGCGGAUCGACAAAAUAGUCGAUAGCGCGGCCGGAUGCGAGGUCAUGUCACUCCUCGACUGCUUCUCCGGUUACCACCAGAUAUACAUGAAGGAGGAAGACAAGGCUAGCACCAGCUUUAUAACACCCUUCGGCACAUAUUGCUUCAUCAGAAUGCCAGAGGGACUCAAGAACGCCGGGUCCACCUUCUCCAGACUCACCAAAACAGUACUCGAAGGGCAAGUUGGCAGAAAUAUAUUUACAUAUGUGGAUGACAUCGUCGUCGCCAGCAAGAACAAAGAGGACCAUCUCGCCGACCUCGCCGAGACUUUCACGAACAUGCGAGACGCAUGACUCUGCCUAAACCCGGAAAAGUGCGUCUUCGGCGUUCGCCAGGGCAAAAUAUUGGGCUACCUGGUAUCACACCGCGGCAUCGAGGCCAACCCAACCAAGAUCCAGGCCAUCGUAGACAUGUCGCCUCCGCAGUCCGCCAGGGACGUCCAGCGUCUGACAGGCAGAUUGGCCGCUCUCAACAGAUUCAUCUCCAGGUCCGCCGAGCGAAGUCUCCCCUUCCUCAAAACACUCCGCGGUGCAAAGGACUUCGCAUGGGGACCGGAGCAUGUAGCGGCCUUCGCCUCACUAAAACAGUACCUGUCGGAGCUGGCCAUCCUCACAAGCCCCGACUCCUCGCUCCCCCUAUUGCUCUAUGUCGCGGCUUCGCCGCACGCUGUCAGCGCGGCACUAGUGCAGGAGCAGUCAGUUAAGGGCGUGGUCAGGCAGUGCCCUGUUUACUAUGUCUCCGAGGUACUGACAUCGUCCAAGUGCAACAUGACAGAACUGGAGAAGAUUGCCUACGCAGUCGUUAUGUCUUUGCGCAAACUACGCCACUACUUUGAAGCAUUCAAGGUCCGAGUCACCUCAGACAGGGGACUCGGCGAAUUAUUCAGAAACCCGGAGGCAUCGGUGAGGAUUGCCAAGUGGGCAGCCGAACUAUCCGGCUACCACAUCAGCUUCGAGCCCAGGACAGCCAUCAAGUCACAAGUCCUGGCAGACUUCGUCGUCGACUGGACUGGGCCAAUAACACAACAAGUCCCGUCCACAGAGAAGGUUUGGACUAUCCACUGCGACGGCGCAUGGUGCCAUGCGGGGGCAGGCGCCGCUGCAGUCGUCACCUCACCAGCCGGGGUCAAGCACAGUUAUGCAGCAUGCCUUAGCUUCGCUCUGGAAUCCGACAGAUGCACAAACAAUAUAGCAGAAUAUGAAGCAGUCAUCCUCGGCCUCCGCAAGCUAAGGGCCCUCGGAGUCACCACCUGUAUCAUCAAAACAGACUCCAAGAUAGUUGCCGGCCAGGUCGAGAAAGACUACGCAGCAAAGGACCCCGCACUUAUGCAAUACCUCGCGGCCAUCCGAAGUCUCGAGAGACAGUUCAAGGGAUUCACCUUGCAGCAUGUGGAUAGGGCCAAGAACGAGGAGGCCGACGCGUUGGCCAAGGCCGCCGCCAGGGGCGAGUCCUUGCCCUCCGACGUGUUCUUUCAUAUCAUCGGCACGCCAGCCGUUCGAAGCCCCGAAGGGCUCCAAAUAACUAAUGACAACGAGGGCCACCGCAUAGUCAACCUAAUCAUGACCGAGGACUGGCGGGCACCAAUAACCCUGUUCCUGCAAGGGUACUAUCAUCCAACCGACGUCAGCGAGGCCAAGCGCCUCAGACAUCGAAGCCGGGACUUUGCACUGAUUGAAGGCCAACUCUACAAGAAAGGGGUCAGUCAGCCAAUGCUUAAGUGCGUCACCGAAACCGAAGGCAUGCAGAUCCUACGUGAAGUCCACAGUGGCACGUGCGGCUCACACACAGGGCCAAGGGCCCUAGCUGCCAAGGUGAUCCGCCAGGGUUUUUACUGGCCCGCAAUGAUCUGCGCCGCAAAUCGGGUCUCAAGGUCCUGCGAAGCCUGCCAGAAGUUUUCCCCUCGGUCAGGCAACCCCUCGCAGUAUACAAAGCUGAUCGCCCAUACAUGGCCUCUCCAGCGCUGGGGCCUGGACAUCGUCGGGCCCCUGCCCACCGCUCAGGGGAACCUUAAGUUCGCCUUCGUCGCCGUCGAGUACUUCACCAAAUGGAUCGAGGCGAGGGCUGUUUCUACAAUAACAUCAAAGACUGCCCAAAAAUUCUUCUGGCAAAACAUUGUCUGCCGCUUCGGAGUACCGUCCGAACUAACAGUUGACAACGGCAAGCAGUUUGACAACCAAGAUUUCAAGGAUUUUUGUUUCUCCAUCGGCACCAAGCUUGCCUUCGCUUCAGUUUAUCAUCCGCAGUCCAACGGGGUCGUGGAACGCGCCAAUGGGAAAAUCUUCACAGCUGUCAAGAAGAUGCUCCUUGAUGAAAAAAAGGGCAGAUGGACCGAUUUGUUACCUGAGGCAGUCUGGGCACUAAACACAACUGAGUGCAGAGCAACUGGGUUUACUCCCUUCCGCCUUCUAUACGGAUCGGAGGCCAUGACCCCGCAAGAAAUAAAGCAUGGGUCCCCGCGAACAGUUCCGUCAGCCGUCGCCGACGUGGACGAGCCAACUUCAAAGGACCUCAUUGACGGAGACCGAGUCUUCGCCCUACAGGCCCUAAACAAAUACCAGGCCCAGACCAAAGCAUGGCGCGACCACACAGUCAUCCCGAGGGAGUUCAGCGAAGGGGACCUCGUACUCGUCCGAACAGCUCAGACGGAGUCCAAGGGCAAGCUGGAGCCCAAGUGGGAGGUCCCCUUUAUAGUCAAGACAAAAGCUUCCCCCAGCGCUUACAGGCUCACAACGCCAAACGGCAAGGACCUGGAGCACUCCUGGAACAUCGACAACCUCCACAAAUUUUUUGUUUGACUCAUCAGGGCUGAUUUCGCCCUUGUAAUUCGCCAAAAACAAUCUUGUACCGGCCCGCACUCUUUUCCUCCCGGGGGGGUGAGGUUUUUAACGAGGCGGAGCCAUGUAAUAUAUGUGUGAAAAAUCCCCCGCAAAAACAUGCGUCGAAAAAAGACCGCGACGACGGUCUUCGACAUUCGACCAAUUCAAGGUCACCGCGAGGCUAAGCGCUAGCCACCCUCGCGUGCGACAAAUCCGCGCAGAAGUCGCCUAAGGGUGCAGCCGGACUAGCACAACAAGUGCGGAAAAACCGAAGUCCACCGCGAGGACUAUCCGCUCAGAAGUCGCCUAAGGGUGCAGCUGGACUAGCACAACAAGUGCGAAAAAAACCCGAAGUCCACCGCGAGGACUAUCCGCACAGAAGUCGCCUAAGGGUGCAGCCGGACUAGCACAACAAGUGCGAAAAAACCGAAGUCUACCGCGAAGACUAUCUGCACAGAAGUCGCCUAAGGGUGCAGCUGGACUAGCACAAGUGCGAAAAAAAACCGAAGUCCACCGCGAGGACUAUCCGCGCAGAAGUCGCCUAAGGGUGCAGCCGGACUAGCACAACAAGUGCGAAAAAACCGAAGUCUACCGCGAAGACUAUCCGCGCAGAAGUCGCCUAAGGGUGCAGCCGGACUAGCACAACAAGUGCGGAACAACCGAAGCCUACCGCGAAGACUGUCCGUGCAGAAGACACCUAAGGGUGCAACCGGACUAGCACAACAACAGCAGAAACGACAACAUCAAACCGUCCACGCCAAGACCGACUAUAAUCGCACCAGCACAGCGUAACAAAACACACCAGACAAAGUACACAACGCCUUUGCAGGCACAGACAAGCGAGGGCACACAACUUCAUCAUACAAGCCUUUACAUAUAUACAAGCGAGGGCGCCACACUCUACAUCGGCUCAACCUUAGGAAUAAUUCCCAUCUCCCUAUAAUUAAAUAACAUUAUCCUAAGCUCCUCACCCGCAAAAAGACUUCGCAGUUCCCCUUCACCUGUACUCGCGGCGGCCGGCAAAGAUAACAGUUCCUGCCGGCCAGCCCUACUCACACGAAGCCGAGCCCCCUCCUCCCCACUAACCCUACGCUUCGCAACCGCCCUUCGUCGUCGGCGCCCAGUACUAGGACCUGGCACAUCUUGUGCGUCCGCGGCGUGUGGCGAAGCCUCCGCCGCAGCCACAUCCAAGGCCGCAAAGUAGUCCAAGUCCUCCUCCGACGACUCCUCAGUCCACUCAACCGAGCUCCCAGAGUCAGCAAAAUCAAAAAACUCAGAUGCAGAUCCACCACAUUCAUUACCACCUUCCGCGGUCGAAGCCGCCAAAAAUUUAGUAGUAGCGGUUGCGUGCGCAGGCCCAAAAUCUUGAACCUGCGUAGCAACCAAAAUUCAGCAACAUAUCCAAAAUUCCCCAACCCUCUACACCCACUACGCCACCUGUGAAGGCCCUGACGUCGCGACAGCCUCCGCCGUUGGCUCCGCCGUCGCUUCCGCUGUUGUUUCCGCCGCCACCUCCGCGGGAUCUUCAGCACUCGGUGCAGCAGCUGCGGGGGCAUCAGGCGCGCCUUCGGCCACCUUUGGGAGCAGGUCCUCGCUAGCCGCAGCGGAUGCGGGGGCAUCCGGUGCGUCUUCUGCCGUCUCCGGGGUUGGCUCCAGAGCAACCCCACACACGGCCUCCGCCAGGGUCGGCUCCGGGUCAGGCAGCGCGCUAUUUAACGCCCCGAAGUCAUCCACCCGCUCGCCACGCGCCGCCUAAGACAAAACACACAAAAUUCAGCAAACACACGCACAGCCCACAUCCAACAAACGCCAAACAAACGAAAACGUUACCUGAGCCCUCGCCGUCUCGGCCCGCUCCCUGACCACCUCGCGACCGUGCGGACCCCACAUCCGGUCGUAGAUGGCCCCGGCGGAUUCCUUCACUACGGGGUCUUCAACCUUAUAGAUAUCUCGCUCAAAAUCUUCAUCGGCCUGGUCGAAGACCUCGAAGUGCCGGCACCCUUCGCGGGAGAGCGCGUUCAUCGCCCCCUCGCAGGUGACCAGGGAGGCGUACGACAUAAACCCCUCCACGACAGUGGGGAGUGCCUGCACCUCCUCCUGCACCCAUUCCAGACAACGAAGUCCGGGCUCUCGGUCCGGAACUUCGAAGUCACCGGUCCGCGCACCCAGCUCACGAUAUGUAUCCAUAAGCUGUGUGCGCGUCCGUUCGGCCUCCGCGCGCGUCGCGGCCUCGGCCCGCUCCACGCGGCUCUCCAGGGCGAUGAGCCGCUCCUGCAGCUGCUCGGCGCGCUCCCUGGCAAGAUUGCCCUCCGUCCGUGCCAGAUUGGCCUCCGCCUGCGCAGCCUGCGCCUUGACGAGGGCCUCGUUGGUCUCCCUCCUCUCCCCCGCCAGUUGGCGCCGGAGGUCAGCCUUCUCUCCCUCCAGCGCGGCCACCUUGUCUGCCAGCUUGCGGCACUUGCUGUCGACGGCCGAUUUCUCUCGGACGGCGUCAGCAUGUUGUGUCCGAAUUCUCUCGACUUCGGCAGACACAACUGCCGUGAAGGCCCCCGACGCCGUGCGGUUGGCGAAGUCAGCCACCUGCACAACACACAUAAGACCGCGGCCCCGGCAAGUAAAAAAAACGAAGCCUGGCUCAGCGGACCUGACUUAGCGACUCCACCACCUCCUUCAGCCGGCGGGACGCAGCGCCCGCCUCAUCCCUGACAGCCGCGAGGGCCGCCACCUCGCCUCCGGCGCUAAGAGCCCCGCCCUUCGCCUUCGGCGCUACGGCAGCCGUCGUUGUCGCCGCAGCAGGCACAACUAUAGCAAGUUGGCCUUCGUCUGACCCUGCGACGUGUCGACGAAUAAAUAAUAAUAAUAAAAAAAAGAGGAGCCAACGACUUACCACCAAGAUAGUCCUCCACACUAAUAUCGGUGGCGAAGUCGGCGACACGCUUGCCCGCCGACGGCAACGCUCGGGCCGCCUUCGCGACCUCCGGCACUCUGCUGGACGGCGGCACUGCCUUCGUCGAUUUUGAGCCCCCGGCGCCUGCCGUCGCCUCCGGCGCUCUGCUAGACGUAGGGGCGCCCGACUUCGCCGCCAGCGGCGGCUUGCCUCCGCCGGGGGCCGCAGCCUUCGCAGACCCUCGCUGCCUCUUCGGCCUAGCUUCAACGAGCCUGACAACCGCCUGACGCUUUUGUGCUGCUCCCUAGCGGUCCUUGUCCAUCACUGCCGACACAACAGCAGCAAUAUUCCACCCGUAAGGAAAAACUCUCCAUUCACGAACCAUGCGAGAUGUAAAAAAGUCCUCGCCAGCCGCGCGGGGGAUAGGAACAUUCCUAGGCCAGCAACCCCCGGUAACCCUCAACAUCCGAGCCGAAGACUCCCGGAGCUCGGGCGAAGACAUCCUUCCCCCCGGGGCCGCGCACGUCCUCAUCAACUCUCUAGCAAAACUAUCAGAAACCCCAAGUCCUCCCAUAGCAGUACCUAAUUUUCUCUUUUUAGAAGAUGGGGCGGCCGCCGGCGCAGGGUCGUCUCCAGUCUCCACCACCGGUUUCUUCCUACAGCGGUCCGCGUCGUCUUGACCAGGAUAGCCGUCAUACGACAAUUGAUUUAAUUCAAAAACCCUGUUCAAAUGGUCAUUCGACCCGCGGAUAUCAAAGCUGCGCUGGCCCUCUGUCCUCGGCACGUAACGUCCAACGAGCCGCACCGCCCCAUCCUCCGUCUCGCGCACAAAGGCGGCCAGGUCGCGGUUUUGCAGAUUCAGUGCAAAGGCAGGACUUCGCACCACCCUUCCACCGUGAAAAGGCAUCUGGUGAGGGCACACUUCACCCAACGCCCAGCCAUGCGCCAAGGGCCAUACCCCGUACGCAACAAACUCUUCAACCAAAUCGCGCCCACUGCUCAGGCCGGCGGCGCACCGAAGGGCCCCUUCGUCCACAUCCUCCUCUGCCACUUCAAAGGGCGGGUACGCUGAGUAAAAAUGAGAACACAUCUCGGACACGGGGAGUCCCUCAUGGACUUCGAUGGUACCCUCAGCAACGUAAAACCAAAAUUCAUUCCAGUUGCCCCACUUGUUGCGGGCGCACGGAACCAACUCGACCACCUGCAUCGUGGUCUUGCCGGUCUUCGGCGUGAAUGUGCAGGACCCAAACUGAGCAACUUCGUCCCCAAUCAUCCUCUUCUGCCAGUGCAAACAAUAAUACUUCGCAAAAACCUCGACCGAUGGCUGUCCGCCGUACGAAGUCGUCGCCCAGACAUACUUCGACAGAGCCACCACGACAUUCGAUGUCAGCUGAUGUAUCCGAACAUUGAACCUGCGCAGGACUUCGCCAACAAAUCGGUGCGCAGGCAAGCGGAGACCGGCGGCGAAGAACGCCUCGAAAACAACCAACUCGCCCUCCGGCUCGGGGACUUCCUCCGUCCCCGGGGCACGAGCAACUCCGCCGCCGAAGUAACCCAACCGCUGCAUAUCUUGCACGUGGACCGACGACAUCCGCGACACGCCAAAAUCAACAGAAUCGUCGGUGCGCAACUCCUCCGCCAUCAAACUACUCAGCGUCUCCUCAGACGAGGCGGCAGUCGGCGGCGUAGCGGCAGCGGAAGAAGAGGAGGUCGGCAUCGCUACGUACCGUCGGCGGCGGCGGGCGGUCUGCUUCACUCGAGCCAGAUCUCCGGCGAACAAGAGCACGGCGGGCAGACGAGCAGCAAGACAGCGGGCGGCUAGGGUUUUCACGGAGCGCGGAAAGUGAAGUUCAAAAAGCACCGACCCCCGCCCCCUUUUAUAGGCAGGGCGCGGCUCUUCGGGAAACCCGCAAUCCAACAGGGCGCGGCGCUUCGGGAAACCCGCAAUCCAACAGUACGCCGUCAAUCAACGGUCACAUCAAAAACCCCCGCGGAACCACUUCGAGCGAGGGCAGCGUCUCCGCCAUCUAGCGACGUCUUCGGCACCAGGUGACUUUGUCGAACUGGUCCCUCAGAGGGCAAAUGUUGGGGCGAAGGCAAAGACGCCACCCUUCGCUCGAAGUCUUCGCUGCAGCUGCUGGUCUGACAGAGACAAAACCGGCAGGGACACCCUUCGCUUGAUCGGCACCAGACGAAGACCGGCGACGAAGUCAUCCCACAGUGCGGCCUCGUUCAGCUCAAAUGCCCACGUGCGAUCCGGCCCAUCGUAACGGGCCCUGCGUGGCCGCCGCGCGUUACGGGCCUAAUUUGUAAAGGCAUCCCUGUAAUUACAGUCUAUAACCCCGCUUUAUGGGAAUAUUCUGGGGAUAAUCUAGGUAGUUGAGGGCACAUGCGUCCUUAGCACAAGGCGCUGGGCGCUCAGGUACCUAUAAAUACCCCUGCACAGUGCCCGUGGGGGGGGAGAUCAACAGAGCUAUUGCCUUCUAGCACGUAACCCUGUUGUCAUCACUGUCCACUCUUGUUGGCCUCCUUGCGACUGAGAGCAAGUUCCAACACCAAUACUUCUGAAUAUUAGAGUGUAAGCAAUAGAAAUAACAGGUCAGAAUGGAAGCAACCACCACUACAUUCACUUGCCUUCAUCGAAGAAGAAGAAAUGUACUAGGCAUGAUCUGGAGUGUAGUCAUCUGCUAGCGGGCAUAAAACUUAGUACAAAUAUUUCAUAAACAUUUGCCAACAAUCAACAAAUCGCUCCUACACUUGAAACCAAGACCUGGUGGUAAGCCUCCCACCCUGAAUCACAUGCCAUCGGCUAGGGUUGGGGAGGAGAGGGGGGCUCCCAUCCACUGGAUCGAGAUCAAUGGCCCAAACUUGCUCUCCCCUUUGAGCUCCCGACUCCAGCGGAAAAAAAAUGACAAAAGAUCUACUGUUUUCUGAGGAAUGCCUCCUGAAACUCCAAACCCCAAUGCCACAGAACAUCAAAGAAAAGAGAAAAAUAAGUUUAACUUCUUUUCAAAAAAUUUGGGGUAUCACACUCUACCCCCCUUAAAAAGAAUUCGUCCUCGAAUUCGACCACUCCAACAAAACAUCCAAGGUACCCCAUAUAGGAGCACCAUGCAAAACAUGGGUCCAUUAUUGGUCUUAAUUAACACAAGAACUUCUACAUCGACUAAUUGUCUAAGGAAACUACAACACCUGACAUCAAGCAUGAACCAACAUGUAAUGAAGCUCAAACCAAGUCAUAGAUGCAAUCAACACUACGAUUUCCCAACAUCGCAUUUGGAUGCAGCCAUACAUCAGCAUCAAUGUCUUAAAACGACACUCUUUUAUGAAGGGGUAAUACGCACUAAGCACAACCGCGCUACCGCGCGUGCGCCUGCGGUGCGGUAAGGCACCACCCUGUUGUGCCAGCAGCCAACUCCGGCGUGUCAGCUUAGUUAUCCUCAUCAAGCCACAACCUUGAUGUCUAGCUUCCCAACUGGUAGACGGUUCCCUUUCCCCCGGAUCAAUGAAGAAGGGAGAAGUCAGUUGAUUCUUCCGAAGAACCGGAAGCGAAGCGCUAUGCCGGGGCGAGGGGACGGGAAAAGAAACUGCUCGAAGAAAGAUAUUGGGGUUCCCAAUGCUUCUCCACGCCCAACGAGAUGCGCCAACCUCGGGAUGCUUUACUCCUAACCCCACGACGGUUCCGAGACGGAGCUUAACCUGAGUCUCGGUUAAGAACGGCGAUGAUCUACGUUUCACACGGCGCACGAUUCCAUGGAUAGUUUCAUUCGAGAUCGUGAUGGAGGACAUAGCUUACGAUCAUCGGCUUUGAUCAUGCCACUAGGCAUUCGAUUAGGACAUUGCACAAUGAUCCGAACACUUUGUCGCAUCUCUUCGAUACGAAUACAGUAACGAUCAUAGCGAUCUCCUCUGGUACCUACUGGUACGUCAAGAUCCGAUUGGUCAUGAACAUCGUAACGUGCUGCUCUUCGCGAAUCCCAGCAUACCCCAGGUUGGGAUGGGUAGGCCCACCACUUCACUUUUUCACUUUCACUUAGGCCCGGGCCAAGUCAGUGGGGGGGGGGGGACCCUGUCGGGCUCCUUCCCCCCCAAAACAAACUGUACGUGGGAGUUUCCCUUCAUACGGCUCGAAUCAUUCUUAGAUGCCCCGAGAGGCAUCUUUCCUUAUGAUCUGGUGGUUCACACGCGCGCAAACGAGCACCGGCCGCAACAGCAAGGAACUAUGACCAAUAGAGUCAGACACAGAGCGUCAUACUUCUUUAUCUUGUGAUGGUUGAGGAGUUUCUUUCUCAGAGGGUGCGGGACGCUUGCGGAGUCCGUACCACCACAGGUCGUUCUUGGGCAGAUCCCGCUCCUAAACAUAAGGGAGGGAUAGGGGGAAAGGGGCCGGGCCUAUCAUAUAAAUAGGGUUGUAGAAAGACCACGUAUUUUCAUUGGUAAAGCUCCCAGACGGCGUAUUUUUUUUAAACGAGGCCCUCGUUAACGGGACAUGAAGACUCCUUUUUUAUUUUAUUGAAAUUUCAUUUUACACAAUAAAUUUUGUUCUAUUUACAUUACAGAAUAUAGCGAAAUUCAAACAGAAUUAAACUAAAGGAUAAACAGAGUAAAAUCUACUAAAGUAACACAAAAAAUGGAGUAACACAAAAAAUGGAAUUUCAUCAACAUCUGGAUUUUUUGUAUAUAUAUUAUUUAUUUUUAUUAAUAAAGUACAUAAAAAUCGGCAAUCUAAAUAUUCCUACCUAAUAUAUCAGGACGGUCUUAUUAAUAAUUCUAAUGAGUUAUCUUGGAAUUUUGAAUCGAAUCAAAAAAUCUAUAUUAUGCUCACUCAAGGAAAGUAGAUGUAGAUAGGGGCUUAUACCCUCAGAAAAAAAUACACCAGCUUCUUAAAUUAAAACGUAAAAAAAGAUUUUUUUGUUAUGUCGGGAAAUAAUUUUCCAAAAUAACCAAUGUCCGUUAGGCACCUAAUCCUUAUGUCAUAAUAGAUCCGAACACUUGCCUCAGAUUGACUUCAAUAUAUAAUUGCUCCAGUGAAUAACUAAAAAAAAUAGAAGGACAGUAGAUAGUAAAGAAAAGGACUAAUCAUAAUAUCUAUCUUUAAAAGAUUCAAUAAAAAGACAGUUGGCGGGUCUCUUUGUAUGUCUUGUCCGAAAAGAGGAGGACUUAAUGAUUAUUCGUUUGUCGGAACCAGA
rnacentral:lncRNA from 1 species